AGAGUAGACCUGAAGAAGUUUCCAGCCGUGUGCACUCAUGUACAUCUAAGACACGCAAACUGGAUGGAAGCGCUGGAAUUUGUCGAAGCUCUUGACAGUGACCCAAGUCAAGGAGUCUCAGCAUAGAAAGUUGAUUGACCCCAGCAGGUAUGCUCCUAAAAAGAUUCCCGAAUAGCAGUAAUUGUCGCAGAGACGAUAGGUGGCAAAUUUCGGUGGGGAUUCCUCCUUCAUCUAUACUGCAGAAAGAUAGAUCUAACGCUUUCAACGAGUACAAGCAGCAAAUAUCACUCAGGAUUUCUCCUUGCAUUAGCUUUGACCCAUGUAGAAUUAACUUCUCUAAGGAGCAUAAACCUGACAAAGAAAGCAAUUGGCAACAUGUUGAAUUUAAGCCACAAGCAUGGAGAUGCUUCAAGCUUUGCAGCCUCCCCAGGUUUUGUGGCAAUUUGUGGAGUUUUGAACAGUAACUGACAUCGAGAACUUCAAGAAAGCAUAAAUUAGAAAUGCUUUCUGGAAGAGUCACAAGGUUUUUGCAGCCAUCCAGAUUCAAAACUUCAAGCCUAUUCAAAUGUUCGAUUGAUGAUGGUAGCUCUUUUAUAGCCGUUUCAUUCAAGUGAAGCUCCCUUAAGUUUUCUAUAUUCUCCAAGACUUCUGGAAAGUAUUGUAAUUGUGAACAGUGAGAGCAAAAGAGAGAUUUAAGGGAUUUGAACUCCCAAAUGCUUGUUGGCAGACUCUCAAGGUUUUUGCACUCUCGCAAACAUAAGGUAUCAAAUUCAGAGGCACGCUCAAUGGGUAGUAGGCUGAUUGUCUGACCCUUUAAACAAAGCCGUCGGUGUUCCACGUUCCUCUGACAUUCCAAGCAGCUAGCAUCCACAUCCCCAGUCUGUACUAUUGGAUCUUGGGCGUAUAUAGGUUGGAGCCCACACUUGACCACCUUAAAAUGAUUGCGAGAGCCCAUAAAUAGAGCCUCAAGACACAUGAAUCGAUUGGUGUGACAGCUCUCCAGAAUAGCAGCCUUGGGAUAGAAUAUCACCCACAUUUGUUCUGAUACACCUCCAUUAUGGUAGCAUUUACAAGCAGUGCGAAAACUGAGAUGUCGCACACGUAGGGAAGAAAAUCCAUGUACUUCACUCAAUGACAAUUGACAUUUUAACUCAGUGGAGAUUGAAGAUUCAGCUUCAAGUAAAUCAUCAUAUUCAUUUAGGGCUUCGUCACCAGAUUCAUUCUCGGAUGUAUGUGCCAAAUCAUUUUCUGGUAUGUCCUCACAUUCAUCAAGUGGAGCAUAAACAAAGCAUAUAGCAAUUCCCAAGAAGUCAUCAUUUUCAUUACAAUUCAGAGGAAGCUCCAUUGUGGUCUGAUAUCCCUCUCUCUGAUUCCUUAUCCACUUGGGAAUUCCACUGCUUCCCGGAACAACAAUACAGAUUCCAUGGUCAUUGUAGUGAGAAUCAGCGAGAAAUACUCCAUUUGAAUUGCUCUCGUGUUUCAAAUCCUGCACAAAAGGUCAAUGAAAAUCCAGUGGGUCUGCCAUUAUGUGAGUUUUUAUGAGAGAGUUUGUUAUCAGUUUUCGAUAAAUUGAUUCCCAGUAUUAACUUUCUUUGAUCUAUGCUCCUGAAUCUACUUAAUAUCCCUUUUAGAUGACGGAUAAUCAAUCAACAUGAAAGUGAAUGCCAAGAUUAAGUCUGGAAACUGGAAGUGAGUGGAAACUGAAACCGAAAGUGAGUAGAAUAAGCAGAUCUCUUCUUCACUUGCAGUAGCUUCUUCUCCAUACAGAUUCAUAGAUCUUAGAAUUGUAGCUUCAACUUAACUCUCAAAAUCUUGAAGACAAAGUUCGCUCAAGUUUUAAAAACUCACAGAAAAAUUUCUCCUCAUGUUUCUCUUAAUCCCAUGAGGUGAGAUACAUGUAGCACACACUUAUUGGCUUUUUUCCAUGCAAGUUUCAAGGUGGAGCGUCUAAUGAACUAAAACAUUCCCUCAAAUCCUAGUGGAAAUUCACACUAGAAAUUUCAGAAUUUGCUAAAGAAAGGUUAAUUCAUUUUAUCCAUGAAUAAAAAAAGCAUGUGAGGACAUUUUAACUUCCUAAUAAUUAUUAUAUUAAACUAUAAUUCUCAUUAUUUAAACUUAUGAUCCUUAACUUUAUCAUCACAAUUUGAAGAGACAUUCGUCAUCUCUUCCAUGAAUUAAUUGAUGUUUAAGGAGGUAUAAUAAACUUUUAAUUGAAUUUAUAAACUAUUAUUAUUUUUUUAUACUCUUAUCAAAAUAAAUAAAAACUUAACAAAAAAAAAAAAAAUCAAAACAAACUUUGUAAAGUUAUCAACACUUAUUUACAUCCUUCUUUUUUUUUAAAAAAAAAUUAUAAUUAAAAAAAAUGUAAUUUAAAAAUUAUAAAGAAUAAAAUAUUUAGAAAAAUGUACUAGUUAUUUGAAAUAAAAUAUAAGGGAAAUCAAAAUUCUUAGUAAAUGAAUCGUCAAAACAACUAUAAUAGCUAUACAAAUGAGAAAAAAAAAUUAAAAGUAAAAAAAAAUUAUGAAUGUCAAGAAUGAGAAACAAUUUUUUUCUUUUUUUUUUUUGUAAAUUAUUUUUAUUCUUAUUUUAUGUAUUCAUUACAAUUUUUAAAUUAAUAAAUAAAGUUUUUAUCACAAAAUUUUAAAAUGGUAUGUAUGCUUUAAAAUUUAUAUGUUGUUCUUAGAUUUUUAUAAAUUUCGUUUAUAUCUUUCAAAUUAGAAUUAUUAAACUCACAUUUUAAAAUAAGAUAUCAAAUAGUUAUUUUUUCAUCCUUUAGCAAUAUCAAAUGUUUUUUGUACUUUAAUAAAAAAAAACUAUUUUUCUCUAAUUAAUGACUAUUUUGUAUAGUAUUUGGAUAAAUUAUUUAAUAUAUAAGUAUUACUUAUUUAAUAGUUUAUUUUUUUAAUUUAUUAGAGAAAGAGUGGUGCAUAUAUAAUUCAAAUAAAAGGUAAUUUCGUAUUGCAAGAAAGUUUGUGGAAAAAGGAAAUUUGAACAAGGAUUGAAAUUUAUAGGAACCAUAUUGGACACCUAGUUUUAGGUUUGUUCCAUUCGAACAAUCAUGACUUGAUAGUAGCCUAAUCUCAAAUCUAACUUUGUCAAGCCCUUCCUUUACUAAGUUGAUCAAACAAGUUGUUAACAAGCAGAAUAAGAUAUUUUUCACUUUCACCUUGUUGAGUCUUCAAUAAUCGAUACACAUUCAGAGGGAUCCAUUAUGUUUCUUUUAGAAUAAUAUUGGUGUGACAUGUGAAGCUUUAGUUUGUUGGAUGUAUCCCAUGUUAAGCAACUCUGUAAGUUGUUUCCUUAGUUCUUCUAAAUUAGGCAGUGCCAUCCUAUGGGACCCCUAUGGCAAGGGGCUUAGCUUCUGGCUCUAAGUCAAUUUUGUGCUCCCAUUCCCUUAUUUAUGUGAGUUUCUUAUGUAACUUUAAUAGCAUCUAAGGAUGGCAAAGUUUGAUACAAUUUGUCAACCAGACUUGAACCUGAGGCAUUUUUAGUGGGUUUGGGUUGAGUAUAAUCAUGUUUAGGUCAAAUUUGUGUAAACCUAAAUAACUUGUUUAAUAAAUAGGUUGUUUUUUUUAGUCAAACUACAUAAUACAAAUUUCACCUAAAUUGAGUUGUGUAAUAAUGAUGUUAAUUAACUAGAUUAUAACCAUAACCUAUUUAACCCACAUUUGACUCAUUUAAAACUUGAUUUUGAAUAAGUAGGUUAAUUAAGUCAUAAACAUGUCAGAUUGGGAAGUUAAUCAUAUUAACUUAAACAAGAUCUAACUUGACAUUAUUAUUAAAUAGGACAUUAUUAUUAAAUGGACUAUAUGACAUGUUACUUAUUUAAUAAUUAGGUUAUGCCCGAGUUCAUUCUUUUAACCUAAUUAUUAUUUUUGUGUCAUGUUUGAAUUGAUUUAUUUAAUCAAGUGUCUUUGCUUUGACACAUUGUGAACAUGAUCCACCAACAUGAAUUGUCACUUCUAGUGGCAUCACAUACUAGAACUCUUCAAGUACCACCUCAAUUACCUUGUGAAUGAGUUCCCUUAUUGUAUCAUUCUUUUCCUCCUUUAAUAUAGCCAAGUAGGUCAUUUGCUUAUUCUUCAAUACCUUCUUUACUUGCAUAGUUGAUAGCAAGAGGAUCUCAAGUGUACCUCAAUAGCUAAUGUCAUGAUUCAUUGUAAAUUUUGUCUAAUGUGUAAUCAUAUAUACAAAUGCACUCACCUUAAAAACCUCAUCCCAAUGACUAAGACAAGUCAUCCCUCCAAUUAGAAGGUAGUGUAUUAUAAUCUCAAAUGGAUUGUCUAAAUCCAUCAACCAACCAUGAACAAAUCAUAAAUCUUGCAAGGAACCCAUGACUUAAAUCUUCCGCGUAACUCCUAAUGCAUUUUAGUCAUGUACAAUACCACUAAUGCAUGCAUGCAUACUCAAAUCAAUAUCAAUGUGAACAAAGAUAAAUUAGUGGAAACUCAAGCCUAAAUUUGUUACAUCAUGUCUUGCUUGCAAGGGCUAUAUUUUAACACAAAUAACCAAAUAGGUUCUUGAAAUACAAUAUAAUAUGUGCUAUCUCUCAGAGCACUUUAUUUUUUGUUUCAAUAACUUCAUUUUUCUAUGAAGUUUUAGAUGUUGAAAGCUCUUCUUUAAUUUCCUUCUCCUCACAAAAACUCUAGAAGUCAGAAUUAUAAACUCCUUUCCUCUAUUAUUUCUUAUUGAAAAUCCAUUUUUAUUCAUCAUUUGAAAGCAUAACACUUUGAAUCUUAGGAUGUACUUCUUUCUUCCUAGGCAUUGCACUCUCAUAGGACCCAUUAAAUCCACAUGCAACAUCUUUAAGAUCCUAGAAGAAGAGAAAAUCGUCUUUUUCUCUCACUCAUCUGAAUUCAUUUUCCUAGAUAGAAUAAAUAGGAUUUUUAGGCUUUCCUAAAUGGGACUUGCUUUAAUUAGUUCUUUAUUUGUAAUCCUAGACAAAUCAUUAGAGUUUAAAUGCACUAUCAUAUAAUGCUAUAUGUCUUUGGAUGUAAAUUUCACAUUUUACAACUAUGUGCACUAGAUGAUGAGGAAGAAGUAGAGAGGCGUACAAAGGCAUAACAAACAAUAUAAAAAAUUCUAUUUCUUACCAACACACAUCCUUGAAUAGACACUAAUUUUGAGUAAAAUGAACAAAGCACAUACAAUCACAAAUUUAACUUGCGUUAAUUAAGUUUGCUUUCAAUCCCUCAAUAUAUAGUAACUCCUUGAGCAUAGGUAAAUUUGGACCUUCUAUGGUACCUUUUGGUUUCAAGUUGGUUAUAUGUAAUCCAACCAUCCCCAAAUACAACCAAACUUCCCUUUAUAGGUUCAAACGUGGAGAAAGACUCUAAGUUCAUUGUUGCUUUUACCUUUCCCAAAUACAACCAACUCCUUCUAUGAGUCCAAAAGUCAAGGAAGAUCUAAGUUCUAUGUCAUACAACUAGAGUAGCCACUCUCAAAAUCCAAAACGUGUUUUUCUCUAGCUCUUAGGCCCUAUGGUUAACUAAGGCUUUUUGGUUCUCCUUCUUUACCCAAUUUAUCUUUCCAAUGGGAAAUUUAAAGCCUAUUUAAGAAUUAUUUUUAAAAUUAAUUUUCCAGUUCUUAAAAAUAGAAACCUAUUUUCUAGACUAAAGCCAUGUUUGGUAACUUUUUGACAUAUUAUAGUUUUUUGAGAACUUGUUAUGAAAAUAAGGUAUCUCCUAAUAACAUAUUUUAAUUGCUUUCAAGUGUUUUCAUUUAUUUUGUAGGGUUGUUUUAAGAAAAUAAUGGUAAAAAUAUAAAGAAUGAUGAAAAAUAAAGAACUAAAAAUAAAAGUUAUUUUUAAGAAAUAUUUGGAAAUACAAAAAAUAUAUUAAAAACGUUCUAAGUUUCUAAAUAGACUUUUAUUUUAGAAAACAUUAGACCAACUAUUUUUGAAAACUUUUUUCAAUAAUGGUUUUGUAAGAAUUAUUUUUUAAAAAAAAAAAAAUCCUAAACAAAGCCUUAACCUUUGAGGAUCUAAAACUUUGCACUAAGUUUGGUGUUUUAUUGUUGGAUUUUCUUAGUCUUGCAAGCUUUAUGAUGAUCUUGCAAUAUUUUCUUUAAUUUACAUUUCAUGUUACCUGAGCAUUCAGUUUGGCUAAGUAUUGAAGAAUAACUUUGGCUUACAUUCAACUUUUUUUAUGGACAAAGGAAUGGAGCUAGAUCAGAUUUCUUUCAAUUUAGUCAAUUUUGAUUUACAUGGCUCAUAAUCAGAUUGUAAGACAUUCAAAUUUUUUAACAAGGUACCGUGCUCAUUUUCAAGGUAAGAGAUUUUUUUAAAGCAAGGAAGUCUUCUCUCAUACUUCUUUUAUUCUCAUCCAACUUUCACAAUUUUCAUCUUAAGGCACUGAUCAUACAAGGCUUCCUUGGCAAUCUCAAAUGACAACUUUUCUUCCAAAUAUGUUGUAUCAUGAGACGAACCUUCAAAAUUUUCAUAUUCAAGAUCAAUUUCAAAUUUAACAUUUUUCUUUUCAUUGAAAAGUGAUAUAGAAGGUAGCAAGUAUAUCAACAAUUUCCUCAGGCUUAUCAUGCUCAAAAGACACAAAUAUCAUCAACGUCAUGUGAUAAUAAAUCAUAAUUAUGUUUAUGCAUGUUUCCAGCAAAUUAAUGCAAUAAAAUUUCUACAUUCUUCAUCAAAAUCAUACCAAAUUACUUCUAUGACCUUAUCCUUUUGACAUUCAAGAAAGUGACCUUUCUUGACAUAGUAGAAGAAACUUUGAAUCAACUAGAUCUUUUUAGUGCUUUUUAUCUUUUUAUCACAUUUCUUUUCCCUUGUUUAUGGUCUCGAAGAGGUUAUCCUUUGUUUCUUGAAGCUUUUUGAACUUUUUGAAAGGUUAUCAAACCUAUAAAUUUCAAAUAUUGCUCAUUUUUUAUUCCUAUUCUGAUUCAGAUGCAUGUUUAAUUUUUUUGAUAGAUAACACAAAUAUAUUAAAGGGCAAAGGCCACCAAGCAUACAGGAAGUAUAGAAAUCAGCCUCAAAACGAGAGCACAAAAAAACAAGCACCCUUACCCUCCUUUAAGUGGCCGCUAGCCACUUCAAAAAACCUAAGAGUGAAGAGGACUCCUCUCCAAUAUACACCCUAGCCCAACUCCACAAGGUACAAACAAAAGAAUUUUUGAGUUUUUUUAUAUUUAACACCCCUCCCUUAAAAGCUAAUCUAUUCAUUUCCUUCCAUAUCAUUCAAAAAAUACACAACGGGAUAGAAUUCCAAAUUUUUUUCCUUUUUUUCCCCACAAAGGGACCCCUCCAACUGAAUAACACCUCCUUCACUAACUCUGGGAACACCCACUGAACCCCCACAUGGGCAAAAACGAUUUCCCAUAAGGCCCUUACCACUAUACAAUGUAAUAGAAUGUGAUUUACACUUUCCUCUUCACAGCCACACAAAAAACAACAGUUAGGAAACUGCCAACCCCUUUUUUGAAGCCUAUCCAAGGUGAGAAUCUUCCCUCACGCCACUUCCCAAGCAAAAAAUGCCGCUUUGGUUGGGACCUUGUCCACCCAAACGCAUCUAUACGGAAAGUCGCAAGCAUUGAUAACAACCAGCCCGUUGUAGGCACCCUUCACCCCAUACUUACCAUGGCCUCCCCUUUCCAAAGCACCACGUCCUCCUUUGAAGAUAUCUUGAAGUCCCUGAGCAUAUUAAGCAAUCCUCUAAUCAAGUCCAGCUCCCAAUCAUUGAAGUCUCUAUGAAAUCUAAGAUUCCAACCUCCUUGACCACUGCUAUGAUCCCACAUCUCAUUAACCGUUGCAUUCUUAUUGACCACCAUCUCAAAAAGCUGGGGAAAAGAAUGGGACAACAUCUCAUUCCCACACCACUGGUCAGUCCAGAAUUUUACUCUAGUCCCUUUCCCUACCUUAAACUUUAUGUUAUCCCAACACCACUUAGCUUCCUUCAUAAUCUCCUUCCAAACCCCCACUCCAUAAGUACCACGGGCUUCUUUAGUUCUCCACCCAAACUCUUCCUGACCAUAUUUCACCCUAAUCAUUAACCUCCAGAGGUUAUCCUUUUCAACGGCAAAUCUUCAUAACCAUUUACCCAACAAAGCUUUGUUUAGAGAGUCAAUCUUCCGAAUGCCAAGGCCACCUUUCUCCCUUUAAGUGCACACCACCUCCCAUUUAAUUAAGUGGACUUUCCUCUCCAAGCUACCCCUUCCCCAAAGAAAGUCUCUUUGUAAUUUUUCGAGUUUAUUUACAACACUCUUCGGCAUUCGAAAAAGGGACAUAUUGUAAAUAGGAAGGCUGGCCAUAGUAUUCUUGAUUAAGGUGAUACGCCCUCCCUUCGAAAUAUAGUCUUUUCCACUAGGCUAAUCUUUUCCUCAUUCUCUCUUCCACCCCAUCCCAAAUAGAGACAGCUUUGUGGUGAGCUCCAAGGGGCAGCCCCAAGUAAACAGUGGGCAGCAAUCCCACUUUACAACCAAGCUCCACAGCCAUCUCCUCAAUAUCUUCCACCUCACCAACCGGAAUUAAAACGCUUUUAUCUAGAUUAAUUCUGAGACCGGAAGCCGCCUCAAACCAAGCCAAAAUCCAACUUAGAGCGGACAGUUGCUCUUUGCUAGCUUCACAAAAGAUGAUCGUGUCAUCAGCAAAGAGAAGAUGGGAAACUAUCAUCUCCUCUUCCUCUCUCCCCCAAAUUCUACAACCUGACAAGAAGCCCCCAUCAACCGCCCUUCUAAUAAGAUUACUAAGUACUUCUAUACCCAACACAAAAAGAUACGGGGAGAGGGGAUCUCCUUGUCUUAGCCCCUUGGAAUUCGAGAAGAAACCAACCGGCACCCCAUUGAUCAUGACUGAAAAUUUGGCGGUUGAGAUGCACCACCAAAUCCACUCCAUCCACCGCGACCCAAAGCCCAUUUUAAGUAGAACUUUUAUGAGAAAGUUCCAAUUAAUUCUGUCAUAGGCUUUCUCAAUGUCCAAUUUACAGAUCAGCCCUUUCUCGUUCCUCUUGUGCCAAAAAUCGAUCACCUCAUUGGCAAUAAGAGACGCAUCCAAGAUCUGUUUGCCCCUCACAAAGGCGUUUUGGUCCCCGGACACCACCUUAUCUAACACCUUCUUUAGCCUAUUUGCCAACACCUUAGCCAAAAGCUUGUACAAACCCCCUAACAAGCUAAUUGGCUGGAAAUCACCCAAGUCUUCAGUCCCUCAUUUCUUAGGAAUGAGGACUAUAAAAGUGGAAUUAAGGCUUUUGGCAAAAGAACACUGGUCAUAGAAUUCUCUAAACAAUUCCAUAAUCUCCUCCUUCACUAGCUCCCAGCUUGAUUGCCAAAAAGCAAUUGUGAAACCAUCUGGGCCCAGAGCUUUAUCCCCAUUCAUACCUAUUAGGGCAGCAAAAAUUUCCUCUUCAGUAAACUGCACCUCCAAGGCUUCAGCUUCACAUGAAUUUAGACGCUUAAGGUGCAGUCCCUCAAUAUCCGCCCUCCAGUCUGGUUCUUUUGAAGGCACCUGCUGAAAAGCACUCACUAUUCCCUCUCUCAUCUCCUGUUCCUCAGUCAUCCAAACUCCAUUAAUUUUUAUUCUAGCCAGAGAGUUAUUCCUUCGGUGAGCAUUAGCCAUCCUAUGGAAGAAUCCAGUGUUUCUAUCUCCCUCCUUAAGCCACAAUUCCCUUGACAAUUAUCUCCAGUGGGUCUCCUCCAAUAAGACCCAUUUUUUAAAGGAAUCCUUGGCUUCUUUUUUCAGUUCAGUUUCACCUUCAGACAAGCUCCUUUCCCUUUCCACCCUGUCCCAAAACUCCACUUGUUGAAGGGUUGAGUUCUUAUUGGCUUCCAGUCUACCAAACACCUCCCUAUUCCACACUUUAAUCUUUUGUUUCAGCACCUUCAUUUUAGUGGCUAGUCUGACACUGACCCUCCUUCUUACCUCAACUUCCUGCCACCAACCCCUAAAAAGAUCCGUGAAGCCAUCAACUUUAAGCCACAUAUUUUUAAACCUAAACGGGGACGGACCUCUCCUUAACCCACCCCCCAUCAACACGAUAGGAAAGUGAUAUGAGGUAGGUCUGGGCAGCCUACAUUGCAUGACCUCAUUGAAAUGGUCAAGCCAACUCUGGGUCACCAGGAACCUAUCCAACCUGGCCCAAGCCUGAUUAUUUCUCCCCCUACUCCAAGAAAGCACCCCUCCUUGCAAUGGAAGAUCAAUGAGUUCUAGCUUAUCAGCAACCUGAGCAAACCUUCUCAUUGCACUCGUUAGUCUUCCCUGAUUGCUUCUUUCCCUCAGUGACAGGAUAACAUUGAAGUCACCCCUUAGACACCAAGGAUCCUCCCAAAUGCCUCUAAUUGCUCCUAUCUCCUCCCACAUCCACUCCCUUUCCUCUCUAGAGAAGGGCCCAUACACCCCAGUAAACAUCCAAACUAGCCCAUCUUCCACGUUCCUCAUCCUACAAGAAAUUGAGAAGUUUUCCACUUCCAUUUCCAUUACUUCCAAGGUCCUCUUAUCCUAGCAAAUCAGUAUCCCUCCCGCAGACCCAUGGGCAUCCAGAGUACCCCAAUUAAGAAACCUACCAAUGCCUAAGCUUCUCACCAGGCCCUCUGUCAUUGCCUGAAUCUUGGUCUCCUGGAGACAGAACAGAUCCACUCUUUGACUCUUGAUCAUGACCUUAAUCACCUUUCUUUUUGAGCUAUCGUUAGCUCCCUGAACAUUCCAACUCAAGAUUCUUAGCUUCAUUUAACCACCAUAAUCUGACACCCUCUUACUAGCAUUCCACUCUUCUGCUUCUUCCCCCCCUCGUAGUUAAUAGAGCAUUCCAACCUUUUCAAUUCCCUUUCAAACUUGGAUUUUUUUAGAAGGUUUUUGUUGUGGACUUUUUCCCUUCUUUUUUGGAUUUUAAUCAGAAAAUCCAAAAUUUCUUUCUCCAAACCUUCUGUUGAAAAUCCCAAGAACUUACUGAAUUUGGCCAACUCACUCUCCUCCCAACUUUCCUUCUCCCAUCCCUUUCCAUCUCGUGGCAUAGAUUGGGCUAACCUCAAUUCCUUUCCACAGCUAUCCUUGCAGUCGCUUGGGCCCUCCAUCAAAUCCUAGCGGCUUGCAUUCUCCUCUUCUUGGGAUCCCAGGGGAAGAAGCAUGCGUAAGGGGGUUUAUCUCAGGUGAGUCACCCUAUCAUCCCCAGAAAGGUCGCAAAACUCCCCCAAAGGAGUCCGACCAAAAAAGAAAAGAGAAGAAGGAGAGGGUCCAGACGCCAUCAAACCACAAGGGAUAGGAGCACACCCGUACCUCGACGCUUCUUCAAUUAGGGCACAGUCGGUCCUUAACUUCUCCGCGAGAAAGAGCUCCACCUCAACUUGCCUCCGCCUGCCAUCAUAAUCCCAGAAAGGGAAGCAUUCAACAUCUGGCUCCCUCAGAUGACUUGGACCAGCCCACACAAGAGGCAAAGCCACUCCAGAGCAGCCCACCAAGGACUGGGCUGGAUCACGACAAUCUUCCCUCCCCGUCAGCCCGCACAUNNNNNNNNNNNNNNNNNNNNNNNNNNNNNNNNNNNNNNNNNNNNNNNNNNNNNNNNNNNNNNNNNNNNNNNNNNNNNNNNNNNNNNNNNNNNNNNNNNNNAAAGGGAAGCCUUCAGCAUAUGGCUCCUUCAGAUGACUUGGACCAGCCCACACAAGAGGCAAAGCCACUCCCAGAGUAGCCCACCAAGGACUGGGCUGGAUCACGGUAGUCUUUCCUCCCAGUUAGCCCACACGUCCUAGUGGACUCCACUGGUCUAAGGCCCUCUAAUGACGAAGGCCCUACAGAUGACGAAGGCCCAAUAGGAUGCGGCCCGGUCUUAGGUGAAGAAUCGAGCCCAUCGGACCCAACACCCAAGGCCCUAUGCAAGCCUUCUAGGUCCCCUAGUAAUGACCCAAUUGGGCCUCGAGACCGAGCCUAAAGGGACCCCGACCCACCUGUUUGCUCCCUUGUCCCAUCAGCAAACUGCAGGUGGGUCUCGAGCCUCGCGCCGUCCACCACUUCCAUCACGCGCUUGCCCGCGCAUGUAGAGACAUCACCUUCAACCUCUCCUUCAACACCGCUGUUCUUUCCCCUCCUUUCUGCCGGCAGCACUCUCAUUACCGGCCUUAACUCCCACCAUAGGACAAGCAAAUAACACACCCCUUUGACCCCAAUUUCUAUCAUGCUAGGGAUCUCCUCGCCGGAUAAUUUCACCAAGAUUCUUGCCCACUGCAACUCUUCCAACCUCUCCGUCUGAGUAUCAAUCGCUAAGAGCCCCCCGCAUUUCUCCCUUACCUUUCUNNNNNNNNNNNNNNNNNNNNNNNNNNNNNNNNNNNNNNNNNNNNNNNNNNNNNNNNNNNNNNNNNNNNNNNNNNNNNNNNNNNNNNNNNNNNNNNNNNNNNNNNNNNNNNNNNNNNNNNNNNNNNNNNNNNNNNNNNNNNNNNNNNNNNNNNNNNNNNNNNNNNNNNNNNNNNNNNNNNNNNNNNNNNNNNNNNNNNNNNNNNNNNNNNNNNNNNNNNNNNNNNNNNNNNNNNNNNNNNNNNNNNNNNNNNNNNNNNNNNNNNNNNNNNNNNNNNNNNNNNNNNNNNNNNNNNNNNNNNNNNNNNNNNNNNNNNNNNNNNNNNNNNNNNNNNNNNNNNNNNNNNNNNNNNNNNNNNNNNNNNNNNNNNNNNNNNNNNNNNNNNNNNNNNNNNNNNNNNNNNNNNNNNNNNNNNNNNNNNNNNNNNNNNNNNNNNNNNNNNNNNNNNNNNNNNNNNNNNNNNNNNNNNNNNNNNNNNNNNNNNNNNNNNNNNNNNNNNNNNNNNNNNNNNNNNNNNNNNNNNNNNNNNNNNNNNNNNNNNNNNNNNNNNNNNNNNNNNNNNNNNNNNNNUAUCCUGAUUCAGAUGCAUGUUCAUCUACUUUUAGUGCAAUGUUAAUGUUUCUUCUUCUUAGGAACACUUAGGGUCAUCUCCAAUUGAAGGGAGCCAACUAUCUCAUCUAGCUUAAUUGAAUCAACAGUGUUCCAUUCCUCUAGUGUUAUGACCUCAGGUCUAAAACGAUCAGAGGGGAUCUUAACAGUUUUCAGGUAACCUUGGAAUCAAGUAUAUUCAGGGAUCUUACAUAGAUUGAAAAUCAGCAUUCACAAUGUCUAUGAUUUCAAUAAUAUAUUCAGAAAAUGUUUUUGUUGUGAUCAUUUGAAAUUCAUUCCUUCACCUAUCCCAACUAUACAUAGUUUUUCCUACCCUAGUGGAUAUAUAUCCCAUCUCUAUCUAGCACCAUAUCAGGAUAUCAACCAAAUUGAACAGAACUCCAAUCUCUAUCAGACUUCAUUUUCAGGAAGUACAUCUGUUUUACCUUGGAAUGAGCAUAAUUAUCUCCUUUGAAGUAUGGAGGUCUACCUAUAGAGGUUCCUUCUCGGUGAAUUUCCAUCUUAAGAGAAUAUAGUUUAUCCAUAUUGAGAGCAUGAGUAAACAUGUUUUGAUAUGAUUUAUGAGUUUUUAAGAGAGUAUGCUAUGAACUUGAGAUCUUUUUUAGAUGAUCAAAUAACAUAUGCACAUGAAUGUGAUUAAGUGAUUAGCACAAGGUCAUACGCUAAAAUGUCUCUAAUGAAAUCUCAGCAAACAAGCACACAAAUAUUGCACAAGAUAUAACAUAAAAAAUCUCUAAGGGGAGAAAGGAAAUAAAUAAAUAAAUAACAAUGGGUGCCUUUGUUGUUGCAAAUCCACUAUGAAUAUAAAUCCAGUUUUGCCUACAAGUCCUCCCAGAUCAAUCACCAAUCCCCUUAAGGAAUCCUCAGAGUGAUUAUUUCUUCAAUCCACACCUCUUUUUUAUAUGCUUCAAUAUGGCUCAUCAUGUGCUCACCACCAAUCUCUCGACAUAGCCUCCUUCAACUAUCUUCAAUUACCACGAUUUCUCUUCUCCUCCACUAAUUACAUUACAACAGAAUCACCUUCACUAUCUCAUUGAAGUGAUCUCCAAAAACUAUAAAACAAAAAUUCUAUUUGCAAAGCAACUUCUUCUUCAUAUAGAUUCAGAGAACCAAAAUAAGAAGAUGUUUUCACCUGUAGCAAAAUCUUCAUGUAGAUUUAGAGAACUGAAAUUGUAACUUCAAAUUCACUCUUAGAAUCUCAAUUAAGGUAAAGCUCUCUCACAUUUCAAAAUCCCCCACCAAGAGUUUCGCUUACUCUUCAUUUUGGAAAUGAGAGUAGAACCAACUUAGUGCCGAGGGACAUAAGGCACACCCUUAUGGGCCUAUUGUCAUGCAAAUUUUAAGGUGGAGCAUCCAACUAACUCAACAAAUGUUUUUUUGCUUCCAGCCAUUUGUUUCCAUGGUCUAGAAAAAUAUGUCCUAGAUGAUUCCCAUUGUUUCAACUCUUUCAUGAAAAAUGCUUCUCAAAUCACUCCGGUCUUUCACUCACAUUACAUGUGAACUCCAAUCUACAGUAGUGAAAUCCUAUUAACGAGCAACCUGGAACAAUUAGCUUAUCCUUUCAAUCCCAUUUUCAAGCUCAAUUCCCUCCACCAGUGAAAACAAAUGGUCUUAUAUGAUCAACUCCAUUCACUCCAGGGCUAUAAAGGAAACACUUGUGAGCUGGCAGGCAGUAGCUCCUCCCGACUCACCAUNNNNNNNNNNNNNNNNNNNNNNNNNNNNNNNNNNNNNNNNNNNNNNNNNNNNNNNNNNNNNNNNNNNNNNNNNNNNNNNNNNNNNNNNNGCAAUUCACCAAAGAAUGCAUAGGUGGCAAUGAGGUCCCAAUGGAGCUGUGCAUAUCUAACAGUCGCAGACUUGAAGGAAGCUCUGGAAUUUGUGAAAGCUUCAUGCAGUGACUCAAGUCAAGGGCUCUAAGGUUAGAGAGUUGACUGAUACCCACAAGUAUGUCACUGAGGGUUCCUCCUUCCUCUGGAUUGGACCGACUUAGAUCUAAUACUUCCAGUGAGGAUAGAUGGAAAAUACAAUGGAAGACUCCUCCAUUUAGAUUGCAGUUUCUUAGCCUUAAUUCUUUCAAUGCGUUCAAGCAGUUAUCACUCUUUAUUACUCCUGGUGUUAGAUUGCAUUGAUCUAAAUAUAGUUCCCUUAAGAGAGAUAAACCUGACAAAGAAGGCAAUUGACAACUGAGCGAAUUUAAAGAAAGAACCUCUAGACAUGGCAUUCUCUCCAGGUCCUCUGGCAAUCUGUCAAGUUUUGAGCAGCCUUCAAGACUUAGAACUUCAAGAAAUCUCAAAUUACAAAUGCUGUUCGGGAGACCCUCAAGGUUUUUACAAUUGUCCAAAUACAAGUUGCGAAGACCUUCUAGAAGUUCAAUCGAUGAUGGUAGCUCUUUAAUAGCUGUUUCAUCUAAACUAAGCACCUCUAGUUUUCCAAUGUUGCACUUGAUUUUUGGAAAACUAGUUAGUUUUGAACAGCCACUGCAAUGAAGAGUUAAAAGGUGCUUCAACUUAUGAAUGUCCCCAGGAAGACUCUCGAGGCUUACACACCCUAUAAAAUUCAAGGAAAAAAAAAGUUAGUUUUAUGACACUCUUAUAUGUGUGUGAACCUUAAGUAAAAUUAUACAACCUGAAAGAAUAAGUUCCUCCAAAUUUGGCACGUUUGAGAAAUUUGGUAAUUCAAUAAGCUGUUGUGAAUGACUGAGAUCGAUGUACCUUAAAUUUCUAAGACACUGGAACAAAAUAGAAUUUCUAUUAAUAAAUCAAUUUUAAAAAAUUUAAAAAUAUUAUGAAACAAAAGCAUAAAUAAAUAAUAAUCAUACCAUGUUUCCUUUCCAAAGUAGUUUUAUGUUACUAUUGCUCAAUUUGAGGAGAGCAAGAUCAUUUGGAUGAAAGUUUGAUGGUAGAGAUUCUAAAGAAUAUCCAUCCCAACUGAGACAUGUCAAGUCAUCAGACGAAAAUACAAAAUCUUCAGGAAGUUGUAUGCGAUUGUGGGAGACGACAAGCAAUCUAAGUCUAUUCAUCCUUUCGAAAGCUUUGCAUGUAAACUGUAUCUGUUCUGAUUUGUCCACAUCAAGGAAUAUCCCUUCAAUUUUUUCAGUCCCCUAGAUAAUAAGAGUAUAAAAUUAGAAAAGCACAAUACAUAUAAAUCCUUACUAAGGUGAUAAAGAUAAAUAACUUCUUGAACAAAACAUAUUUUCUAUAUAUAUAUAUCUUACCGUAUUUCUUUUUAAUACUCGAUAAAUAUCUGUAUGCCUCCAUAAUCUGCUCCUCUCUCCUGGCUCAUUAGGACAUUCUUCAUCAACAAUGCCCUUGCCCAUUUGGGCUAACAAAUCAUGCAUCUCUAUUGUCUUGUCCUUUGAAAUGGUUAUGAAACACCUAUCAACGAGAGCAUUUAUUCCACUUUCCGCAUUGAAUUCGGAACCAUCCAAUAUUCUUGAAACUAUUUCCACAUCACCUCCUUUAAAGAAACAUGCAAUGUCGAGAAAUAUCAUCCUUUGUGUAUAAUCCAAUCCAUCAAAACUUAUUUUAAGCACAUUUACAAUUUCCAUGUUAGGCACCUUUUCCAGCUUCCGCAAUUCGCUUUUCCAAUUUGGUAGUCUCUUUCCAAAUAAUAGAGAACCCAAAACUUUAAGUGCUAAUGGAAGACCAUCAGCAUAUCGUACUACUUGAUGAGAGAGAUCUGCAUAACCUUCCUUCAGAUGAUGUUGUUUAAAGGCAUAACGACAAAAAAGUUGAAGAGCUUCGUGAAAAUUUAAUUUCUUAACUUCAUAUAUAUCAUUCACUUCAUGCCUAGUUAGCAAAUCUUUUUUCCUAGUAGUAAUGAUGAUUCUACUUCCUGGACCAAACCAAUUAUGCUUUCCAAUCAAGUGUUCUAAUUGUGUCAGCUCAUCUACAUCAUCCAAAAAAACAAGAACCUUUUUUGAGGAAAGCUUAUCCCUUAUUAUUUUGAUACCUUCAUAAACAUUCUUUAAAACUAUUUGCCCCUUUGUCCUUAGAGUAUCAUCAAGAAGCUUUUGUUGUAACUUAAGAAGACCAGAAUUUUUUGUGGAUUCUUUCCUGACAUUUGUGAGCAAGCUAACACUUUCGAAUUGAUGUGAGAUUUGGUUAUAAAGAGCAUUGAUGAUGGUAGUCUUACCGAUUCCACCAAGACCAUAAACCCCGACCAUGCGAACAUCAUUCGACUCAAUCUUUAACAAUGAUAUUAGUUUUUCCAAACGAGAAUCCAUUCCAACAAUGUUCUCGUUAACACCUAAAAUCUUAGGUAAGUUUCCAUGAACGUUCUCAAUAAUUUCAUCAAUAAGCGUUGACUCAUACCUGCCAAUUGCAAAGCAUAAUAGAUCAUGUACUCAUGCAAUAGAAUGAGUAGCAAAAGACAAUAAAUUAUAUGAAAUAAAUUUAAUGAUGCCUACUUUUCCAACUAUAACUUAGCAGGGCUAAAAAUAAUUUAAAUUAAAAUAAAAUAAACCACAUCUAUCAAACUACUUAUGGGUACGAUUGCAUUAUUCUAUACAGUUGCUCGUGUGAUAGAAAUGAGGGAAGAAAAUGCAGAAUAUGAUUUGCAUUAUCAAAAGUGGAAAAAAGAAAUUGAAAUAUUUUUGUGUUAACUUGUCUACUCAAUCUUUUGGAAGGCUCAAAAUGAAGUUGACUUGUUUGGAAUAUUACUACCCUAUUUUGAUAAGGGAUUCCAUCACAGAAUCAACCACUAUUCUGCAUCCAAGCUUUUACGAUCAACGUUACCAUCUUUUGUACUUGCAUAACUUUCUCUCACCAUUCAUUUAGAUAAUGGUUCCCCUAGCUGUUCUUUAUUAUUAUUAUUAUUAUUUAUAAAUUUUUAUAAAAUUUUUUGAAAACCCUUUAAUCAAAAUAUAACUUUUAUAAAUUAAUUGAACAUAUUUUAUUUAUAAUUUUAAUUAUUUUGUCCGAAGGAAUUAAAAAAAUAUAUUUUAAAAGAAUAUCAAUUUUAACUUAAAAUAAUUUAGUAUAUUCUUUAUCAAGUGUAAAAUUUUAAUGAACAGAUUUUUAUUUUAUAAAAAAUAAAAAAUUUUAAAAUUUUAAAACUCACAUAGCUUUAAAUAUUUUUUAUAUCAGCAGACAGAGAAAAGGAGAGUACUUCAAGUGAAAAAUGAAAAGAAGUUACAAUUACCUGUUCUCCGCAACAUGUCCGGCUAGAUUGCCUGCUUGCUCCAUGGCAGUCCUCCAUUUCCUUAUCUUUUCCUUUCUCUCCUCGUCUGCAUUUUCCUCAUGACGGGUAAAUGCUUCUCCACAAAUCCCAGUUUGCUUCCGAACUUCAGACGGAUCCACAUUAUAGAAAAUUGGGAUAACUAUUUGUCCCCUUUCCUCUUUGCAUUCCAUGAUCUUGACAAGCUCGUCCAGACACCAUUUGGAAUGAGCAUAGGUUUUUGAGAAAACAAUAAUGGCAAUCCUUGAUUCUUCAAUAGCUUUUAAGAGCUCUGGUGCAAUCUCUUCUCCCCUUGGAAGCUCUUCAUCAUCUCUGAAGGUAUGAAUAUUGUUACGAAUCAAAGCCGAGUAGAGGUGAUCAGUAAAGCUUUUGCGAGUAUCUUCACCUCUAAAACUCAAAAACACAUCGUAGCUCCACUGAGAGUGAGAAGUGGAAGAAGAAGAGGGUCUCUGGAUGCUGGGGGAAGCCAUGGUUGAACAGAAAUUGGAGGAAAAAUAAGGGUCUUCGGGUACUGAGUAACUCAUUCCCCUAGCCUUACGUGAAGUUUGGAUGUUGGUGGUGGGAUGCGCUUUUUCUUUCUUAAUUAUUUCUCCCUAGCUGUAUCCCUCUAGCUUUGAAUGAUAGUGUGGUUCACAUGGUCAAGACCGCACUUCAAUCAUUUCCCUUCACUCUUUUCUUUUACAUUUUACUCACUUUUCUGAGUUUUCUCUUUUUGUCAGUCAACAAUGGCCGACAGUCUUGUCUCUGCCGUUUACAGCUGCUCUUUUCUUUUAUUCUAAAAUAAAAAAAAUAAAAAAUGAUCAAAUGGUCUUUGCUUAGCUCAUAAGAUCGUGUGAACGCACAUUAAAUUAAAGUUAUUCAAUUAAGUUUUGUCUUUUCCAUAGUGAGCAAUAUUAUAGUAGAAAAUAAAGGUUUAUUAAGUUGAUAUGUCAAGUAAAGCUAACAACUUUGGUAUUAUAAGCUUCAUUUUUGUAGAUAAAAAAUAUGAUAAUUCAUAUGACAAAAGGUAAAGAAAAUUUUGAUCUUGAAGAGUAGAAAGAAGCACAAAACCUUCAUGAAAUUUUAGGGAAGAAAGACCAUGCCCAAAACUCGAAAUUUAAAUUUUCACAGCCUUUUCACAUUUUGUAGUUGGCUUUAUUAUUAAUAGAAGCACAUAAAUAAAUAUUGUACUUAACCAUGUUACUUCUAAAAUUAAAUCCCAUUAAUUUAUAGGUCAUAAUGGCUUGUAUAGGUCAUCAUAGUAAUGAGUGUGAAGGUGGGUACUUCUAUAAAUAAUAGAUGAGAUUAAACCAAUUACCCUAAAAUUCAAAAGCACCUUUAUCAUAAAAGUCAUUGUCGUCGUAAUGGUAAUGAGGUUGGAGUAUUGGAUUAAAAUAACUUAUUUAUUAAAAAAAAUAUAAUAUUUAACAAAUUUUCGAAACUUAUGUUCAAAUUGAUUUUUUUUUUUAUACCAUGUAGGUGUCAUGUCAUUAAAAUUUAUUUAUUUUUAAUCAUUUUAGUUAAAAUCUCAGUUAGUAAAUCAUUUUAAUUAAAAUCUCAAUUAGUAACUAAGGCUUCAAUUUUUAACUAAAGUCGGUAAUUGUCAAUUAAGGCUUCAUUUUUUAAAUUGAAGCCUCAAUUGACAACUAAAGUUUCAUUUUUGAAUUAAAACCUCAAUUGGCAACUGAAUCUUCAAUUUUGAACUAAAACCACAGUUCCCAACUGAAGCUUUAAUUAUUUUUUUUAAAUAAAAUUUAUUAAAUUAUAAUUUAUGAUUGAAAUUUUAAAAAUAUACUUAAAUAAUAAAUUAUUUAUAUUUAAACUUAAGAAUCUAGUAUUACUUCAACAAACAUAAAUUGAUAAAUAGAAGAUAUUAUAAAUGAAUAUUUUAUUUAUUAAUAAAUUAAUAAUCUUAAAAUAAUAAAUUUACAUAACAUAUAAAUAAUAUAUAAAAUUGUAUAAUUUAUUAAUUUAAGAUAUUUAAUUUGUCGUUUUUUAAGAUAUUAAUUUAUUUGUAUUAUGACAAAUUUAUUUUUAUCGAAAUAAUAAUAUACUUUUAAGUCAUAGUUGCUAACUGAGAUUUCAAUUAUAAUUUUUUUUUUACUUUCAAAUUUAAUUAAAAACUAUUAAAUUAUAAUUUAUUAUUGAAAUUAAAAAUAUAUACUUUAAUAAUAAAUUAUUUAUAUUUAAACUUAAAAAUAUAGUAUUACUUCAACAAACAUAAAUUGAUAAAUAAAAUAUAUUAUAAAUAAAUAUUUUAUUUAUUAAUAAAUUAAUAAUCUUAAAAUAAUAAAUUUAUAUAACAUAUAAAUAAUAUAUAAAAUUGUAUAAUUUAUUAAUUUAAGAUAUUAAUUUAUUUUUAUAAUUUAAUAAUUUUUAAUUUAAAAAAAAUUAACUAGGACCUCAGUUGGAAAUUGAGACUUCAAUUUUAAAAUUUUAGUUUAAAAAUGAAACCUCAAUUGAUAACUGAGGUUUUAGUUCAAAAAUGAAGUCUCAGUUAUCAAUUGAGACUUUAACUAAAAUUAUGAAGAAAAAAAAAUUUAAUGAUAUGACACCUACAUGACACAAAGAGACCAAUUUGAACAUAAAUUUCAAAAAGUAAUUAAAUGUUUUUUUUUUUUUAAUAAAUUGACCAUUUUGACCCGAUACUCAAUGAGGUUAGGUAUAUUUUGAAAGAAUAGAAAACCCUAAAUUUCAAAAGAAUGUUUGAUUCUUGACAAUUUAUCCCCAAGAGCCUUAUUUUUUUACUUUUUAUCUUUUUAUUAUUAUUAUUAUCGUGAGGAUGGUUAAAGAUGAUAUAGAAGUCUUUCAAUGGUUUAAAAAAGAAAAAUGUGAGUGUUAAGUUGACAUUUUUGCCAUUUUAGAAAAUACUUAAUUUUAAGAUCAUUAAUAGGAAGAAAUAAAGAGUUCACAAAAAAUAAAGACAUUUUUAUUGAUUGAUCUAGGUAAUUGUGGACCCCGCAUUUCGGCUCAAUACGUUUUCCACUAGAUGGCGAGCUCGAUUUUGAUUUGAAAAAUGAUUUUUAUUGGUUAAAAGAAUGACUUGGAGUCGCCACUUAUUUUUGUUUUAUUUUUAAAGGGUAAACAAAAUAAGAAAGAAAAACCCUAAGUGUGACUCCUUGUUUUGGAAAAGGUGGUCUGUGAAAAACCGGAUCGGGUUCGGGGGUCAGGUUACUUAUUGGGAAGGUACGGUAGAGACCGUAGCACCCCUCUAAGUCCCUAAAGUCGGGUCUCUACUAAUAAAGUGAAACUGACGUGACAAUCGAAUAAGAAAGUCAAUGGAUACUCACAUCAAUCAUGCAUAUAUGAGAAUCAGAAUAUGUAUAGUGAAUGAUCAGAAUGAGUGAAUGCAUACCUGGGCAGCAAACAGCAACGCGCUAUCAAGAAACGGGAUUAGUGCACAAUUAAUGAAUACAAAACAUAGCUCAUACAUAUCGGAGUGCAAAGCGAAGCUCAAACAAAAUACAGUAAGCACGAAAAUUGACAGUCAAAAGGGGUCAAACAUAGGGCCCCCAACAAAGCCCGAUUUAUUGUUCAUGAGCUAAUCCCACAAAUCCCCUGUUUUGGAAUUAUGAAGGAAUCACUGUUGUUUAUGUAAAAUCAAGAAGAUCAGAAGAUUAUUUAGGAACUGAAAUGUGAUUAAGAACUAUUCGAGUGAAAACUGAAUUAUUGGAGCUUAUUUGAAAAUUGAAGUAUUUGGAAUUAAAUUUUGAAGAUUAGAGCUCUGGUGAUUAAAUCGAAAUUUUUAAAGAAAAUGAGAAACGGACUUUAGGAAAUUGAACUGCGAGACCAUAGACUUUUGAAAGUUGAAUUUAUAAUAAUGAUAGUAAUGAGGUCUUGAGAGGUUGAAUUAAUAAUAAUAAUAAUUAUAAGAUUUCGAAAGUUGAAUUUAUAAUAAUGAUAGUAAUGAGGUCUUGAGAGGUUGAAUUAAUAAUAAUAAUAAUUAUAAGAUUUCGAAAGUCUGAAUUGACGAUAAUAAUAACAAUAAUAAGAUUUUGAAGGUGUGAAUUAAUAAUAAUAAUAAUAAUAAGAUUUUGAGAAUUUGGAUUAAUGAUAAUAAUAAUAAUAAUAAAUAGAUUUUGAAAGUUGAGUUAACAAUAAUGAUAAUAAGAGAGUUUGGAUUAAUGAUGAUAAUAAUAAUAAUAAAUAGAUGUUGAAAGUGCGAAUUAAUGAUAACGAUAAUGAUGAGAUUUUGAAAGUUGGGAUUAAUGAUAAUAAUAAAUAAUAAUAAAUGGAUGUUGAAAAUGUGAAUUAAUGAUAAUGAUAAUGAUGAGAUUUUGGAGGUUUGGAUUAGUGAUAAUAAUAAGUUAUAAUAAAUAGAUUUUGAAAGUUGAGUUAAUAAUAAUAUUAAUAAUGAGAUUUUUGGAAGUUUGGGUUGAUGAUGAUAAUAAUAAUAAUAAAUAGACUUUGAAAGUUGGGUUUAUAAUAAUAAUAAUGAGGGUUUUGAAAGUUUGGAUUAAUGAUAGUAAUAAUAGUACUAAAUAGAUUUUGAAAGUUGAAGUAAUAAUAAUAAUAAUAAUGAGAUUUUUGAAAGUUUGGAUUAAUGAUGAUAAUAAUAAUAAUAAUAAAUAGAUGUUGAAAGUGUGAAAUAAUAAUGAUGAUAAUAAUGAGAUUUUGAAAGUUGGGAUUAAUGAUGAUAAUAAUAAUAGUAAUAAAUAGAUUUUGAAAUUUGUGAAAUAAUAAUGAUGAUAAUAAUGAGAUUUUGAAAGUUGGGUUAAUAAUAAUAAUAGUAAUGAAAUUUGUGAAUGUUGAGUUAGUAAUAAUAAUAGUAGGAUUUUGAAAGUUUGGAUUAAUGAUAAUAAUAAUAAGAAUAAAUAGAUUUUGAAAGUUGAGGUAAUAAUAAUAGUAAUAAGAUUUUGAGAGUUGAAUUAAUAAUAAUCAUAGUGAUAAUAAUAAUAAUAAUGACAAGAACAAUGAUAAUAAUAAUAAUAAUAAUAAUGACAAUAAUAAUAAUAAUAAUAAUAAUAAUAACAAUAAUAAUAACCAUAAUAAUAAUAAUAAUAACAAUGAUAACAAUAAUUAAUAAUAAUAAUAAUAAUAAAUGAUAACAUGCAUCCAUCAAACCCAAAGCCCAUAAGCAUGGAUCCACUAACAAGCCUCAUCUUCAACAAGCCCAGUCCAUAAGCCUAAACCCAUAAGCCUAAGCCCACAAGCCUAAGCCUAAGCCUCCAAAGCCCAUCAGCAAAGCUCAAGCCCAAAUCAAUGAGUAAGCCCAAGCCCUUUAUCACAUGCUCUUCUUCCUCAUCUCCGGAGACAGUGACGGAGAAAAAUGGAGGUGAGAGAGACAUCGUCGGAGGUCCUCGGAGUUGGUCCAAGCUGCCAUCCUCCCGCGCCACCUCGGACAUGCCCAACUGCAGCAGCCUAGUGUCGGUGUGGAGCCUGCUGCUGCAGCCUUCAUAGGAGCGUGGAGCUUCGUCGGCCGGAAUCUGGUCGUUGAGGAAGAGCUCAUGUGCUGACAGCAUCCUCGACGUCGUCGUCGCGGAGCUCCCAUAGUAGGCGAGCCAUGUGGAAGAUUCGAACCCGGCGCCGGUGGACGAUGAGGCUACGGUUAAAGUGGACGGCGUCGGCAUUACGCAAGGUGCGAAGUGCAUGGGGCUCACCGGAGUGCUGUAGAAGAAAAACACCGCUUCCGGAGCCGCGUCCUAGGCUGGAGGGAGCAUUGACGUGGGGGGUGGAGCUAGAGAGAGAAAAUGUGGUGGAAAUGAUAAUGGGUGAGUGUGGCGAGGGUUGACGGAGUUGGGGAUGUGCAUGAGAGAUGAUGGGCAUGAAGAGAUCCAAAAAAAAAAAAAAAAGAUGGGUAUGGUGAUCUCGGAUGUGAGUGGUUAAAUGGGGGUUUGUGAACAAAGCAUGAAUCAAUAAUGUCAAAGCACACUUAUAACUCAAACCUCAUCCAACAAUACAUCAACUACUAGCUAUCCAUAUCUGGAUCAAAGGGAAAAUGACCAGAAAAUAACUCAAGAAAGAAAGAAAAAAAUGGGACAAUCAGAUGCUAAGUAGGAGCAAGGAGUCAUCAAUGGCAUACCUGGGGACGCUCCCUUCUUCUUCAAGCUUCACUUUCCAAGAUCCCUCGAACCAGCCCGCUCUCCCCCUCCUCCUUCCUGUUGCCCUGGUCCCGCUUGCCUUUUCUUCUUUCCCCCGUUCUUUUUUUUCUCUUCGUGUCUUCUUCAGCAAGCCCGCCGUAUCCCGUCCCAUCUGCAGCCCAAAAGCUCUGCCUUCUUCCUGCUUUUCUUCCAACCGUCCUCGGGUGGAUAAAGAAAGUAGAAAAGAAGAAGAAAAAAAAAAGAAAAUGCAUGAAAAUAAAAAAAACCUGCCCCCAGUUGAGGGGGUCUACAGUAAUCCUUUCAUAGCUUUUAACUAUAACUUUGUUGAAAAUCUUACUCCUUCCUCCUUGUCUUCCUCUUAUAAUUUCUAAGUUUCAACUUUUUUUUUUUUCUUUUUAAUAAUAAUAUUGGUUUUAUGUUUUAAUGAAAUAGGUUGCAAAUUUGAAGAAAACAUAUUCUAAUGUAUUUAUUGAUUAUAGCUCUUUCUUCAAAAGGGUUAUCGUUAUUUACAUUCUCAAACUAAUCAAAUUUACAUCUCUAGAUAUGUAAUCAUUGAUGAGUUUGAGUUUUCCUUUACUAACAAAACUUCUACCAUAUCUUUCUUAUAGGAACAAAGUCAAAUGACCAUAUUUUGAGAUUUCGAUCAGCAGUCACAACCAUUCAAUCCAAACACCAACUCAACCCACAACUUCACUCCCACCAAACAACCUUUCAAACCAUCGUAAUAGUGUAGAUCUUCUAUUUUGUCUUUUUAACACAUCUCAUCUAAAUUUGUCUUUCUUACAUACUUUAACACCUUAUUAUGCACUUAUGGUCAUUUUUCUAAGCUGUUUUUUUUAAAUUAUCUUUUAUUCUUUGUGAUUAUGUUGAUUACUAAUUAUUUUAUUUUAUUUUAUUUUAUGCAAGAGUCAUUCUAAAGGGAUUAAAUGCAUUCCAAUAUUGAUUUUAAUGAUUUUUAAAUCUUAAUUCAGGACUUUAUUUUUUAUUGAUGUAUAACAUAUUUAGGUUUGUUUAAAAUUUUCAAACUUUAAUUUUAUAAAAUAGAUUCAAGUUUUGAAUUAAUUAAUAAUUGAUUUCAUUCUCUUUAAAAUGUAGAAUAUGAUAAAAGGCCUGCAACAAAUUCAAACAAAUCUUUAUACAAGUGAGAAUUUAUGUCAUCCAAUCAUUUUAUUAAAAAUCACUCUAUAAAUUAUAAAAAUAAAGAUAUUAAUCACAUCUAUUAAUAUGUUUUUUUUUUAAAUUGACAAAUCAUGAUGAAAUUAUAAUCUUUUUAAUAUUUUAUUAAUUAUAAAUUAAAACAUCACUAUAAUUAUUCAAUCCCCACAGAAUAUAAAAUGAGUUAUUUUCAGUAAUAAUAAUAAUAAUAACUAAUCAUAUUUGAAUAACAUUUCAUCAAUUAUAUAUCAAAAUAAAGUUUUAUGUUUAUCAUAACCUAUGUUUUAAAACAAAAUAAUAAAAGUUAUAUUUCCAUUUAAAUGUAUUUAGAUAUCUACCUCCAUAGCCCAUGGUAUUAAAAUAAUCUAAUAAAACACAGUAUCCCAUAACCGGUCAACAGCACAGCUGCUCCUAGCCUUAGCCUCUUGCAGCUGCAAUCAGCUGUUCCACUCUCUGUUACAGGAGUUUAAGACCAAAAUAAUAUAUUUGUAAAAAAAAAUGAUAAGAAUAGUAUCCAUUUGAAAAUAUUUGCCAAAGUAGUCUUCUUUAUCCACGUAAGCAUCCACAUGGAUUUUAAGUGUAAAGAACCACCGUUGGUGACUGUGGUUUUAGAACUUACAAAAAUUUCCUUAAAACCACAGUUACAAACUGUGGUUUUACAAUUUCUCUUAGAACCACAGUUACUAACUGCGGUUUUAAAAGAAGUUUCCUUAAUACCACAGUUACAAACUGUGGUUUUACAAUUUCCUAACUUUACAAUUAUUUUUAAAAUAUUUUUUUUAUUAAAACAACCAUAAAACCACAGUUAGUAACUGUGGUUUUACUAAUGGUGUUGUAAUUCAAAUUAGUGAUGUUAUGUUAUUCACAUGUUUCCUUGAUAAUUUAAACAAAUAAAACUCAAAUGCAUCCUAAAGUCUAAAUGAAAGAAAUUAUAACUAAAUAAAUUAUUACAACCAUUACCUAUUUUUCUUUCAUAUAAUUAAAAAAUUAUACAUUUUAACCAAGACAUAAGUUCAAAUCAUACUUAAUAAUAAAUAACCUAAAAUCAUAAUCACUAACAUUAAUUUUCAUAUGAAAAGAUAAAAUUUUAAAAUAAUAUAAACAAUUUCUUUAGUUAUUUUAAAAUUUAAAAAUAAUAUGAAUAAAUAAUUUUCUUUAGUUCAUAUGUGAAAAUAUUUGUAAAACAAAUAAAUAUUUUAUUUACUAUAAAUAUAUAAAUUUUUAUGGGAAUGCAUGUAGACCAAAUUAUUUUCUCAAAUUUUCAAGGAAAAUAUGAAAAAAUAAAGAUAAAAUAUAUAUAUAUAUAUUUUUAAAUAGUCGUAACAAAAAAAUUUGUGAAAAGCAAAGUUCUAAAAUCCCAUACUUUUUUAUACAUGAGUCCCCUUAAAAAUAUUUGUGAAAAUUACAACAUAAUUGUAAUUUUGAUAAAAAAAUAUUUUAAAAAUAAUAUUAAAAUUACAACACCAUUAAAAUAGAUGUGGAUUAAAAAUAAUUGUAAAACCACAGUUACUAACUGUGGUUUUAUAGUUAUUUUGAUAAAAAUUAUUUUAAAAAUAAUAUUAAAAUUACAACACCAUUAGUAAAACCACAGUUACUAACUGUGGUUUUAUGGUUGUUUUGAUAAAAAAAAAUAUUUUAAAAAUAAUAUUAAAAUUAUAACACCAUUAAAAUGAGGACGGAUUAAAAAUAAUUGUAAAACCACAGUUACUAACUGUGGUUUUAAGGGAAAUUGUAAAACCACAGUUUGUAACUGUGGUUUUAAGGAAACUUCUUUUAAAACCGCAGUUAGUAACCGUGGUUCUAAGAGAAAUUGUAAAACCACAGUUUGUAACUGUGGUUUUAAGGAAAUUUUUGUAAGUACUAAAACCACAGUCACCAACGGUGGUUCUUUACACUAAAAAUCCAUGUGGAUGCUUACGUGGAUAAAAAAGAUUACUUUGACAAAUAUUUUCAAAUGGAUACUAUUCUUAUCAUUUUUUUUUACAAAUAUAUUAUUUUGGUCUUAAACUCCUGUUACAGUCCAGCUUUGGCCGCCCAAGACAUACAUCUUUUCACCCAUCAGCCAUUACCCCUGCCACAGCUCAUACUAAAGCUGCCAUAACCUAUACCCCAUAACCUAAUAUACGACUCUCACAACCGCCCUUUGUAAGAGUCACACAAAAGCCAAAUUUUUAUUAUUAUUAUUUUUAAUCAACUCCAGCACAGCCUCGUCAGACGCCGAGCCUCCUGAUCUCAUCUCCAAACACGUUCUGCAGCUGAAUCCUUUGCCUUUAUGAAGUUUGGAUGUUGGUGGUGGGAUGUGCUUUUCCUUUCUCAAUUAUUUCUGCUUAGCUGUAUCCCUCUAGCUUUGAACUUUCACUUUUGUCCCUUUUGGCAGUCAACAAUGGCCGACAGUCUUGCCUCUGCGAUUUACAGCUGAUCUUUUCUUUUAGGGAGAGUUGGGAUUACUGGCUGUUAUACGAGAAAUACAUGGUUUUCAAAACCAUAUAACUGAAAUAUGAUUUACCUGAGAAAAAUUGUGAGAGUUGAGUUGUCAUUUUCGCCAUUUUAGAAAAGACUUAAUUUUAAGACCGUUAGUAGGUAGAAAUAACAAGUUCACAAGAACGAAAGAGACCUUUGUUGACUGACCUAAGUAACCCCUUUCAUGGCUUUUUCACUUGUUUGUUUUUGGGUUUUCUUUAAUGAGGCUAGGUGAUUGUUGUUUAUUUUGACUUAUAUUUUAGAUGGAUUUCAUUUUUAAUAAGAGUUUUUCAUGGUAAAAAUUGAUGUGAUACAAAUUUUUAUUGAUAUUAAUAUCAUUUUAUCAUAAAUUAUUUAGAGUAUAGAUAUAAAUAAAAUAUCAAUACCAUAGGAAAUGUUAAAAUAAAGUUAGGUGCAUAUGCAAAAAAUAAAAUUUGAAAAAUAGAAUAGUCCAGUCCAACCAUAUCCACACAUCCAUCUUCCUAUAAAUGAAACUAAUGAUAGAUACAUAAGUCAAAAAUAAGAUUUGAAAAAGAGUAUAAUCCAAUUCAACUACCUAUCUUCCAAUAAAUUAAACUCAAAAUGGGCACAUAUUCCAAAAAUAAAUUUUGAAAAAUAAAAUAUUCCAAACCAACUUUAUCAACAUGUCCAUCUUCCAAUAAAUUAAAUUGGAAAUGAGUCGGCAUGUGAUAAAAUAAAUGUCAAUUUCCAUUUUACUUAUAUUAAAUUCACUUAUAUAUUUAUAUCGAAAAUUAUCCUUUGAAUAUUUCUAGAAACAUUAGUGUGGACUCCGCAUUUUGAUUGCUCAAUGCGUUUCCCACUCGAUGGCGAACUCGACUUUUAUUUGAAAAAUUGAUUUUUAUUGAUUAUUUGAAAAUGACUUGGAGUCGCCACUUAUUUUUGUUUUAUUUUUAAAGGGUAAACAAAAUAAGAAAGAAAAACCCUAAGUGUGACUCCUUAUUUUGGAAAAGGCGGUCUGUGAAAACCGGAUCGAGUUCGGGGGUCAGGUUACUUAUCGGGAAGGUACGGUAAAGACCGUAGCACCCCUCUAAGUCCCUAAAGUCGGGUCUCUACUAAUGAGAUGAAGCUGACAUGGCAAUCAAUGAGAAAAUCAAUGAAUACUCGAAUCAAUCAUGCACAUAUGAGAAACAAAGCAUGUAUAAAGAAUGAGCAAAAUAUGAAUAGAUGCGUACCUGGGCGGCAAUCACGAAUGCGCUAUCAUGAAACAUGGUUAGUGAACAAUGAACAUAUAUAAUUAAGCGCAUAUCAAGGAAUAGAGUAAAUCAAUCAUGCAUGACAAAUAAAUCAAUCAAGCAAUCAAUCAGUCAUGAAUUCACAUAUGUGGGCCCCCCAUCAAAGCCCGUUUAUUUUGCAUGAAUUAAUCUCAUAAAUCUCAUCAUUUGAGAAUUACGAAGAUUGAUUUCUUGCUUGUUUAAAAACAUUUUGAAAUUCAUAGGAGUUGUGAAAAUUAUUGGCCAGAAGGAAGAAUGGCAGUGAAUUUUAUUUGAAAUGAGAUUUUUGAGUGAUCCUAAAAAUUCUAAAGAUGAAAAUUUGAAAAAUAAAUAAAUAAAUAAGAAUAAAAUAAAAUUAUUUGAAAAUCUAGAAAUUGGAAACUAUUUGAAAACGGGAAAUUUGGAAAUUACUUUUAAAUUGAAGAUAAAGAAAUAAAUAGAUAAAUAAAAAAAUAAAUAAAAGACACGUGGCCCAAAAGGUGGUCAUGCAUAGCUGCUUGUAAAUUGGGCAGCCAGUGCUUCUCAUACUCUCAGCUUCGGGAUGUUCCUUGAUGUAGUUGCCCCCAUGUGUCAUCCUUAGCCGUGACAAUGCAUGUGUCUUCAUCCCAAUUAAAGUCACUUUGAUCAAGAAGCGUCUUGACAGUGACAUAUUACAUCCUUAAGACAUCAUACCGAUUCUGCAGUUGCUCCUUCAAUUUUGGGUACUGAGCCCUGGCCCACUUUAACACAAAAUUAUACACUGCAUCCUCUGACGCAACCUGGAGUUCAUCACUAGACAAAAAUGCUUCAGUCUUGACAAGGGGUAAGGCCAUCGCCUCUUCUUGAAACUUGGUUGUGUCUUUGUAACGACUAGCAAGAUAUUGAUUGGUUGCAUCUGUCAAAGGCUGAACUGUCUCAACCAUUAGGGCACUAGAAGGAGGCUCUAGACAGAGCAAUGCAGAUUUCAGGUAUCAUGGAUAAGUUCCUUAAGAGUCUGCUGCAGCUGCGAUUCGGAGACUCUCCACCGUUGAUUUCAUCAUCAUGCUUCGCUUCAGAAUUCUGGACGCCAUGGAUUCAAACCGCGACUGGUUUGGCUUCCUUCAUUGCUUGUCACAACAGACUGCAUGCACCAUUCGUCGCGUACCUCACGACAAAUGUGAGUCUGGUUAAUCCCGUAGGAGGACUCCAAGCAGCAUGCAUAACGUACCUCUUCGGAACAUCACAACGAGACCCACUGGUGCCCUCGUCUGAAUACACCUCCGCAUCUCAUUCAAGUAAUGGGUAUUGGACCCAUGCAUGCAUGCAAAGAUGGAGGAGUGAAGUGGUGAGAGAAAGGAUGUACGGAUUUAGCUGCGAGUAAAGUCACGGGUAUGGGAGGAUGGAUGCGGUGAAGACCUUUGAGGGUGAUGAAAAAUGGUGCAUGGAGUAAGAUAGGCUAAAGUGGAAAUGCGUGGUAGAAUGGGCAAGGAUCUCAUGGGGAGAGUGCAGUCACGCAUAGGGUUAUGGGUAUGAUGGUAUGGGGGAUGGGAUGAUGUAGUUAUGGAGUGGUGUAGUGAGAGGAAAGGUGGUGAAGGGUAUGUGAGGAGGAUGAUGGGUAUGAGAGAAGGGUAUGAUGGGUACCAUGCAUGGGGAUGAAUGGUAUGAAGGAAGAUGGGUAUGGAGGAACAUGAAGGAUGGGUAUUGGAGGAUAUGGGUGAUGAGAAUGAAGUAGGAAACGUGGGUAUUAUGGGUGUGGGAAUUAAGGACGAUGGUGAAUGCGCUUAAUGGGAGAAUAUAGGAUGGAGAACGGGAAAUGGAAGAUGGAGAAUGGAUGAUGAGUGAUGGAGAGCUUGAGGUGGGUUGGAUGGAUGCAUGCAUCGGGCAUGAAGGACGGGUGAGUGGGAUGUGGGUAGUGGGCUUGGAAAAUAGGAACGUGGGUAAGGUGGUGUGGGACCAUGCAUGACUAAAUGGGUUAUCUUUUCCCGGUUUUUUUUAUUUUCCAGAGAUUUGCAGCCAAUUCCUUACUGUCAACAUGAUUACUGCCAACAUCUCAUCUCAGUGCCUUUCAUUAUUCUCACAGUCGCGACCAAAGAACAGUUCACUGUAGGAAACCAUAAAGAAAGACUAUGCUUCGUUGCUACUGACAAGGCAUUAUUUCACUUACCCUGAUUCCAUUUUAAGGCGGGAUAAAACCCGCAACCUGCACCAUCUGCGGAUAUGGUGGAACAAGUCAUCCACCAGAGAAGAAAUGCCUCUCACUGACAGGGUCUGAUGAUGGAGUUGAAAAAUUACGUCUAAAUAAGAAACUGGAAGGAGAGCCUCAAUUUCAUUCUUGGAUUUAACUGCUCAAUCCUUAACAUUCUCACAGCUGUCACCUUCCCCAUCAUAGUCACUUCCACUAACCAUCUUUUCCGGAGGAACACCAUUUUCAUAAAUCCACCAUUACUACCAGCCUCAGGUAGUAAUACGAGAAUCGAAACUCUCCACGACUAGUUCUAGGGAGCAGAGAUGGUAUGGGGGACAAAAUCGUUAAAAAAAAAAAAAAAAAAAGAACAAAAAUCAAAAGAUCCCGGAAUCGUAUAUAUAAAGCUGCGUUCCAUGAAAAACGAACGAGCUCAAAAAUGGUGGAACAAACAGGGGGUCCUCAACACGAGCUGGUAAACAUCAUACUCAAAUCUAGGUAAAGAGUAAUACCCCCAUUGCAAUGAAAAAAAAAAGAUUGAGAGCAUGAGAAGAGAAUAAAACAUAACAUAUAGGAGCAGAUAAUCACAUUUAAACGAAGCAAACCUGUGGCCCUUGAUCGUCCACAGCAAAUCACAAAUAGAUAUUCAUCAGAUUAGCAGAGAAUGAAGUGAGAUUUUAAGAGAUGAAAACGCACCAGAUUCAAAGUGAUGCUACUAAUGGCUCCACAAUGCAACCUUCUCCUCCUCGGCUUGCAAGCUUUCUCUUAGAAAACUCUCCGUGUAGCUUGCUUUCCCCCCAACUCAACCUCUCUGUCAAAAACUCCUCCUGUAGCCCUUCUCUCCCCAACUCUCAAAUAGCUGGCCACCUCUCUCUGCCCUCUCUCUCUACCCUGCAGCAGCUUCUGAAAAGCACCCUACCUCUGGCCAGCUGACCCCCCUGCAAAAAUCCCCUCUAACAGAAAAUAUGCGCUCCUCCUAACGGCCAGAAUAUCUCCAUGCCACGUGUCAAACUCUCACUCGCUCCUCAAUUCCACCAUCUGUUUCUAUGACCACCAACCACAAGACGACACGUGGCCCUAUGGGACUGCGGCACUUGGCAAAAAUGGCUGUAGAAAAUGACACCCAAAUGGGGGUCUACAAAUAUGCCCCUCUUCGGUAGAGUUCACGAGUGUAAGAGAUAUGAACACUGAAGUGAAAAGUAAGUGUGAAUAGUGAGUGGAAUGAAGUGAACUCUACCGAAGAAUCAAAGAGACCCCCAUAGGGACACUGGUGAAACGCAAAGUCACCCAGGCUAGUAGAUGAACACAAAGGCUCUAAUCCUAAAAGAGAAAUGAUGUCACAAAAUGCCUCUGCGGCCAUACUAAGGAUCCAAGCUCCCUCUAAGAUGUCUCCCACCCAUUUACUGCUAAAACAGUGGCAGACAAAUUUGUAUAGGAAUUAUCAAGCUCCACGGGAUGCCCCAGUUCGUCAUUAGUGACCGAGAUCCAAUUUUCAUUAGCAAGUUCUGGCAAGAAUUCUUCAAGAUGUCGGGCACCAAAUUGCAACUCAGUUCCGCAUACCACCCACAGACCGUCGGACAGACGGAAGUUGUCAAUCACUGCCUCAAGCAAUACCUUCGUUGUUUCGUGCACUAGUGGCCACGCAAAUGGAGUUCUUAUUUACCUUGAGCAGAAUAUUGGUAUAAUACCAACUAUCAUAUUUCUACAGGGAUGACCGCAUUCCAGGCACUGUAUGGAAGGCCGCUUCUUGGCAUUCCAUCGUACAUAGGUCUUUCGCUAGUACACGAGGUGGAUCAACAGUUAAUGACUCGCGAUGAACUACUUUAGCAAUUGAAGAUUAACUUAGCAAGCUCAGUUAAUCGAAUGAAACAAAUGGCAGACCACAAGCAGAGGGAUAUUUCGUUGACAUUGGCGAAUGGGUGUUGUUGAAGCUGCAUCCUUACGGCCAACAAACAGCCUUCAAACGGGUCCAACAAACGGCCUUCAAACGGGUCCAUCAGAAAUUGGUUAGUCGUUUUUACGGAUCCUAUGUGAUCUUGAAGAAAUGCGGACCAAUCGCGUACAAAUUAGACUUACCAAAAGGCACGCGCAUCCACCCAGUGUUUCAUGUGUCACUACUUAAAUGAUACCAAGAAAAUGAUGGACUUACGGAGCCACAGUAGACAACGUUGCCACCUAUCUCCGAUGAAGGAGUGGUCGCACUUGAACCGCAAAAGAUUCUGGACACCCGCUUGGUCAAACAGAGAGGCCAACUUGUUGAAGAAAGCCUAGUGCAACGGAAACAUCUACUCUCGAAGGACGCCACUUGGGAACCAACGAAGAAAUUGCUCAACGAAUUCUCACCAACGAUCCUUGAGGACGAGGAUCCACUACACGGGGGAAGUAUUGAUAGGCCACGUCAGUCAACGAGGCCCCGUAAUCCAAAUCCCAAAUACUUGGGAUAAGCUGGACGUGAUCAACAUGAAGUUUGGGUCGUGGGGAACGUUGGAAGUUUACGUUGGAAGUUUACAUAGGAAUGGGUCUUCAGGAGUUACGCAUUUUAUGUCAUUUUCUUUCCGUUAGUGUUGUCUGUUAUAUGCUAUGUUUUAUGUGUUUAAGUUCCGGUUAUUAAGCUACUAGUUUCCCUUCAUUUUUGACAUUAUUGUAAUUGGCUUUGCUUAUUUAAAGCAGCCCAGAAAUUAUCAAGAAGCAGGAGAAAAAUUAUUCAACUAUUAUGGUUCAUUUCUCACCCGAAGAGAAAGUCAUUUACGUUAACAUCUAUCGCAUUUGUUGGGACCUAACAGGGCGCAACUGCUAUCACUACAGCUGGUGAUGUGUUGCUAGUUGCUACAGGGAAUGUGCUGUUGUGGCUGUUGAUGUUGUUGCUUCCUCUUCAAGAAUAUCAACACAAGGUGAGACGAGGGCUUACCCAAAUGAAACCAGAGCAAUCCAAGAAACAAAACUAUCGUGUGGCAUUUCAUCAACCAGGUGGUGGGCAUUAUCAACUGAAAAAAUAUCUCUACUGGAGUUUAUUAUUUUCUAUACAUUGCAUAAACUUUAAAGAUAUUAUGAUCCAUUAACUUUGAACCUUAUUUACACUUGCAUAUGUCUGGGAUUGUGUGUAACAAUUGAUUAACAUUGACUUUUGGGUGUAAAUGUUGUCUAAUUCGUCACUCAGAUAUCAGGUGUGAUUAACCAUGCAUGUCAGAAAUUCUGAAGACUUGAUUGGAUUGAUUUGCUCGUCUGAAAUGUCCAAUCGGCUUGGUCUGUCCAUUCCGUUUGACAUUAUGGAAGAAGGAAAACUUCUCACUUUUGGUGCUAGACGGAGCUUAUCUUUAUCCAGACGGGUUAUAUGUUUGUCCUAAUAAGCCAAAGGGUUUUGAAUUUGAGAAGGACAUGUGGAGGGAAGCUCCCCACAGACAUUAUCAACUGAAAAAGUAUAUCAACUGGAGUUUAUUAUUUUCUAUACAUUGCAUAAGCUUUAAAGAUGUUAUGGUCCAAUAACUUUGAACCUUAUUUUGAAAAUUAAUUUAUAUUCAUUAUUUUUAUAAAUAUAAUAUCAAAUAUAAAUCGAAAAAGUAUAAGUUACAAAUUUCAAAGGGUGUUUAUGAGUGGAUCAAUUUUUGGUCUCAAUUAAAAAAACUAAUUUAAAAUAAUAUAAAUAUAAUAUGUUUUUAGUUUAUUUAUUUAUGGUUAGGGUUAUAAAAUAAAUUGAUAUUUUUUAAUUUUAAAUAAGAAAAACAAAUAAGAUAAAAAAGAAAAAAAAUUAAAGAUCGAACAAUAUAAAAUAUUGAAAGUGAAUGAAUAAAAAUGAAAAAGUUUACAACUCAAAUAAGACCAAUCUAAAAAAUGCAUUACAUAUUAAAAUAUCAUCAUUUUUUUUAUUAAAAUAUACCUAAUGGCAUUUCAUAUUGUUAGAUGGUAAAGGAGAAACUAAAAAAAAUCAUAGAACUAUAGAAUGUAGCACAUGAACUUAGUUUGAUGACCUGAAGUGCACAAGUUGCUUUCAAACCACUGGGACUUGCUUAGGGUUAAAAGUUAAAAAUAGGACCGAUAAUAUUUAAUCAGUAAUAUCAUCUCAAGCCUAUUCCAAAAUAUGGCAACCGGGUAAAAUUAAAAAUUAACUUAAUGCUUAAUAAUUUUUUUUUUAAAAAAAAGAACUUGUUAAAUUUUUUUCUAAAAUCAUUAGAUGUUGUAUAAUUUUUCUAAAAUGAAUGAGAAAAGUUAUAAUGGUGAAGCUCUUGAAAAAGAAGCUUUCAAUUAUGAUCGCACUCCUUCAAAAAAAAAAUCGUUAAAUAUAGAAUAGAAGCAAACUCGUCAAUCAUCACAUAAAAAAACAAUUUCUCCAAAGAGUGCUGACCCUUCAACCCCCAUGAGCUAACCAAGCAGCUCGACCCUAACAUCCUAAGCGAAGCGCAACAGUAGUGAUUCAAGUUUCACAAUCAACACCAAUAAAGACAAGAACAAUUGGCACUCAAAAAAUUUAUUUCCUUUAACUUUUUCCCUUUAAGUUGAAUUUGAUUUUUAAAUGGUGUUAUUUGAUUAAUUAUUUUACAAUAUAUAUAUAUAUAUAUGUUAUAUCUUAAAAAAGGUUAGUAAAUUAUAUUACAAUUAUCAAAUAUAUUACCAUAUAUAAAAUACAACUUAAGAAAUCUUAAGCAUAACACAAAGCACAAGAGCAAGAUAUGUUAAUUUAAGUUACUAAGAGCUUAUUUAGUUGUGUGAUUUAAAAAUAGUUUUCUUAUUUUAAAAAUAAAAAAUUAUUUUAAAAUUUUUUUAACACUAUUUUAAUGUUGUUCUUUGGAAAUAAUUUUUUAAAAUAAAGUAAAAUAGAGAACAAUUUUUAAAGAACAAGUAGGAGUUGUUUCAUCAGUUUUUAAAAAACAAAAAAAUAUAUAAACUCAUUUGAUCAUGUUUUUUUAAAUUUGUUUUUAAAAAUUGUUUUUAAAUUAAAAAAUAAAAAAUAAUUUUUAAAAAUAAGUUUCAGAAAAUAUGACCAAACGAACCCUAAAUGAUUGGAGUUUAUAAUAUUAAAGAGAAAAAAAAGUUAAUUUAAGAGUUUGCAUGUAGGUAGACAUCUAGCUGUAAAACUGGUUUAUUUGAGACACCCAUUUUAUUUAGGGAGAAUUGUGUUUUGGGCCCAACUGGGUCCAAAAAUUAAGAUGUGGUCCAUAUAUUUUACAUAAUUAAGCGCAACACCCAAAGAAAGUCUGAAAAUUGAAAAGAAGGAUAUUGUCCUUCAUUAAUCCCUAAAAUACCCUUAACCCUUACGUAGACAUUUAGUGAGUGUGAAUUUUAAUUUUUUUUGUAUUUUUUUCCCUUUUCUAUUCUCUAUUAAGUAUUACUCAUUUCUAACUUUUUUUUUCUUCCAAUCUAUAUUUCUAUUUUAUGUCAAAUAAAAAGCAAUAAGGUUUUUUUUUUUUUUUUUUUUUUUUCAUUUUUAAAGAUAUUGAAUCUUUUUACUCUUAUUAUAAGCAAGAAUAAAAAUUUUGGGAUUUUUCAUCCAAUUUUUUUAUUUUUUUUAUUUUUUAUCUUUUUGUAUUUAUCUUUUAGUUUAAUUUUCAUUUUUUAUUUUAAAUUUAUAUUACCCUUUCAUUUAUACUUUUCUCUUAUUUUUAAUUAUUUUUUAUUUUCUACAUUAACCAUAUUUUAAAAAAUUUUAAAAUAUACUAUCACUUCACUCUUAUUAUAUAUAUAUAUCCUCCUUUUAGUUUUUAAAUUUUUAAUGUUUUUAUUUUAAAAUUUUUUAAAAGAUAAAUUUAUUGAAAAAAAUAACUAAGAUAUGAAGUUCUAAUAUUAUAUUAAUAAUUUUUCUUAUCCAGAUAGACUAAUGCAAAGUAUUUUGACUCACAACAAGAAAAUUGUUAAUACAAUUUUUUAGUGAAACUUUAAAAAUUAAAUUUCAAAUAAAAUAUAUUAUAUAAAAUUUUAUCUAAAAAUUAUUGAAAGUGGUAUUUAAUUUUUUUUUAUUAACUUUCAAACUUAUCUAAUUUUUUACUUGAAAUGUAAUAGAACAUGUUUACAAAAAAAAUUAGUUUUUCAUUUUUUAAAUAAAUGACUAUAAAUAUAUUAAAAGAAUUAAAGAUAAUUUUAGUAAAAAAUUUAAUAAAUAUGAUUAUAAUUUUAAAUAUAGAUUCAUUUGGAUAAAAUUUCACAAAAAAAAAAAUAGUGAAAAGAAAGAACAUUGCUAAAACUACAAAAACAAAAUAUGAAAUUACAAAAUUUUGAUGAUGAAAUUUAAAAAUAAAAUUUGAAACAAUUCUUGAGUGAGAGAAUUUGAGUGCGGAAAAAUCCUUGAGUGGAAAAAAAUAGAAAAGUUUUUCAAAAUCACUUGAAAUUCUUAACAAAAAGUAGUCUUGUACAGCUGGUGUAAUACCUUUGUACAAUAACUCAAACUUCAUAUAUCAUCUCAUUAAUAUCUAACAAUAAGUCGGUUAACCAUGUUUGCAUUGGUUUUGUUUUAAAAAAGAAGAAAAUUGUUGUAUAAUUUUAUUUUACAAUCAUCAUAAGUGAGGUACCUAUUUAAAUGACCAUAUACAAGUUAGAUAAAGUGUAUGAGAUGAAUAUGUGCUUAAUCAAUGUGUGUAAGGAAUGUCAUCUAUCCUCAGUUAGGGGAAAUAAACAAACAGGUUUUUUAGAAUCACUUAAAAUCCUUUACAAAUAAUAGUCUUGUACCCUUGUACAGUUAGUAUAUUUAUCAUGUACACUUAGUGUAAAUACCUUGUACAGUGACUCAAAUUCCAUAUACCCCCUACUCAAUGUGUAACCAUAGGUAGAUUAACCAUAUUUUCAUUGGUUUGGUUCAAAAAAUAGUGGAAGAUGGAAAAAUAAAAUUUUCUCUCAAACAUCAUUCGUGGGAUAAGUAUUCGAAUUGUCAUAUGCGAGUUAAAUAAAGUGCAUAAGAUGAGUGUGUGAUAGAGGAAUGUGUACCUUGAGAGUGUGCAAUCCUUAGAUGACAAGACAAAAAAAAAAAAGUUGUCCAAAAUUGAUUGAAAUCUUUCACAAAGGAUAGUCUUGUAUACCCCUUGUAUAGUUAGAACAUUUACCAGUAUAGUUAGUAUAACACCCUUGUACAAUGGUGCAAAUUUCAUCCAUAUGCAUACAUUAUGUGCUACAUAUGAUGUGUGAACCAUGUUUCCAAUGGUUUGAUUUAAAAAAUGAUAUAAAACAUAAAAACAAAAUUUUUCCCUAAAUAUAAUUAUUAAGGUAAAUAUUUGAAUUGUUAUAUGCGAGUUAAAUAAAGUACAUGAAUUAAAAGAAUUUGUGGUAGAAGAGCGUACAAUCCAUAGAUGACAAGAAAAAAAAAAGUUGUUCAAAAUGUACAGUCUUGUACACCUCUUGUACAAUUAGUGUAAUAACCUUGUAUAAUGAUAUAGAUUUCACAUAUAUGCAUAAAUUAUAUCCACAUGAGUGUGUAAACUAUGUUCCCAAUAGUUUGACAUUUAAAAUAAUUAAAACAAAUAAAAUGUUAUUUUAUUUUAUUUUCAAAACUAUGUUAGCUAAUUGUUCUUUUAAAAUAACAAGAUCAUAAUCUAUAUUAUAUAUACCAUGAGGAUAAGGAAUAAAAGACAUUAAUUCAUAUCAAAUAAGCAGAGUAAAUAAAGAUUUAGAAUAAAUUAAGCAAAAUUAAUCAGGCUUUAAAUGGGGUAAGAUAAAUUUUGGUACUCUGAAAAUUAAUUUGAAUCUACAGUCUCAUUUCCUAAUUAAUAUACUGCAAUACACAGAGAGACUUUGACACCAACUUUUCCCAUCAGCAGUUUCAACAACAGUUUGUUAGUCAAAGUAAUGGUAGGGGUUUUUGAAAUCUCCGUUAGCAAUGAAAGUUUAAUGAAAAUUUUAUAUUGAAUUAAAGUGUGAACGCAUUUAUUGCUAACAUUAAAAUAAUAUAGACAUUUCCAAAUACUUAAUAUUUUAAUAUAAAAUUUUCAAACACUCAUUAAAAUAAUAUAAAAGGUUUCAGACAAUUAUUAUUUUAAUAUAUAUUUAACUUAAGGUUCUGUGCUUAUAGUGUGAAACCAUUUAAUGUAUAAAAAUUAAGUUUUUGAAAUCGGAUAUCUCAAAAAUUCAGGUAAUAAAAUUCAAAAAUUUUUAAAACGUCACUUCGUGUCAAGGUAAUACCCCCCUUCUGACCAGACAGAGUCUCCCUAACAUGCCAAUUUUCAGGCAAAAACGGGUUUAAGGUUAAGGGUUAAGACUAAAGACUCUAGUUUUAAAACAUGAUUUUACACCCAAAAUUUUCUAAAUAACCCGAUUUUUUUUUUUUAUGUUGAUGAGAACAUUAUAUAAAAAGGAUCCACAUAUAUUACAUAUAUUAAAUAGUAAAGAAAACUUAAAAAUAAUUCAAAUAAUUUUCUUUUCCAUACUUUACCUUUUUACCCCUUUUACCCCUUAAGGGUAAGAAAAAUACAUAAUAAAAUAAAUUCUAAAUGAAAGCAAAAAUUUAACAGAAAAUUAAUUCUUACUUUCUUAUUGAUUGCUGAUAAAUGUACAAAACACAAAUUAUUAAAAAAUAAAACCGAUAAAUAUAUGCACUUAGGAAUAAUUUUAAUAGGAAUAAUAGGACUUCAUCGUAAAGAAAUUGGAGCACUUAUAAAUAUUAACCUUUUAGAUACUAGAAACAAUAUAGUAAGACGAGCUCUUUUAGCUAGUGCAGAAGUUAAUAUGAACCAAAAUUAUGCAGUUAUUGAUUGUAUACCUCAAUUUUGUAUAGAUCUUAAGGAAUUCACAGAAAAAAUAAAAAUAACUGUAAAUACUAAAGGUUAUGAUAUGGAAUUAGGAAGUAAAAACCUUAGCAUAGCUAUAGGAUUUAUAGGAAAAACUACUAACGCUUUAAGUUUAAAAUGUAUAAUGGAAUUCGAUGAUAUAGUAAAAACCUUUGGAAGUAAGACAGUAAAUAUGAUAGAAGCAAAACCUGUAAAUAUAGACUAUUUACUAGGACGAGAGUGGGAAUUACCUUAAAUAAAUAAACCAAUAAUAAAAUAUCCAACAUCCAGUAGCUUAUAUGAAAACCAAGAUGGAAGUGCAAGUAUAACCUUUGGAAAUUAUAAAACUGUAAAUGUAGAGGUAGAGUCAGAUAGUGAGAUAGAAACUGUGAAUGUUAUAUAAGAAGAUAUUUUACUAAACAUUGAGACAGUAGAAAACCUAUACAAAAUCUUAGAGUUAGUAAAUAUAAUGUUAGAGGAAUUUAGUAAUCCAACAUUACUAGACGAACAAGUGGAUCAAGAAAACUUUGUUAAUAUAAUGUGUAAAAACUAUACAAAUGACCAAAUAAUAGAACAACUCUAUAAAACCAAUUUAAUCAAAAAAACUUAUAGAUAUAGAAAUGAUAAAUCAAUUUACUAUUCAACCAAAAGUUAACAUCUCAAACGAAUCAAUAAAUACAAUAAAUGAAGAAAAGGAAUUUGUAAAUGUAAGAAGUGAAAUAGUAAAAUAUAAUAAGCCGUAUAGCAAGCCAAAAGGACCUCAAUGGAAAACUAAAACAGAACCUUAUAGUUUUUUGCAACCAGUAUAUAAUUCUUUGCAACCUGUAUUAUUAGAUAUAGAUAGUGCGCAAGAUCUUAGAAAAACCAUAGAAAAUUGGAAGCAAUCUUUAAAUUCAGCAGGUGUGGUAGUAUCCUUUGAAAACCAACAAGAAAUUUACGAAUUUUGUAAAAACACCCUUAGAGGAACUGUACUACAAUUUUUUAGAAACAUGGAACAAGAAAACAACAGUUAUUUUCAAGAAGUUAGAAAUAAUUUUAGCAUAUCUGUAUUUACAAAUCUAAUAAAACUUUAUUUUUUGGGAACAACACAAGAAGAUGUAAAAGAACCUGCAAUAUACUUUCAUAAGUUAGAACAAUUGAAAUUAUGUAACCUUUCAUAUAUAAGGGAAUAUGAACAAAAAUUUAGGAAAUAUGCAAUCCUUGCUAGAGUAGACAGAACCCCUGAAUAUUUAAAUAAAUAUAUAUUAAAAAUACAAGGAUCUGUAGGACUUAGACUAUGGAAUGAAUUUACAACUUCCGAGUAUAAAAAUUCUCCUUAUAUAGGUGCUAGAAUAGAAUUUGUAAAAAAUUGGUUAGAAAGAGAAUGUGUAAGCAUAGGAGAAAGAAGUCAAAUAAAGAAACAAGACAUAAAUCAACAACUUUGUAGAAAAUUACAUAUAGGAGAAAACCUAGAUAUAGGAUGUAGAGAAUAUAAGUUUAGAAAACCUAAGAGAUAUAAUAAAUUUUUAAGAAGAAAGUCAAGAACCUUUUAUAAAAAAACGACCAUAUUAGACAAAAUAUAAAAAACCUGGAAAGUUUUGGAUAAAAAGAAAAAGAACCUCAGAAAGAAAAAGACAGUGUAAAUGUUAUUUGUGUGGUCAGGAAGGCCAUAUAAGACUUGAAUGUCCUGAACUUAAAAAACUAUUAAAUGAACGAAAUAUAAAAACCCAAGUAAAAAUAAACCUAAUAAAUGAGUAUCAGCUAGAUAGUGAAGAAGAAGAACUUAUCAAUGAAUUAGACUUUGAAAGUGAAAAUUCAAGUGUAUAUAGUAUAGAAGAUAGUGAAAAUGAAAAAGAAGAAAUUUGUAUGAUUAUUGAAAAAGAGGAAAAUCAAGCUAAGAAAACCCCUUUAAAUUUAGAAAACCUUGUACAACCUUUAGAAAGUAAAAUAAAACCUUAUAAUAUAUGGAAAGAUUUACAAAUAAUAAUCAAAGGAAAAUUUUCAAAAGAAGAAGAAGAUAGUUGUUCAAAACCUAAGGACACAGAAGAACCAAAAAGUCCUGUAAAAGAACCAAUGAAUCCUGAAAAAAUAACCAUACAAACAAUAGAACAAGUAAAUAUGGCAAAUAAAGUUAAAUCUAUUAUUUUUCCAACAACAAUUAAAUUAAAAACCAUAGAAUUAAAGGUAGACGCAAUGUUAGAUACUGGAGCCAGUAAAAACCUUUUAUUUGAAACCCUAGUCCCUCAAGAAGAUCAACAAACAUUAGUUCAACCAGUAGAGUUAAUCCAAUACAAUCAACAAAAACUAAUACUAACCAAGUAUAUUUCAAACGUACCAAUCAUAAUUAAUAACAUAACCUUAGUAUUGCCCCAAACUUAUCUUGUACCUACUAUAAGUUUAUAUCCUUUUAUUUUAGGUUUAAAUUUUGUACAUUCUUUACAAGGAGGGAUAACAAUACAAAAUAACCAAGUUAGUUUUCAUCCUAAAACCACAACAAUUGUUUAUACAAACAUGGAAAAUGUAUUAAAUAAAAAUCAGAAUGUAACAUCUCAUCAAAUUAGCAAAAUGGAGGCACAAAAGGAUAACAUAAUUAAUGACUACUCAGAACAAUUAAGAAAUGCAAAUAGAUUAAAAAACCUUAUAUUAGAAGCAGAAAAAAUAGGAAUUAUAGGGGAAGACCCACAAAAACAUUGGAAUAAAAAUAAGAAAACCUGUAAAAUACCAAUUUAAAACCCAGAUUUAACAAUAAAAACGGCAGAUAUAGCAUGUAAUCUUAAGAUACAAAGGAAUUCAAAAUUCAAAUAGAAGAACUAUUACAUAAUAAGCUCAUAAAACCAAGUUUCAGUCCCCAUAGAUCCUCAGCUUUUUUAGUUAGAAACCAUAAUGAAGAAAAACGAGAAAAAGUUAGGAUGGUUAUUAAUUAUAAAAGAUUGAAUGAUAAUACAUAUGAUGAUGCCUAUAAAAUUCAAAAUAAAGAUUCUUUAAUUAAUUCUAUUCAAGGAUGUAAAUAUUUUUCUCAAUUAGACUGUAAAAGUGGAUUUUGGCAAAUUAGAUUAGAAGAAGAUAGUAAACCAUGGACAACGUUUUCAUGUCCUUGUGGAUUAUAUGAAUGGAAUGUAAUGUCAUUUGAACUAAAAAAUGUUCCACAGAUAUUCCGACGAAUGAUGAAUAAUAUUUUUGAAAAAUAUUCUUUUGUUCUUGUAUAUAUUGAUGAUAUUCUUGUCUUUUCAUAUACUCUUCAGGAACACAUAAAGCAUUUAGAAUUGAUUUUUGAAAAACUAGUUAGUCAUGGAUUAAUAGUAAGUAAAAAGAAAUUGAAAUUAUUUAAGACUCAAAUAGAAUUUUUAGGAUUAGAAUUAGAGGAUGGACAAAUAAAAUUACAAGAACAUAUAGUACAAAAAAUAAAUAAUUUUCCAGACAAACUCGAAGACUUAAAAACCUUUCAAAGUUUUUUAGGAUUAUUAAAUUAUGCUAGGCCAUAUAUUAAAAACCUUAGUAGAUUAGUUGGACCCCUUUAUAGUAAAACAAAAAACACAGGGUAGAGAUAUUUUAACUAAGAAGAUAUUAAACUUAUACAGAAAAUAAAAGAACUUGUGAAACAUCUCCCAACCUUACAUUUACCCUUAGAAAAUGAAUAUAAAAUAGUUCAAACUGAUGCUAGUCAAACAGGAUGGGGAGGUAUACUUUUAGCAAUAACUAAUAUAGGAGAAGAAAAACUUUGUAGAUAUUGUAGUGGAACUUUUAAUGAUUAUCAAAAGAACCUUAGUUCUACAUACUUAGAAAUUAAAGCAAUAAUAUUAGUCUUAGAAAAAUUUCAAUUAUUUUUGAACCAAGAACAAUUUACUUUAAGAACCGAUUGUGAGAAUAUUAAAAAAUUCUUUGAAAACAAAAAUUCUUCAAAACUGUCCACCAAAAGAUGGAUAAAGUUUCAAAACUCUUUAAUUGAUUUCAAACCUAAAUUUGAACAUAUUAAAGGAAAAGAUAAUAUACUAGCAGACUAGUUAAGUAGACAAAUAAUUAAUAAUGUUGAUGAUACUAAUGAUUGAUUUCAUGAUUACAAGAACAUGGCUCAAAGAAAACCUACGAAAGCUAGAACCUUUCAAUAUGGAACCAUUUGUCUGAACGAAGUGUUAAAUCCAAAUAUGAGGUUUAACUCUUUAUUUUCUCAAAACCUUUUUGAAGAACAUAAGGUUAUUGUAGAUAAUUUUUUGUCUCUAAAACCACAAAGUUUUUCGAACCAAAAUUUAGAAUACGCUUAUGGAAAAACAGUGUUAGCUUUAGCCCAACAUUUACAAAACCUUCAAAACCAACUGAUUGCUUUAGAAACCCAAAAAUUCCAAAACCUCAAAAUCCAAGAAAAUCAAGAAAAACUGAUAGAAUAUUUGAAAACCAGUACAGUGUCAACCAAUCAAACCAGUUGUUCGAACAAUCAACUUGAAGUAAUUAGUUUAAUUAAGAAAUCAACUCUUCUGAUUGAACAAUAUGAAAAGCUUGUUGUUAAAAACAUAAUUGGAGUUGAUAACUACUCUUUCGUCAAAACCUUUUUCCUACAAAAUCAAUAUAACAAAGUAUUUAAAAAUCAAGAACUUUUGUAUAAACAUUUUAGAACCAAAAAUGCCGGGAUAAAAACAGGGUAUAUGGCAUAUCACGACCCUGAAUUUUUCUUUGUUAUAUAUUUAGCUUAUGUAAAUAUGUCUGUUAUAAAUAUAGAAAAUUUUGAUUUAGUACCACAACUCAUGGAUCAGGGAAUUUUAAAAAAUGUUUUUAUAAACCAUAUAUCUCAAAUCCCUAAAAAUUUCCUAGAAAAAUUGAAAGAUAUUUUAACUUAUUUUUUUAAAACCGAAAAAUAUAUAGAUAUUUCUUUUGAAACCAUUUCACCUUUAUUUCAACCCGAUGGAUCAGUAGUACCAGCCUAUCAUCAUGUAUAUAUAAAACAUAAUAAAGAACAACUCAUCCCUCGAUAAGAACCAGAAUGGGAAAUGAUCCGUUUAGAUGAAUUUCCAGAAUUUUUUACUCACUUUAGAGCUUUUCAAAUCUAUGAUCUUAGACCAACCCGGAAUAAAUUAUUUCAUCUCAUUGGUUAAACAAAAACCAUGUCUAUAUGGAGAGUAAAACCUUUAGAACACAUUAUUGUUCCAAAACCUUUUAUUACUUUUGAAGAACAAGAUUUUAUAACCAAACUCAGUGUAGAUAUACCGGAACCAUCUUCCUACCUCAGCGAUGACGCAUUAUUUUGGGACAACCUGGACGAUGAAAGUUAUCAUAAUUUACAAAAUGCAAUGGAAGGGUGAUGUUAGCAAUGACGACAUUGAGGCAGUAAAUGCGUCUUCAACUACAAAAAUUCAAUGUGGCAGUACAAGUUCAGAAGCAGUAAAGACAUCUACAGGCCACGUAUUAUGCAUGUGAUAAAAAGAGAGAAGAAAAGGACAAGAAAAAAAGACAAGAAGGAAGAGAAGAACAGGUGAAUAAACAAAAGUCAAAAGUCUCAGAAGUCUUUUAUCAUCUUUGUAUUUAUUUUAUACCAAACCUCUAAACACCGUAAAUAUUUUUCCUACCGUCCAACCACUUGAAUUUAAUUCUCACCUGUAUUGUCACCUGUCACUUGUAAAUACUUUGCCUAUAAAUUAGUGGUAGUAAAAGAAAAGAAGUGUGCUCGAGAAAGUGUGUCCGAAGGUGUGUGCAACAUAGUGUAAAGUUGUCUGUGAAAGAAAACUGUAUCUUCAACCUUGUACAUUUAUCAUCAAUCAAUAAGAAAGUAAGAAUUAAUUUUCUGUUAAAUUUUUGCUUUCAUUUAGAAUAUAUUUUAUUAUGUAUUUUUCUUACCCUUAGAAAGUAUUUUUUUAAAUAGUUUUUUAACAAUAUUUUUCUUUAGUUAUAAUUUAAAAUAGAAAAUAAUGCUAAUUUUCAAUUAGUUAUAAAUAAAAUAAAAUUUAAAAACAAUGAAAAAUCUAAAUUAUUAAAAUAGAAUUAUUAUAGUUGCAUGAAUAGUGGUGCAAUAAAGACCAAAAAAGCUUAUGUGAAAGAUCAUUGGGUGUUUUAGUCCAUUAUUAUUUUAUAUCCUUAAAAGGUAAUAUAUGGAAAUUUAAAGGGCAUAUUGGUCUCUUAACAUCUUAUAUCAUUUCCAUUAAUUAUGUAAGUUAUAUGGACCAAAUGUUAAUUUUUGAACUCAAUUGGACUCAAAACACAAUUGUCCCUUUUAUUUAUACAUUCUUCUGGCAUUGACCACGUGUUUAGGAUGUGUUGCACUAAAAUCUCAUGAUAAACUUGCAGUUCAAAAUCACAAACUAGAUGUAUGUAUUAGAAACAGACCAUAUUGGGUCAUGCACAUUCUUCGUCAUUUUCUAUUUCUUAGCAACAUAUAUGACCAAAUGAAAUUAUUAUACCCUAAUUAUAUUUUUUUAACUAGGUGAUAAAGAUAAUUAAAAUAUUAUUAGAAAAAACAAUCAUAUAGGUUUAAAUAGAAUUUCACACUUAGCCGUAUGAUAACAAAUUUUGUCAAUUAAAUAAAUACAACUUAAAAUAACAAAUUAAAUAAAAAAAAUGAAUAGUUCAAUUUUAAAAUUUUUACUCCUACAAAUUCACUAAUGAUUAAAAAUAUUGCAUUUAAAAAAAAAAAAACAAAUCACUUUUUGCUUUCACAGUCUAUAUGACAUUCCAACCUUAGAUCCCAUAGUUUGAGUAAGUUUGAGGCUAGAUUUGAGACAACCCAGUGAUACUACUUCGGUUAGUUCACACAAAUUCAAUAGAUUAUCACAUAACUAGUGCAUGCAUUAUCUUGCCUAGAAUAAUAUCUUAAUAUAACUUGGGCAAAAUCAGAGAGAAGUGGUGUUUAUUGUAGUGAGAAAUCAGAGGGAAAUCAUUGAAUGAUUUAUAGGUUGUGAAAUUAGAGAGAAAAAGAUGAGCUUUGCUGGUUUGAAAUCUAGAGUCUCUGAAGACAAGCAAAGAGCAAGAUUAUGAGAAAGGGUAACUUGAGCCUCAAAAAUAUGUAAAUAUAUAAAUUUGGCAUCUAUGAAAUCGGUCAGGCCAUAAUCAACAUGUACAGUCACAACUUUUUGUUGAGACAUGUGCCUCUCAGAACAUUUGAAGUUAAGAUGUUUGUCUUCAAUUUGAUUGCUCUUUGUGACUUUGAGAUUCUCAUUCCUUUUGAUGUAAAAAAAAGAAAAAAAAAAAAAAAGAAUUAAAAGAUGUAGGGUAAAAUGUUAAAUAGUGUGAGUUUGAAUUAAUAAAGUUUUAAUCAAAAUUGGAAAUUAAGGUGAAGUAUCUAAUUUGCCUUGAUCACAAAGGAAGCAAAGAUUGACCAAUCAGAGCUUUGAGUCUUUCACUAAUCAUAUGAUGGUUUCACUUUUAAUUGUUUGAGAUAUUCCAUAUAGAUAUCCAUCAAACCUAAGGAUAAGACAUUAAAUUGUGUAAUUUUUGUAUAAUGAACUAGUUCACAAAAUGUUUAAUACUUCAAAAGUGAUAACUUACGAAGUAAAGAAUCAAUCCCAACAACUUUAGUUAGCAAAAUAAUGUCGUAAUUCUAUUUUUAACUCAUUUGAAAUACUUCUCAAAACAAUAUUCCGAAGGACAAAAAAAAUUGAAUUUAUAAUGUAGUUUCCUACAUAAUUUGAUUUCUUAUUCUUGCUUCGAGAAUCUAUCUCUUUUUUACACCAACAAAUAUGUAUAGUACAAAAUAAAAUAAAGUGUGAGGCACCGCUUUAAUCAGAAUAAUUAAUUGAAAUGAAAUGUUUGACUUGCCUUGAUUAAUAAGGACUUUCAUGGCUGACCUGAUAGAGGUUGGGCUCUUAAUGUCAUCCAUUCAGCAAUGUAUCAUACCCUACCAAAGCUUGAUCAAGUCUAAGGCUAAGCUGUAAUUGGUUUAGCUAGGAAAAAAAAAGAGAAGAAAAACGAGAUCAUUAGAAAGAAUUUUCAGUCCCUUUAAAUCACUUAGCCAUAUAAUAAAGGAUCGUAGCUCACAAAAAACUUGAGAUAAAUGUUUAGUAUCUUCUCCAGCAUAUCCAUUCAACAAAUUUGCAAAAAAGCUCCAACCGGUUGUGCAUAUGGUCCUCUUCAUCAUCUUGGGCAUCAACAACAUUACUGUCAAUAUUCUGUGUCCAUUGGAGAAUCGCUAUGCUCAGUGCACUGUGUACAGUCAUAGCUUGUUUGUGCAUUAGAAUUAGCAUCUUCUGCUGCUGAUCUGGUAUCACAACUUCUCUGCUCAUCAUUGUACUCUAUCAUUGUCUGAUGGUCGCGCUUGGUCGCUUCUGGGUUGUCACAGCUUCUCUGAGCAUCAGUACUGGUAUCUUCUGGGAUGUUUCUGUUGAUAACAUCACCUGUAUAUAUAAGAUGGAACCCCCACUCUUUCACUUCGACUGGUGUACCGUCAAAGCUACGAAAUGAAGCCUUCAAACGUCUCCAUUCGUUUGACCAAUACUGGUUGUUAAUAGCAACCUUGGGAUAACAAGUCACACACAUUUGACUUGAUUCACCACAAAUUCGGCAGCUAUAAAACAGGACAUCAUCCACGUCACAGCAUUCAGAUUGAUCACCACAGAUAUUGAGUUCGCAAUUCAACCCAUCACAAGCAAUAGGAGUAAAAACAGAGUAGAAAGCAAAUCCUAAGAAGUCAUUAUUUCUGUACCAAUCCAUAGGAAGCUCUAUUGUUAUUUGAGACCCUUUUUUUUGCUGGCUUGUCCACUCUGGAAUUCCAUUAUUUCCCGAAAUUACAACUCUGAUUGCCUUAAUCCAAUAGAAGCCGCAUUCAAAUUCCUGCACAGAAGUACAGUGUUAAUACUCUGUGUUCAUAAGGAAAAAGGGCUGAAUGUUAUGAAAAUCAUACCUCAAUUGUUGAUUUAAAGCAUUUGAACAGAGAAAAACCAAGUAGACUUGAUGGACUUGAUAAAGUUUCUAAGCAUGUGCAACUGUGGACUUCUAGAACUCGUAAACUUGGCAGAAGCUCUGGAACUUGUAGAAGCCUCUGGCAGUGACUCAAGUCAAGGACUCUCAGUUUGGAAAGUUGAAUGAUGCCUGCAAGUAUGCUACUAAAACAGUCCAUGCUUAGAUUUAGACCUGAAGCGUGCAAACACUCUAAACAUUGCAAACUCCUCACGUUCUCGGGAAAUUCCUCAAGUUUUGUACAGAAACUGACAUCUAGAAUUUUGAGAGAACUCAAAUUACAAAUGGUCUCUGGAAGACUCACAAGGUUGGUGCAAUCUGCAAGAUUCAAACAUUGAAGCCCUCUUAAAUAUUGAAUUGACGCUGGUAGUUCUUCUAUAGCAGUUCCAUCUAAAUGAAGCUUUCUUAAAUUUUCCACAUCCUCAAGGAUUUCUGGAAAGCUCCUUAAUCAUGAACAGCCUGAGCAGUCGAGAGUUGUAAGGGAUUUCAACUCACAUAUGCUACUGGGAAGAUGCUCAAGGUUUUUGCAUUCUCGCAAGCACAAGCUAUCAAGUUCUAAGGGACACUCAAUAGUGGGUAGUUCAUUGAUGGCAUUUCCCUUUAAACAAAGCUUCCGUCUGGAUUGCACAUCCUCUUAACAUUCCUGGCAAAUGGUGGGUAUCAUUGCUUUACCAUUGUUCUUUUCAUGAUCAUGGGCAUAUAUAAGAUGGAUCCCACACUCUUCCACUUUCAUUGCUUUACCACAUAAGAAGCCACAAAAUGAAGCGGUCAACUGCCUCCACCUCCGUUUAUUUGAGUGAUACUUCUCAAUCUCCACCUUGGGAUAAUAAAUCAUCCACAUAUUUGGUACAACAUCAUAGCAGUGAAACGUGGGAUAAAACCGGAGUUCAUCCACAAACUGAGAUUCAUGAGCACGCAAAGUCAAACCACACUUGAGGGAAGUUGCAUAAUUCUCCAGUGUCUCCUCAGAUUCAUUAUCAAGUGGAUCAUAGAGAGAGUACAAAACAAAACCCAACAAGUCGUUAUUUUUAUACCAAUUUUCAGGAAGCUCUGCUACCACUUUAGCUCCCUUUUUGUGAUGGCUUAUCCAUUUUGGAAUUCCACAACUUCCUGAAAUAAUAAGAUGUACUCGGGCAAAACGGUUUUCUCUAGGAUAAAUCCUGCAUUCAAAAUCCUGCACAAAAUUUAAUUAACGCGUAAAUCCCCAUGUCUCCAUAGAAAAAGUUUUGUUCUAUGAAUAUCAUACCUGAAUCAAUGAUUUGAAGCAGUUGAAUAGAGAAGACCAGAGUAGACCGGAAGAAGUUUCCAGCCGUGUGCACUCAUGUACAUCUAAGACACGCAAACUGGAUGGAAGCGCUGGAAUUUGUCGAAGCUCUUGACAGUGACCCAAGUCAAGGAGUCUCAGCAUAGAAAGUUGAUUGACCCCAGAAGGUAUGCUCCUAAAAAGAUUCCCGGUUAGAAGUAAUUGUCGCAGAGAUGAUAGGUGGCAAAUUUCAGUGGGGAUUCCUCCUUCAUCUAUACUGCAGAAAGAUAGAUCUAACACUUCCAACGAGUACAAGCAGCAAAUAUCACUCAGGAUUUCUCCUUGUAUUAGCUUUGACCCAGUUAGAAUUAAAUUCUUUAAGGAGCAUAAACCCGACAAAGAAAGCAAUUGGCAACAUGUUGAAUUUAAGCCACAAGCACGGAGAUGCUUCAAGCUUUGCAGCCUCCCUAGGUUUUGUGGCAAUUUGUGGAGUUUUGAACAGUAACUGACAUUGAGAACUUCAAGAAAGCAUAAAUUACAAAUGCUUUCUGGAAGAGUCACAAGGUUUUCGCAGCGGUCCAGAUUCAAAACUUCAAGCCUAUUCAAAUGUUCGAUUGAUGAUGGUAGCUCUUUUAUAGCCGUUUCGUUCAAGUGAAGCUCCCUUAAGUUUUCCAUAUUCUCCAAGAUUUCUGGAAAGUACUGUAAUUGUGAACAGUGAGAGCAAAAGAGAGAUUUUAGGGAUUUGAACUCCCAAAUGCUUGUUGGCAGACUCUCAAGGUUUUUGCACUCUCGCAAACAUAAGGUAUCAAAUUCAGAGGCAUGCUCAAUGGGUAGUAGGCUGAUUGUCUGACCCUUUAAACAAAGCUUUCGGUGUUCCACGUUCCUCUGACAAUCCAAGCAUCUAGCAUCCACAUCCUCAGUCUGUACUACUAUUGGAUCUUGGGAGUAUAUAGGUUGGAGCCCACACUUGAGCACCUUAAAAUGACUCUGAGGGUCCUUAAAUGUAGCCGCAAGAUACAUGAAUGGAUUGGUGGGACCGCUCUCCAGAAUAGCAGCCUUGGGAUAGAAUAUCACCCACAUUUGUUCUGAUACACCUCCAUUAUGGUAGCAUUUACAAGUAGAGCGAAAACUGAGAUGUCGCACACACAGGGAAGAAGAUCCAUAUCCUUCACUCAAUGACAGUUGACAUUGUAACUCAGUGGAGAUUGAAGAUUCAGCUUCAAGUAAAUCAUCAGAUUCAUUCUCCAAUGUAUGUGCAAAAUCAUUUUCUGGUAUAUCCUCACAUUCAUCGAGUGGAGCAUAAACACAGCAUAUAGCAAUCCCCAAGAAGUCAUCAUUUUCAUAACAAUUCUGAGGAAGCUCCAUUGUGAUUCGAUAUCCCUCUCUCUGAUUCCUUAUCCACUUGGGAAUUCCACUGCUUCCCGGAACAACAAUACAGAUUCCAUCGCCAAUGUAGUCGGAAUUAGGGAGAAAUACUCCAUUUGAACUCUUCUCGUGUUUCAAAUCCUGCACAAAUGGACAAUGUAAAUCUAGUGGGUCUGUGUCAUUAUGUGAGUUUUUAUGAGAGAGUUUGUUAUCAGUUUUCGAUAAAUUGAUUCCCAGUUUUAACUUUCUUUGAUCUAUGCUCCUGAAUCUACUUAAUAUCCCUUUUAGAUGAUGGAUAAUCAAUGAACAUGAAAGUGAGUGACAAGAUUAAGUGUGAAAACUGGAAGUGAGGGGAAACUGAAACUGGAAAGUGAGUAGAAUAAGCAGAUCUCUUCUUCACUUGCAGUAGCUCCUUCUCCAUUCAGAUUCAGAGAUCUUAGAAUUGUAGCUUCAACUUAACUCUCAGAAUCUUAAAGACAAAGUUCGCUCAAGUUUCAAAAACUCAUAGAAAAAUUUCGCCUCAUGUUUCUCUUAAUCCCAUGAGGCGAGAGACAUGCAGCACAUGCUUAUUGGCUUUUUUCCAUGCAAGUUUCAAGGUGGAGCAUCUAAUGAACUAAAACAUUCCUUCAAAUCCUAGUGGAAAUUCACACUAGAAAUUUCAGAAUUUGCUAAAGAAAGGUUUAAUUCAUUUUAUCCAUGAAUAAAAAAUCAUGUGAGGGCAUUUUAACUUCCUAAUAAUUAUUAUAUUAAACUAUAAUUCUCAUUAUUUAAACUCGUGAUCUGUAACUUUAUCAUCACAUUUUGAAGAGACUUUCGUCAUCUCUUCCAUGAAUUAAUUGAUGUUUAAGGAGGUAUAAUAAACUUUUAAUUGAAUUUAACAUUAUUUCUAUCCUUAUACUCAUCUUAAACUCUAAUUUUUUUUUUUUACUCUUAUCAAAAAAAAUAAAAACUUAACAGAAAAAAAAAAUUUCAAUUACUCCGUGUUCACGAGGAAAAAUGGCUGAAUGUUAUGAAAAUCAUACCUCAAUUGUUGAUUUAAAGCAUUUGAACAGAGAAACACCAAGUAGACUUGAUGGACUUGAUAAAGUUUCCAAGCAUGUGCAACUGUGGACAUCUAGAACUCGUAAACUUGGCGUAAGCUCUGGAACUUGUAGAGGCCCCUGGCAGUGACUCAAUUCAACGACUCUCAGUUUAGAAAGUUGAAUGAUGCCUGCAAGUAUGCUACUAAAACAGUCCAUGCUUAGAUUUAGACCUGAAGCAUGCAAACACUCUAAACAUUGCAAACUCCUCAGGUUCUUGGGAAAUUCCUCAAGUUUUGUACAGAAACUGACAUCUAGAAUUUUAAGAGAACUCAAAUUACAAAUGGUCUCUGGAAGACUCACAAGGUUGGUGCAAUCUGCAAGAUUCAAACAUUGAAGCCCUCUUAAAUAUUGAAUUGAUGCUGGUAGUUCUUUUAUAGCAGUUCCAUCUAAAUGAAGAUUUCUUAAAUUUUCCACAUCCUCAAGGAUUUCUGGAAAGCUCCUUAAUCGUGAACAGCCUGAGCAGUUGAGAGUUGUAAGGGAUUUCAACUCACAAAUGCUACUGGGAAGACGCUCAAGGUUUUUGCAUUCUCGCAAACAUAAGCUAUCAAAUUCUAAGGGACACUCAAUAGUGGGUAGUUCAUUGAUGGCACUUCCCUUUAAACAAAGCUUCCGUCGGGAUUGCACAUCCGCUUGACAUUUCCGGCAAAUGGUGGGUAUCAUUGCUUUACCAUUGUUCUUUUCAUGAUCAUGGGCAUAUAUAAGAUGGAUCCCACACUCUUCCACUUUCAUUGCUUUACCAUGUGAGAAGCCACAAAAUGAAGCCGUCAACUGCCUCCAUUUAUUUGAGUGAUACUUCUUCUCAAUCACCACCUUUGCAUAAUAAAUCAUCCACAUUUUUGGUACAACAUCAUAGCAGCGAAACGAUGGAUAAAACUGGAGUUCAUCCACAAACUGAGAUUCAUGAGCACGCAAAGUCAAAGAACACUUGAGGUAAGCUGCAUCAUUCUCCAGUGUCUCCUCAGAUUCAUUAUCAAGUGGAUCAUAAAGAGAGUACAAAACAAAACCCAACAAGUCGUUAUUUUUAUACCAAUUUUCAGGAAGCUUUGCUACCACUUUAGCUCCCUUUUUGUGAUGGCUUAUCCAUUUUGGAAUUCCACAACUUCCUGAAAUAAUAAGAUUUACUCGGGCAAAAAGGCUGUCUCUAGGAUAAAUCCUGCAUUCAAAAUCCUGCACAAAAUUUAAUUAACACGUAAAUCCCCAUGUCUCCAUAGAAAAAGUUUUGUUCUAUGAAUAUCAUACCUGAAUCAAUGAUUUGAAGCAGUUGAAUAGAGAAGACCAGAGUAGACCCGAAGAAGUUUCCAGCCAUGGGCACUCAUGUACAUCUAAGACACGCAAACUGGAUGGAAGCGCUGGAAUUUGUCGAAGCUCUUGACAGUGACCCAAGUUAAGGAUUCUCAGCAUAGAAAGUUGAUUGACCCCAGAAGGUAUGCUCCUAAAAAGAUUCCCACUUAGAUGUAAAUGUUGCAGAGAUGAUAGGUGGCAAAUUUCAGUGGGGAUUCCUCCUUCAUCUAUUCUGCAGAAAGAUAGAUCUAACACUUCCAACGAGUACAAGCAGCAAAUAUCACUCAGGACUACUCCUUGCAUUAGCUUUGACCCAGGUAGAAUUAAAUUCUUUAAGGAGCAUAAACCCAACAAAGAAACCAAUUGGCAACAUGUUGAAUUUAAGCCACAAGCACAGAGAUGCUUCAAGCUUUGCAGCCUCCCCAGGUUUUGUGGCAAUUUGUGGAGUUUUGAACAGUAACUGACAUCGAGAACUUCAAGAAAGCAUAAAUUACAAAUGCUUUCUGGAAGAGUCACAAGUUUUUUGCAGCCCUCCAGAUUCAAAACUUCAAGCCUAUUCAAAUGUUCGAUUGAUGAUGGUAGCUCUUUUAUAGCCGUUUCAUUCAAGUGAAGCUCCCUUAAGUUUUCCAUAUUCUCCAAGAUUUCUGGAAAGUACUGUAAUUGUGAACAGUGAGAGCAAAAGAGAGAUUUUAGGGAUUUGAACUCCCAAAUGCUUGUUGGCAGACUCUCAAGGUUUUUGCACUCUCGCAAACAUAAGGUAUCAAAUUCAGAGGCAUGCUCAAUGGGUAGUAGGCUGAUUGGCUGACCCUUUAAACAAAGCUUUCGGUGUUCCACGUUCCUCUGACAUUCCAAGCAGCUAGCAUCCACAUCCUCAGUCUGUACUAUUGGGUCUUGGGAGUAUAUAGGUUGGAGCCCACACUUGAGCACCUUAAAAUGAUUGCGAGAGUCUAUAAAUACAGCAUUAAGAUGCAUGAAUCGAUUGGUGUGACAGCUCUCCAGAAUAGCAGCCUUGGGAUAGAAUAUCACCCACAUUUGUCCUGAUACACCUCCAUUAUGGUAGCAUUUACAAGUAGAGCAAAAACUGAGAUGUCGCACACACAGGGAAGAAGAUCCAUAUCCUUCACUCAAUGACAGUUGACAUUGUAACUUAGUGGAGAUUGAAGAUUCAGCUUCAAGUAAAUCAUCAUCUUCAUUUAGGACUUCGUCACCAGAUGGAUUCUCCAAUGUAUGUGCAAAAUAAUUUUCAGGUGUGUCCUCACAUUCAUAGAUUGGAGCAUAAACAGAGCAUAUAGCAAUUCCCAAGAAGUCAUCAUUUUCAUAACAAUUCUGAGGAAGGCCCAUUGUGAUAUGAUAUCCCUCUGUCUGAUUCCUUAUCCACUUGGGAAUUCCACUGCUUCCCGGAACAACAAUACAGAUUCCAUCGCUAAUGUAGUCGGAAUUAGGGAGAAAUACUCCAUUUGAACUCUUCUCGUGUUUCAAAUCCUGCACAAAUGGACAAUGUAAAUCUAGUGGGUCUGUGUCAUUAUGUGAGUUUUUAUGAGAGAGUUUGUUAUCGGUUUUUGAUAAAUUGAUUCCCAGUUUUAACUUUCUUUGAUCUAUGCUCCUGAAUCUACUUAAUAUCCCUUUUAGAUGACGGAUAAUCAAUGAACAUGAAAGUGAGUGACAAGAUUAAGUGUGAAAACUGGAAGUGAGGGGAAACUGAAACUGAAAGUGAGUAGAAUAAGCAGAUCUCUUCUUCACUUGCAGUAGCUUCUUCUCCAUUCAGAUUCAGAGAUCUUAGAAUUGUAGCUUCAACUUAACUCUCAGAAUCUUAAAGACAAAGUUCGCUCAAGUUUCAAAAACUCACAGAAAAAUUUCGCCUCUUGUUUCUCUUAAUCCCAUGAGGCGAGAGACAUGUAGCACACGCUUAUUGGCUUUUUUCCAUGCAAGUUUCAAGGUGGAGCAUCUAAUGAACUAAAACAUUCCUUCAAAUCCUAGUGGAAAUUCACACUAGAAAUUUCAGAAUUUGCUAAAGAAAGGUUGAAUUCAUUUUAUCCAUGAAUAAAAAAGCAUGUGAGGGCAUUUUAACUUCCUAAUAAUUAUUAUAUUAAACUAUAAUUCUCAUUAUUUAAACUGAUGAUCUUUCACUUCAUCACGACAUUUUGACGAGACUUUUGUCAUCUCUUCCAUGAAUUAAUUGAUGUUUAAGGAGGUACAAUAUUUUUUAAUUGAAUUUAACAUUAUUUCUAUCCUUAUACUCAUUUUAAACUAUUAUAUUUUUUUUUUAUAGUUUUAUCAAAAUAAAUAAAAACUUAACAAAAAAUAAAUAAAGAUUUCAAAACAAACUUUAUAGAGUUAUCAACACUUAUUUACAUCAUUCUUUAAAAAAAAUUAUAAUUAACAAAAAUGUGAUAUAAAAAUUAUAAAGAAUAAAAUUUUUUGAAAAAUGUACUAGUUAUUUGAAAUCAAAAUUCCUAGUCAAUGAAUCGUCAAAAAACUGCAAUAGCUAUGCAAAUGAGAAAAAUAAAUAAAUUAAAAGUAAAAAAAGAAAUUAUCAAUGUCAAGAAUGAGAAACCAUUUAUUUCCUUUUUUUUUUGUAAACUUUUUUUUAUUCUGAUUGUAUGUAUUCAUUACAAUUUUUAAAUUAAUAAAUAAUGUUUUUAUCACAAAAUUUAAAAAUGGCAUCUAUCAAAAUUUAUAUAUUGUUAUUAGAUUUUUAUAAAUUUCAUUUAUAUCUUCAAAAUUACAAACUCCUUUCCAUUAUUAUUUCUUAUUUUUCUUAUUGAAAAUGCAUCUUUAUUCAUCAUUUGAAAGCAUAACACUUUGAAUCUUAGGAUGUACUUCUUUCUUCCUAGGCAUUGCACUCUCAUAGGACCCAUUAAAUCCAUAUGCAACAUCUCUAAGAUCCUAGAAGAAGAGAGAAUCAGUUUUCUCUCUCAUUCAUGCGAAUUCAUUUUCUUAGAUGGGACAGAUUUUAGGAUUUUUAGGUUUUCCUAAAUGGGAAGUGCUUUAACUAGUUCUUUAAUUGUAAUCCUAGACAAAUCAUUAGAGUUUAAAUGCGCUACCAUACAAUGCUACUGUCUUUGGAUGUAAAUUUCACAUUUUACAACUAUGUGCACUAGAUGAUAAGGAAGAAGUAGAGAGGUGCACAAAGGCAUAACAAAAAUUACCAAAAAUUUGAUUUCAUACCAACACACAUCCUUGAAUAGACACUGAUUUGGAGUAAAAUGAACAAAGCAUAUACAAUCACAAAUUUAAGUUGCAUUAAUUAAGUUUGCUUUCAAUCCAAUAUAUAGUAACUCCUCGAGUAUAGGUAAAUUUGGACCUUCUAUGGUACCUUUCACUUUCGAGUUGGUUAUAUGUAAUACAACCAUCCCUAAAUACAACCAAGCUUCCCUUUAAGGUUCAAACGUGGAGAAAAACCAUAAGUUCAUUAUUUCUUUAACCAUUCCCAAAUACAACCAAACUCCUUUUAUGAGUUCAAAAGUCGAGAGAGAUCCAAGUUCUCUGUCAUACAACUAGAGUAGCCACUCUCAAAAUCCACAACGUGUUUUUCUCUAGCUCUUAGACCCUAUGGUCAACUAAGGCUUUUUGGUUCUCCUUAACCUAGAUUUUCUUUCCAACAGACAAUUUAAAUCCUAUUUAAGAAUUGUUUUUAAAAUUAAUUUCUCAGUUCUUAAAAAUAGAAACCUAUUUUGUAGACUAAAACCAUGUUUGGCAACUUUUUGACAUAUUAUAGUUUUUUGAGAACUUGUUCUGAAAAUAAGGUUUCUCCUAAUAACAUAUUUUAAUUGCUUUCAAUUGUUUUCAUUUAUUUUGUAAGGUUGUUUUAAAAAAAUAAUGGUACAUAUAUAAAGAAUGAUGAAAAAUAAAGAACUAAAAGUAAAAGUUAUUUUUAAUAAAUAUUUGGAAAUACAAAAAAUAUAUUAAAAACAUUCUAAGUUUGUAAAUAGACUUUUAUUCUAGAAAACAUCAGACCAACUAUUUUUGAAUCAUGCAAAUUGGGCACACAUUUUCUAUGCCUAGUUUUCUGCCCAAGGCCCUGUAAAUGAACACAACCUCAAUUUUAAGGAGUUUCAAAACGAUGGUUGCUUUCUCGAAGGGGAGAGGAGUUUCGAAGGGUGGUAAGAGUUUGUUUGCAAUGGAAUCAAAGACAUUCGAAAUCCCCAUUGAAGGGAUUCGAGGCAACAGAUGGGAUUAUUCCGAAAAGGAACAAAGGCUUCUCCUCAUAGAUAAAAUUUGGUGAAAAGAGCUUCAGUUUUCUGUUGGAAGGGGUGGAAGACUAGUGCAGAGGAGAGUCAAGCUCGAGGCACCUUAAAGUUUAGGAAGAAGAAGGAAGAAAAUAUAGGUUGGAGUGUCGUUCAAAUGAAGCCGAUAGGUAUCUACUAUGCUCGAUGAGGGAUUUGGAAGCUAAGAGGUUUUGUCUAGUGUUUCCAGAAGGUAAAGGCUUAGUAGGAGGGUGGUUUCUGUUGGCUUAGAAGUUAAGGGCCCUUGGAGUUUCUACUCCAGCCUUGAGUAAAGGUGAUCUGGGUACUUCCAACUCUGAAAAGAAUGGUUAUAUGGCCAAAGGAAAAGAUAAAGGGAAAGGAGUGUAUGCAGAAGUCGUGAGAAAGGAGGUAGGGGAAUUAGGGGAUGCAUUGUGAGUGCAUGUUGGGGAUCGUGACCUGCUCAGUAGGGAAGAACAGCUUAGCCAUUGUUUAGUAGGAUGUUUUGGUGAUAGUGUAGAGGUCGUCCCUUCUUUGUCCUUAUUGAAGGAGUGGGCGUGUGAAAAGUGGUAUCUCAAGGGAGGUUUAUAAAUCUCCAAUUUGGGUGGAGCCCUUGUGUUGUUCGAAGUUGAAGAUAAAAGUUGAAGUGGAUUUGGUGCUUUUAAGGGGUAGUAGAUGUCUUAAGAAGAGAGAGUUUUUCCUGCAGAAAUGGGGACUUGAAGUUGGGUGUUUUAGAAAUGGGAGCCACCCUAAGGAAGUGUGGGUGAAAGUUGUCGGACUUCCACUUCACCUUUGGAGUAGAGAGGUGUUCAAGAGUAUUGGAGAAAGAUGUGGUGUUUCAUAGCUGUGGAUAAGGAAACUGCUUUCUCCUCCGAGUUGAUGUGGGCUCGUAUCUUGCUGAGAGCCUUUGGGAAGUUUAGACCAGGAACUUCACAAGUGGCAGUCGGGAAUUUUUGUUGGACGGUGAGUCUAUGGUGGAAAACUCCCCCAUGGUUCUCAAAGGUAGUGGCAAGGUUCGCCUAGUUUGAAAAUGAGAGACGAGAGAUCAGGGAUGAGGUUGGGGGUGAAACACGUGCCGAAGUUAGCGUGCAAUAUGUUCAAAAUUUUCAAAUUGAUAUGCAGUCUUGGGGGACAGGGGCGCAGGUUGUGUGUGGCAGAAGGAAAAGAAAGGAAGUAGUUGUAAUGGUUGCAAAGGGUAAGCUGCCUAGUGUAGCUGAUAUGGACUCUUCUUGCAGUGGGUCUGGGCCCAUAAAAGAAAAUGGGAAGGCUUUCAAAGGGAAUGGUUGUUUGGGCUUUAGUGGUGAAGUGGUUUGGGCCAAAGGCCCAUUGUCCGUUAGCCUUGAAGAGGCGAGCUUAGGUAAGUCUCCUAAGCCCACUUUUAAUAAGGCUGGCACAAGCUUUUUGGAGCGUCCCUCCUCAGCUAGGGCUCCAUCUAUUCCCGCAGGGGGUGUUGGGGGACGGAUGCGAAGCUCUUGGCUGUUGAAGUUGCAGUCACCGCGGAGUUGCUGCCACAUCGUCGGAGCGUCACUGACAAGGCUCUGAUGGAGGAGGCUUCCAGGUAUUAAGCUAUUCCCAAUUUUUCUUUGUUUUUAGGGCUUCGGGAAUCCUCUUCUUCUUCUCUCUGGGGCCACACCGAAGUUGUAGGGGUGUCGAAGGGGUUUGCUUAUGGAACGGAAUGGGAGUUGGGUCGGUUUCCACCGAGUGUGGUGCGGAAUAGAGCUGAGUCGACUUUAUGAGGCUGGAGUGAGCCUUCUUGGGACUCGGUUGACGCUAAGAGAGUGAAUGGGUUAGCACUUGUCCCGAUGAGGUCGGACUUUACGCGCCUUUUUGAGAAAAGGAGUGUCUGUCACCUAGAAGAAGGGGGAUGUGAUGAAGGGUAAGGGGGAUGUGAUGAAGGGUGGAGUUCAAGCCGUCUUGCGGUGUUCAGUCGCUGCUUGGGUAUGCCAACGAAAGGCUUCGAAAAGGAAAUUUUGUACUUCUUAAGGAGAAUGACAGGGAAAAUUGAGUAAAAGGGUAAGAGAGGGGUGACUAGGAAGACAAGUUUAAAAUCUUCAAAAUCCAACAAGGAACUCAAGAAGCUGGAGUGGACUGUUAAAGAGGCUAAUGAUAGGGGUAAAAGGAAGAUUAUCAAGUCAGUCAUUAAAUCCCAAAGAGUGGACCUGGUUUGUUUACAGGAAACUAAAAUUAAAGAAAUGACUACAGGGCUUGUUCGUAGUCUAGGGGUGGGAAGAAAUCUAAAAUGGAGAGCAGUCAAUCCUAGGGGAGCAGCUAGUGGUAUUCUGUUGUUCUGGGACAAUAGACUGGUGGAGCUGGUUGGCUAGGAAGAAGGGGUUUUCUCAAUUUGGCGUUGGUUUAAAAAUUGCAUGGAUGGUGUAGUGUGGGUGUUCACUGGAGUGUAUGGGCCAGUAUGCAAUAGAGAUAGAGAGGAUUUCUGGAAGGAACUAGGGUCAAUUAAAGGGUUAUGGAGUGACCCUUGGUGUGUAGGAGGGGAUUUCAAUUUGGUAAGGUUUCCAAAAGAGCGUAGUAGGAGAGGUGGGCUUAUUGCUUCAAUGAGGAGAUUCUCAAAAGUGAUAGAAGAUUUGGAGUUGAGGGAUUUUCCUUUGACGGGGGGCUCAUUUACUUGGAGAGGAGGCUUGAAUAACCAGGCCCAGUCUAGGCUUGACUGGUUCUUAUUGACGAACAACUGGGAUAAUCUGUUCAAUGGGGCCAUGCAGGGAAUUCUCCCCAGACCUGUCUCAGAUCAUUUCCCGAUCCUCCUAGGAGGAGGGUUGACGAAGGGACCUUCCCCUUUCAGAUUUGAGAAUAUGUGGUUGGAGGAGGAGGGUUUCAAAGACAAGAUGAAGACAUGGUGGGGGAGUUUAAAAUUUACGGGGACAUCCAACUACAUUUUAAAUGCUAAAUUGGGGACUCUUAAAAAUAUUCUGAAGAUUUGGAAUAAAGAAGAGUUUGGGCUCUAUUGGGAUGAAAAGAAGAAAUGUGCAGCUUUAAAUAUAAAAGAGUGUGAAGCAAGAAAUGGAGCAAGAGUCCUACAAGUCUUGGGUGACGAGAGAAGAGAUUUUUUGGAGACAAAAGUCUAGGAAGUUGUGGCUGAAGCGGGAGGGGGGACAAUAAUACUAGAUUUUUUCAUAGGUUGGCGAAUGCUCAUAAUAAAAGAAUCUAGUUGUCCAAGUUGAAAGUUAAUGGCUAUUGACACUCAGAGGAAAAUAAUUUAAAAAAGUGUGGUGGGGGCGUUUCAAAAACCAUACUCAAAAGAAGAGGGGUGGCGCCCUAGUAUCGACAGGUCGUCCUUUAUAGGUUAGAUAGAAGUGAGGCUGAGGGGUUGGAGAAUCCUUUCUCGGAGGAAGUGGUGUUUGCAGCUCUUUCAGAUCUAAGCAAAUACAAAGCCCUAGGGCCGCAUGGUUUUACCAUGGCAUUUUGGUUUUUUUGGUGGGAUGUGGUGAAGGUUGAGAUUAUAGGCUUUUUUAGAGAAUUUCAUGAAAGGGGUAGAUUUGUAAAAUCUCUAAAUGUCACCAUCUUGGGUUUAGUCCGUAAGAAGGGAGGUGCUCAAGAUUUGAAGGAUUUCAGACCGAUUAGCCUUGUGGAGCCUUUACAAGUUGUUGGCCAAGUGUUGCCAAAUAGAAUCAAGAAGGUAAUGGGAAAAGUGAUUUCGGAACCCAAAAUGCCUUUGUGAAGGGUAGAUAAAUACUUGAUGCAGUUUUGAUUGCAAAUGAGGCUACGAAUUCUAGGUUGAAAAGCAGUCAAGGGGGUAUGAUGUGCAAAUUGGAUAUAGAGAAGGCCUAUGAUCAUGUCUGCUAAAAGUUCGUGUUGGCAAUGCUAAAAAAAAUAGGCUUUGGUGAGAGAUGGAUUAAGUGGAUGGAGUGGUGUAUCUCUAUUAUAAGAUUCUCUGUUCUUAUAGAUGGUUCUCCCUCCGGGUUUUUCCAAAGUUCAAGGGGUUUGAGACAAAGAGACCCCUUAUCCCCUUAUCUGUUUGUGAUAGUUAUUGAGGUAUUUAGUUGCUUAUUGAGAAGGGCCAUUAGUGGGGGCUUUAUAUUAGGGUGGAGGAUAAGAGGCAGGGUGGAGAGGGGAUUCUGAUAUCUCACUUGCUUUUUGCGGAUGACACCUUGGUGUUUUGUGAGGAGUCUCAGGAUCAAUUGACGCAUCUAAGCUGGCUUCCCAUGUGGUUUGAGGCUUGCUCAUGGUUGAGAGCUAACUUGGAGAAGAGUGAGCUUAUUCCGAUGGGGAGGGUAAAAGAUAUAGAAUAUUUGGCUUUGGAAUUGGGCUAUAAAGUGGGUGGUCUGCCUUCCUGUUAUUUGGGUCUGCCUUUAGGGGCACCCUUCAAAUCAGAGGUGGUAUGGGAUAGUGUUGAAGAGAGGUUUCGAAAAAGGCUAACUAUAUGGAAGAGACAACAUAUAUCAAAAGGGGGAAGACUCACCCUAAUAUGAAGCACUCUCUAGUUUGCCAGUUUACUUCAUGUCUCUCUUCUUUUUGCCCAAAAAAGUAAGGCUAAGGUUGGAGAAGAUUCAGAGGGACUUCCUGUGGGGAAGAGGAGCUCUUGAACAAAGGUCACAUCUUGUUAGGUGGAACUUGGUUUGUCUGGAAAGAAAGAAAAGUGAUUUGGGUGUGAGAAAUUUAGCUUUGAUGAAUAAAGCUCUCUUGGGUAAGUGGAAUUGGCGCUUUGCCAUUGAAAGUGAGGCUUUGUGGAAGCAAGCGAUCGGUCACAAAUAUGAUGUAAAGGAGGGGGGAUGGUGUACUCGGGCCGUAAGUGGGAGGCAUGGUGUAGGGCUUUGGAAAGCUAUUAGAAAGGAGUGGUUGGGUAUGUAUAGAAGUUUAGUCUAUCGCGUGGGCAGUGGUAGGAAAGUGAGAUCCUGGAAGGAUAAGUAGUAUGGAGAUGAGCCUCUUUAGGAGUCCUUCCCUUCUUUAUUUGCCAUUUCCUUGGCUAAAGAUGUUUGGGUAUCAGAUGUGUGGAAACCAGAUGGUGUAGAGGAUGGUUGGACCCCUCUUUUCUCAAGGGCGCUUAAUGAUUGGGAGAUUGAGAUGGUGGAGCAGUUUAUGCUAAAAAUCCAAGCCUUUAGGGUGUAAAGGGAGGACGAGGAUACAGUGGUAUGGACAGCAUCUAAAAGUGGAGGACUAGUAUUUGGAGAGCGUAUGUGCCUCCUAAGGUAACUUUCUUCGCUUGGGAAAGCAUCCUGAGGCAAAAUCUUAACUUUGGAGCAACUCCAUUGAAAGGGGUACUCUUUGGCAAAUAGAUGUUUUCUUUGCCUUUCUGAAGCAGAAAGGGUGGAUCACCUUUUACUUCAUUGUGUUAAGACACGGGCAUUGUGGAAUCUUCUUUUUUCCCUCUUUGGUGUGACUUGGGUUCUCUCUGGUUUAGUUAAGGAAACUCUCCUUGGUUGGCAUGGAGCAUUUGUGGGAAAAACCCGUAAAAAGGCGUGGCAAAUGAAUCAUUUAUCUAUAUUUUGGUCAAUAUGGAAGGAAAGAAAUUUAUUGGCUUUUGGGAAUGAGGUGUUUUCACUCCAAAGGUUGAAACAUUCUUUUGUAUGUAAUUUUUGAUCUUGGGUUAGGGUGUUUAUAGUUUUGAGCCCUUGUUCUCUUGUUAGCUUUUUUGAGUGGCUAGGCUCUAAGUAAGGGUAGGGGUUGUCGUUUCUUUCCCCUUUCUUGGUUUAGAGUAUGUGGGUUGCUUUUGUAUACUCCCUGUAUACUUAGAGGGCACUAGUUUGGUGUUUCCUCUUUUUGUUUAAUAUAUUUCUUUUUACCUAUCAAAAAAAAAAAAAAAAAACUAUUUUUGAGAACUUUUUUCAAUAACCGUUUUUUAAGAUUUAUUUUCAAAAAAAAUUCCUAAACAAAGCCUUAACCUUCAAGGAUCUAAAACUUUGCACUAAGUUUGGUGUUUUAUUGUUGGAUUUUCUUAGUCUUGCAAGCUUUAUGAUGAUCUUGCAAUAUUUUCUUUAAUUUACUAUUCAUUUUACCUGAGCAUUAAGUUUGGCUAAGUAUUGAAGAAUAACCUUGGCAUACAUUCAACUUCUUUUAUGGACAAAGGAAUGGAGCUAGAUCAGACUUUCUUUAAAUUUAGUCAAUUCUGAUUUACGUGACUCAUAAUCAGAUUGUAAAACAUUCAAAUUUUUUAACAAGGUACCUUGCUCAUUUUCAAGGUAAGAGAUUUUUUUCAAGCAAGGAAGUCUUCUCUCAUACUUCUUUUAUUCUCAUCCAACUUUCACAAUUUUAAUCUUAAGGCUUCCUUGGCAAUCUCAAAAGACAACUUUUCUUCCAAAUAUGUUGUAUCAUGAGAUGAACCUUCAAAAUUUUCAGAUUCAAGAUCAGUUUCAAAUUUAACAUUUUUCUUUUCAUUGCAAAGUGAUAUAGAAGGUAACAAGUAUAUCAACAAUUUCGUCAGGCUCAUCAUGCUCAAAAGACACAAAUAUCAUCAAUGUCAUGUGACAAUAAAUCAUAAUUAUGUUUAUGCAUGUUUCUAGCAACUUAAUGCAAUGAAAUUUGUACAUUCUUCAUCAAAAUCAUACCAAAUUACUUCUAUGACUUUAUCCUUUUGACAUUCAAGAAAGUGACCUUUCUUGACACAAUAGAAACUUUGAAUCAACUAGAUCUUUUUUGUGCUUUUUAAUCUUUUUAUCACAUUUCUUUUCCCUUGUUUAAUCAAAUAGGUUAUCCUUUGUUUCUGGAAGCUUUUUGAACUUUUUGAAACUUUAUCAAGCCUAUAAAUUUCCAAUAUUGGUCCUUUUUUAUUCCUAUUCUGAUUUAGAAGCAUGUUUAUCUACUCCUAGUGCAAUAUUAAUGUUUCUUUUUCUUAGGAACACUUGGAGUCAUCUCCAAUUGAAGGAAGCCAACUAUCUCAUCUGGCUUUAUUGAAUCAACAGUGUUCCAUUCCUCUAUUGUUAUGACCUUAGGUCUAAAACGAUCAAAGGGGAUCUUAACAGUUUUUCGAGUAACCUUGGAAUCAGGUAGAGGCCUACAUAGAUUGAAAGUUAGCAUUCACAAUGUCCAUGAUUUCAAUAAUAUAUUAAGAAAAUAAUUUUGUUGUGAUCAUUUGAAAUUCAUUACUUCACCUAUCCCAACUUUACAUAGUUUUACCUACCCUAGUGGAUAUACAUCCAAUCUCUAUUUAGCACCUUAUCAGGAUAUCAACAAAAUUGAACAGAACUCCAAUCUCUAUUAGACUUCAUUUUCAAGAAGUAUAUCAGUUGCACCUUGGAGUGAGUAUAAUUAUCUCCUUUGAAGUAUGGAGGUCUACCUAUAGAGGUUCCUUCUCAGAGAAUUUCCAUCUUAAGAGAAUAUAGUUUAUCCAUAUUGAGAACAUGAGCAAACAUGUUUUGACACAAUUUAUGAGUUUUUAAGAGAGUAUGCAAUGAACUUGAGAUCUCUUUUAGAUUAUCAAAUAACAUAUGCACAUGAAUGUGAUUGCGUGAUUAGCACAAGGUCAUAGACUAAAAUGUCUCUAAUGAAAUCUCAGCAAACAAGCACACAAAUAUUGCACAAGAUAUAACAUGAAAAAUCUCUAAGUGGAGAAAGGAAAAUAAAUAAAUAAAUAACAGUGGGUGCCUUUGUUGUUGCAAAUCCACUAUGAAUAUAAAUCCAGUUUUGCCUACAAGUCCUCCAAGAUCAAUCACCAAUCCCCUUAAGGAAUCCUCAAAGUGAUUAUUUCUUCAAUCCACACCUCGUUUUGAUAUGCUUCAAUACGGCUCAUCAUGUACUCACCACCAAUCUCUCACCAUAGCCUCCUUCAACUCUCUUCAAUUACCACGAGUUUUCUUCUGCUCUACUAAUUACAUUACAACAGAAUCACCUUCAUUAUCUCAUUGAAGUGAUCUCCAAAAACUAGAAAACAAAAAUUCCAUUUGCAAAGCAACUUCUUCAUAUAGAUUCAGAGAACCAAAAUAAGAAGAUGUUUUCACUUGUAGCAACAUCUUCAUGUAGAUUCAGAGAACUCAAAUUGUAACUUCAAAUUCACUCUUAGAAUCUCAAUUAAGGUAAAGCUCACAUUUCAAAAUCUCCCACCAAGAGUUUCACUUACUCUUCCUUUUUGAAAUGAGAGUAGAACCAACUUAGUGCCAAGGGACAUAAGGCACACUCUUAUUGGCCUAUUGUCAUGCAAAUUUCUAGGUGGAGGAGAAUCCAACUAACUAAACAAAUGUUUUUUCGCUUCUGGCCAUUUGUUUCUAUGGUCUAGAAAAAUAUGUCCUAGAUGAUUCCCAUUGUUUCAACUCUUUCAUGAAAAAUGCUUCUCAAAUCACUCACUCCAGUCUUUCAUUCACAUUACCUGUGAACUCCAAUCUGCAGUAGUGAAAUCCUAUCAAAAGACUUGGAUUGAGUUCCUGGUUCUCGGUUGCCUAGCUCUAGCAAACCAGGACUUCUGUUAGCAACCUGGAACAAGUAGCUUAUCCUUUCAAUCCCAUUUUCAAGCUCAAUUCCCUCCACCAGUGAAAACAAAUGGUCUUAUAUAAUCAACUCCAUUCACUCCAGGGCUAUACAGGAAACACUUGUGAGCUGGCAGGCAGUAGCUCCUCCCGACUCACCAUAUUUCCAACCCCAUUUGCUCCAUCAAAUUCAUAAGAAGCUAACAAAAUAACUAGCAUUAUAUAUCAUACAAUAUCUAUGCUAGUUAAUUUACAUGGAAAAUGCAAUUUCUACCCUAAAUAUGCCAACAUACAGGAAUACAUACAAUUUAUACAAACAUUGCACGCUAACACAAGAAAAUCAUACCUGACUUGCUGAUUUGAGGCAAUUCACCAGAGAAUGCAUAGGUGGCAAUGAGAUCCCAAUUGAGCUGUGACAAUCUAACAGUCGCAGACUUGAAGGAAGCUCUGGAAUUUGUGAAAGCUUCUUGCAGUGACUCAAGUCAAGGGCUCUAAGGUUAGAGAGUUGACUGAUACCCACAAGUAUGUCACUGAGGGUUCCUCCUUCCUCUGGACUGCACCGACUUAGAUUUAAUACUUCCAGUGAGGAUAGAUGGAAAAUACAAUGGAACACUCCUCCAUUUAGAAUGCAAUUUCCUAGACUAAAUUCUUUCAAUGCGUUCAAGCAGUUAUCACUCUUUAUUACUCCUGGUGUUAGAUUGCAUUGAUCUAAAUAUAGUUCCCUUAAGAGAGAUAAACCUGACAGAGAAGGCAAUUGACAACUAAGCGAAUUUAAAUAAAGAACCUCUAGACAUGGCAUUCUCUCCAAGUCCUCCGGCAAUCUGUCAAGUUUUGAGCAGCCUUCAAGACUUAGAACAACAAGAAAUCUCAAAUUACAAAUGCUGUUCGGGAGACCCUCAAGGUUUUUACAAUUAUCCAAAUUCAAGUAGCGAAGGCCUUCUAGAAGUUCAAUCGAUGAUGGUAGCUCUUUUAUAGCUGUUUCAUCUAAACAAAGCUCCUCUAGUUUUGCAAUAUUGCUCUUGAUUUUUGGAAAACUAGCUAGUUUUGAACAGCCAGUGCAAUGAAGAGUUAAAAGGUGUUUCGACUCAUGAAUGUCCCCAGGAAGACUCUCAAGGCUUACACACCCUAUAAAAUUCAAGGAAAAAAAAAGUUAGUUUAAUAACACUCUUAUAUGUGUGUGAACCUUAAGUAAAAUUAUACAACCUGAAAGAAUUAGUUCCUCCAAAUUUGGCACGUUUGAGAAAUUUGGUAGCUCAAUGAGUUGUUGUGAAUCGCUGAGAUUGAUGCGCCUUAAAUUUCUAAGACACUGGAACAAAAUAGAAUUUCUAUUAAUAAAUCAAUUUUAAAAAACUUUAAAAUAUUAUAAAAUAAAAGCACAAAUAAAUAAUAAUCAUACCAUGUUUCCUUUCCAAAGUAGUUUUAUGUUACUAUUGCCCAAUAUGAGGGAAACAAGAUUGUUCGCAUGAAAGUUUGAUGGUAGAGAUUCUAAAGAAUAUCCAUUCCAUCUAAGGUAUGUCAAGUCAUACGGAAAUACAAAAUCUUUAGAGAGUUGUACGUGAUUGUGGGAGAUGGAAAGCAAUCUAAGUCUAUGCAUCCUUUCGAAAGCUUUGGAUGUAAACUGUAUUUGUUCUGAUUUGUCCACAUGAAGAUAUAUCCCUUCGAUUUUUUCAGUCCCCUAGAUAAUAAGAGUAUAAAAUUAGAAAAGCGCAAUAAAUAUAAAUCCUUACUAAGGUGAUAAAGAUAAAUAACGUCUUGAACAAAACAUAUUUUCUAUAUAUAUAUAUCUUACCGUAUUUCUUUUUAAUACUCGAUAAAUAUCUAUAUGUCUCCAUAAUCUGCUCCUCUCUCCUGGCUCAUUAGGACAUUCUUGAUCAACAAUGCCCUUGCCCAUUUGGGCUAACAAAUCAUGCAUAUCUAUUCUGUUGUCCUUUGAAAUGGUUAUGAAACACCUAUCAACGAGAGCAUUUAUUCCACUUUCCGCAUUGAAUUCGGAAGCAUCCAAUAUUCUUGAAACUCUUUUCACAUCAUCUCCUCUAAAGAAACAUGCAAUGUCGAGAAAUAUCAUCCUUUGUGUAUAAUCCAAUCCAUCGAAACUUAUUUUAAGCACUUUUACAAUUUCCAUGUUAGGCACCUUUUCCAGCUUCUGCAAUUCACUUUUCCAAUCUGGUAGUCUCUUUCCAAAUAAUAGAGAACCCAAAACUUUAAGUGCUAAUGGAAGACCAUCAGCAUAUUGUACUACUUGAUGAGAGAGAUCUCCAUAACCUUCCUUCGGAUGAUGUUGUUUAAAGGCAUAACGGCAAAAAAGUUGAAGAGCUUCGUGAAAAUAUAAUUUCUCAACUUCAUACAUAUCAUUUACUUCAUGCCUAGUUAGCAAAUCUUUUUUCCUAGUAGUAAUGAUGAUUCUGCUUCCUGGACCAAACCAAUCAUGCUUUCCAAUUAAGUGUUCUAAUUGUGUCAGCUCAUCUACAUCAUCCAGAAAAACAAGAACCUUUUUUGAGGAAAGCUUGUCCCUUAUUUCUUUGAUACCUUCAUGAACAUCCCUUAAAACUAUUUUCCUCGUUGUCCUUAGAGUAUCAUUAAGAAGUUGUUGUUGUAACUUAAGAAGACCAGAAUUUUCUGUGGAUUCUUUUCUGACAUCUGUGAGCAAGCUAACACUUUCGAAUUGAUUUGAGAUUCGGUUAUAAAGAGCAUUGAUGAUGGUGGUCUUGCCGAUACCACCAAGCCCAUAAACCCCGACCAUGCGAACAUCAUUCAACUCAAUCUUUAACAAUGAUAUUAGUCUUUCCAAACGAGAAUCCAUUCCAACAAUGUUCUCGUUAACAACUAAAGUCUUAGGGAAGCUUCUAAGGACGUUCUCAAUAAUUUCAUCAAUAAGCUCUGAUUCGUACCUGCCAAUUGCAUUAGGAUGAGUUGCAAAAAACAAUAAAUUAUAUGAAAUAAAUUUAAUGAUGCCUAGUUUUCCAACUUUAACUUAAUAGGGCUAAAACGAAUUGAAAUUAAAAUAAAAUAAACCACAUCUAACAAAUUACGUAUCAGUACAAUUUCAUUAUUCUAUACAAUUGCUCAUGUAUAUGAUAGAAAUAAGGGAAGAAAAUACAAAAUAUGAAUUGGAUUAUCAAAAGCGGAAAAAAAAAAAAAAACUAAAAUAUUUUUGUGUUAGCUUAUACUAUUCAAUCUUGUGGAAGGUUCAAAAUAAAGUUGAGUUGUCUAGAACAUUACUACCCUAUUUUGAUAAGGGAUUCCAUCAUAGGAUCAACUGCUAGUCUGCAUCCAAGCUUUUUAAUCUAAUGAUUUUACUACUGAUUAGACGGUCAACAUUACUAUCUUCUAUACUUGCAAGACUUUCUCUCACCAUUUAUUUAGAUAAAUGUCUCUUGCUGUUCCAUAUGUUGUAUUUUGCAUUUAUUUUUGUCUCUAGCUGUAUGAACAAAAAUUUUUGAAAACCGUUUAAUUAAAAAAUAACUUUCAUGAAUUAAUUAAAAAUAUUUUAUUUAUAAUUUUAAUUCUAUUGCAUGAAUGAAUUAAGAAAACAAAUUUACAUCAAUUUUAACCUAAAAUAAUUUAGUAUAUUCUUUAUGAAUCAAUAAAAUAGAAUUUUGUUUUUAAGAAAUUGUAAUAUUAUGGUAUCAAGUUUAAAAUUUUAAUGAACAGAUCUUUAUUUUAUAAAUAAUAAAAAUGAAUAAAAAAUUAUAAAAGUUUAAAACUCACUUAGCUUUAAAAAUUAUAAAAAUGAUAUAAAUAUUUUUUAUAUCAGCAGACAGAGAAAAGGAGAGUACUUCAAAUGACAAAUGAAGAGAAGUUACAAUUACCUGUUCGUCGCAUCAUAUCCGGCUAGAUUGCUUGCUUGCCUCAGGGCAGUCUUCCAUUUCCUUAUCUUUUCCUUUCUCUCCUCCUCUGCAUUCUUCUCAUGAUGGGUAAAUGCUUCUCCGUAAAUCUCAGUUUGGUUCCGCACUUCAGACGGAUCCACAUGAUAGAAAAUUGGGAUAACUACCAUUUGUUCCCUUUCCUCUUUGCAUUUCAUGAUCUUGACAAGCUCUUCCAGACACCAUUUGGAACGAGCAUAGGUUUCUGAGAAGACAACAAUGGCACUCCUUGAUUCCUCAAUAGCUUUUAAGAGCUCUGGUGCAAUCUCUUCACCCCUUCGAAGUUCUUCAUCAUCUCUAAAGGUUCUAAUACCGCUAUGAAUCAAAGCCUUGUAGAGAUGAUCAGUGAAGUUUCUGCGAGUAUCUUCACCUCUAAAACUCAAAAACACAUCGUAACUCCAUUGAGAAUGGGAAGUGGAAGAAGAAGAGGCCAUGGUUGAACAGAAAUUGAAAGAAAAAUAAGGGUCUUUGGGUAUUUAGUGGGUUGAUUCCCUUGGCCUUAUAGAAGUAUGGAUGUUGGUGGUGGGAUGUUGCCUUUUCUUUCUCAAUUGUUUUUAUUCUUAGCUGUAUCCCUCUUGCUGGUUCACAUGACUCAAGACCCUACCUCAAUUAUUUCCCUCCACUCUUUUCUUAUACAUUUUACUCUCACUUUUCUCUUGUUGACAGUCAACAAUGGCCGACAGUCUCGUCUCUGCAGUUUACAGCUGUUCUUUUCUUUUAUUUCCAAUUAAUUUCUAAAAUAUAAAAAAUGAUCAAAUCCAUGUGAUCUUUACUUAGGUCAUAAGAUCGUGUGAACGCACAUUAAAUUAAAGUUAUUCAAUUAAUUUUUGUCUUUUGCAUAAUGAGCAAUAUUAUAGUAGAAAAUAAAGGUUUAUUAUGUUGAUAUGUCAAGUAAAGCUAACAACUUUGGUAUUAUAAGCUUGAUUUUUGUAGAUAGAAAAAUAUGAGAAGUCAUAUGACAAAAGGCAAAGAAAAUUUUGAUCAUGAAAAGUAGAAAAAAGCACAAAACCUUCAUGAAAUUCUAAUUCUAAGGAAGAAAGACCAUGCUCAAAACUCGAAAUUUAAAUUCUCACAAUCUUUUCAUAUUUUGCAGAUAGGUUUAUUAUUAAUAGAAGCACAUAAAUAAAUAUUGUACUUAAAUCCCACUAAUUUAUAGGUCAUUAUGGUAUAUGUAGGUCAUCAUAGUAAUGAGUGGGAAGGUGGGUACCUUUAAAAAGAAUAAGCUAAACCAAUCACCCUAAAUUUCAAAAGCACCUUUAUCAUAAAAGUGUGGUAAUGAGAGUGGAUAUCUUUUAAAAGAAUAGACAACCCUGAAUUUCAAAAAAAUGUCUGUUUCUUGGCGAUUGUAUCCCAACAGUCUUAUCUUUUUUUACUUUAUAUCUUUUUAUUAUUAUUAUCGUGAGGAUGGUUAAAGAUGAUGCUAGAAGUUUUUCUAUGGUUUAAAAAGAAAAAAUGUGAGUGUUAAGUUGGCAUUUUUGUCUUUUUAGAAAAUACUUCAUUUUAAGAUCAUUAAUAGAAGAAAUAAAGAGUUCAUAAAAAAUAAAGAAAUUUUUAUUGACUGAUCUAGGUAACCAUUUCAUGGCUUUUAAUUGUAACUUUGUUGAAAAUCUUACUCCUUCCUCCUUGUCUUCCUCUUGUUAUUCAAAAGUUUCAACUCCUUUUUUUUUUAAAUAAUAAUAUUGAUUUUAUGUUUUAAUGAAAUAAGUUGCAAAUUUGAAGAAAACAUAUUCUAAUGUAUUUAUUGAUUAUGGUCCUCUUUUCAAAAGGGUUAUCGUUAUUUACAUUCUCGAACUAAUCAAGUUUACAUCUCUAAAUAUGUAAUCUUUGAUAAGUUUGAGUUUUCUUUUACUAACAAAACUUCUCCCGUAUCUUUCUUGUAGGAACAAAGUCAAAUGACCAUAUUUUGAGAUUCUUAUCAACAGUUACAACCAUUCAAUCCAAACACCAACUCAACCCACAACUUCACUUCCACCAAACAACCUUUCAAACUAUCGUAAUAAUGUAGAUCUUCUAUUUUAUUUUUUUUAACACAUCUCAUCUAAAAUUGUCUUCUUACAUCCUUUAACACCUUAUUAUGCACUUAUGGUUAUUUUUCUAAGCUAUUUUUCUAAAAUUGUCUUCUAUUCAUUGUGAUUAUGUUGAUUACUAAUUAUUUUAUUUUAUUUUAUGCAAGAGACAUUCUGAAGGGAUUAGAUGCAUUCCAAUAUUGAUUUUAAUGAUUUUUAAAUCUUAAUUUAGGACUUUAUUUUUUAUUGAUUUAUAACAUAUUUAAGUUUGUUUAAAAUUUUCAAACUUUAAUUUUUAUAAAAUAGAUUCAAGUUUUGAAUUAAUUAAUAAUUGAUUUCAUUCUCUUUAAAGUGUAGAAUAUGAUAAAAGGCGUGUAACAAAUUCAAACAAAUCAUUAUACAAGUGAGAAUUUAGGUCAUCCAAUCAUUUUAUUAAAAAUCACUCUAUAAAUUAUAAAAAUAAAGAUAUUAAUCACAUCUAUUAAUAUGUUUUUUUUUAAAUUGACAAAUCAUAAUGAAAUUAUAAUCUUUUUAAUAUUUUAUUAAUUAUAAAUUAAAACGUCAUUAUAAUUAUUCAAUCCCCACGGAAUAUAAAAUGAGUUAUUUUUAAUAAUAAUAACUAAUCAUAUUUGAAUAACAUUUCAUCAAUUAUAUAUAAAAAUAAAGUUUUAUGUUUAUCAUAACCUAUGUUUUAAAUUAAACAAAAUAAUAAAAGUUACAUUUCCAUUUAAAUGUAUUUACAUAUCUACCUCCAUAGCCCAUGGUAUUAAAAUAAUCUAAUAAAACACAGUAUCCCAUAACCGGUCAACAGCACAGCUGCUCCUAGCCUUAGCCCCUUGCAGCUGCAAUCAGCUGUUCCACUCUCUGUUACAGUCCAGCUUUGGCCGCCCAAGACAUACAUCUUUUCACCCAUCACCCAUUUACCCCUGCCACAGCUAUUUUUUACCUUUGAGCUGCCCAAAGUCACACCAAACUAGCUGAUAAACCAUACCUUACAACCUGCAAACCAUCUCCUCAGCCAUCCCUAAUAGCCCACUGCCAGCCCUUUGUAAGAGUCACACCAAAGCCAAAUUUUUUUUAUUAUUAUUUUUAAUCAACUCCAGCACAGCCUCGUCAGACCGCCGAGCCUCCUGAUCUCAUCUCCAAACACGUUCUGCAGCUGAAUCCUUUGCCUUUAUGAAGUUUGGAUGCUGGUGGUGGGAUGUGCUUUUCCUUUCUCAAUUAUUUCUGCUUAGCUGUAUCCCUCUAGCUUUGAACUUUCACUUUUGUCCCUUUUGGCAGUCAACAAUGGCCGACAGUCUUGCCUCUGCGAUUUACAGCUGAUCUUUUCUUUUAGGGAGAGUUGGGAUUACUGGCUGUUAUACGAGAAAUACAUGGUUUUCAAAACCAUAUAACUGAAAUAUGAUUUACCUGAGAAAAAUUGUGAGAGUUGAGUUGUCAUUUUCGCCAUUUUAUAAAAGACUUAAUUUUAAGACCGUUAGUACGUAGAAAUAGGGGUCUCUAAAAAGCCCGCGGCCCGCUUUAGGCCCGGCCCGGCCCGGCCCGACGGGCUAAAGCCCGGCCCAAGCCCGCCGGGCCCAAGCCCGGCCCGAGCCCAUUUAUGGGCGGGCCGGGCCGCGGGCCUAAAUUUAGGCCCGGCCGUUGGAGACCCUUGCGUAGAAAUAACAAGUUCACAAGAACGAAAGAGACCUUUGUUGACUGACCUAGGUAACCCCUUUCAUGGCUUUUUCACUUGUUUGUUUUUGGAUUUUCUUUAAUGAGGCUAGGUGAUUGUUGUUUAUUUUGACUUAUAUUUUAGAUGGAUUUCAUUUUUAAUAAGAGUUUUUCAUGGUAAAAAUUGAUGUGAUACAAAUUUUUAUUGAUAUUAAUAUCAUUUUAUCAUAAAUUAUUUAGAGUAUAGAUAUAAAUAAAAUAUCAAUACCAUAGGAAAUGUUAAAAUAAAGUUAGGUGCAUAUGCAAAAAAUAAAAUUUGAAAAAUAGAAUAGUCCAGUCCAACCAUAUCCACACAUCCAUCUUCCUAUAAAUUAAACUAAUGAUAGAUACAUAAGUCAAAAAUAAGAUUUGAAAAAGAGUAUAAUCCAAUUCAACUACCCACCUUCCAAUAAAUUAAACUCAAAAUGGGCACAUAUUCCAAAAAUAAAUUUUGAAAAAUAAAAUAGUCCAAACCAACUUUAUCAACAUGUCCAUCUUCCAAUAAAUUAAAUUGGAAAUGAGUCGGCAUGUGAUAAAAUAAAUGUCAAUUUCCAUUUUACUUAUAUUAAAUUCACUUAUAUAUUUAUAUCGAAAAUUAUCCUUUGAAUCUUUCUAGAAACAUUAGAUUUUAAGGAAAUCAUGCAAGUAUACUUUUCUUAUUAUCAAUUUAAAAUAUAAAAUCCUUCCAUAGUUAUUUAUUAAAGUUCUACAAAGAAAAUUAAGAAAAUAAGGAUUUGGUAGGUAAUUAUGUUUAAAAAUAAUUUUCUAUUUUUUAUAGUAGAAAACCAGGUUCUAACUUUUUUUUUUUUAAAAAAAAAAAACACAUUAGACAAAUUUCGACCAAGAAGAAUUUCUUCAAAAUUUGCUCUAGAUACAUGUUAUUUUAAAAACAUGAUUUUGACAUAUUUUCAAAUAUUGUUUGUAUAGUUUUUGAGCAAAAAAUGAAAAGAUGGAGAAUACUCCAAAAACUUUGCAAAUGAAAAUACUAUGUUUUAUAUUUAUGUUUUCAAAUACAAUUUUGCAAAUGAAAUAUUUGAGAAUGUUCUUAAAAAUUAUUUUUUAAGAAGUGCUUUUGAAAACUUGGCUAAACAUGACCUAAAUAUCCUAAACAUGAAAGAUACAAGAAUGCAAGAAAAACAUUUUCAAUAAUUUUAUUUUAUUUAUUAUAUUAAAGAGUAACAUUAAUGUUUCAUUAUGAAGUUAAAAUGUUUCAUUCAAUCAAAAUUUAUUCUGCUAGUUUUCAAGGAAAGCAUUAUUUAUCAAGAUGCUUGCCUUAGUUGUUUUGUAUUUUAUAUUUUUCUUUGAUUGGGAUUGGUGAGAAUUGUCCUAAAUAUAGAUUUUAUUUUGAAUAAUUUCUAAAUUAGACUUGUAAAAAAUAAGAAAAAGUAUCUAGUAAUUCAUUGUUACACAUGAAUGUUGCAACUUGGUAAAAUUUAUGAUAUUUAUCACUAGGAAAUUUUGCUUAUAGAUAUAAAUAAAAUGGUAACAUCUAUCACAAGGAAAGGUUGGGAAGGAAGCAAACAUAUUAAUAGGUGAAACAAGAAAAAGAAAAAUAAUAAUAAUAAAUGAUAAAAAAAGGUAAGGGAAUUCAGAGUCAUGAGUUGGUACUCUAUAUUAUUUAAAGUGAUUAUAAUUUAGGGUACAAAUUUCUUUAGAAAUAAAUAACGUAAAUAGAUUCUAAAAAAGAUUAUGUAAAAUUAUCAUUUCUUAAAAAAGAGAAGAAGGUAUUUUCUUUAUUUUUAAACAUUUAUUAAUUUUUAAUACUAAUACAAUAUUAAAUCUAAUGAGAAGACCUCCUUUAAUCUUCUCACUUUAUUCAUUGAAGUCUUUUUAAAUAAUUUGAGAAAGUAAUUUUAAAUCCAAUUACAUGGUGAAGAUCAAGGUAAUAGUUAGAAUAAAACUACAAAUAACAUGGUCAAGAUCAAGGUGGGUGUGUGUGUGACAAUCUUAUAUACUUUUUUGGAAGUAUGAAAAGAGUAAUGAAAUCAUGUACCUAAUAAAAAGUAAAGAAAACUUUAAUUCUACUGGAGGAAGCAAACACUAAACUUCCUUAAGAAAAUGGUAAUGUUGAAUUAAAUAACUUGCAUUGACGAACAUUAUGGUCCUUAUUCUAAAUUAUUUCAUUUCUUUUAUUGUGUCUCCAUUCAUUUAACAUGAUUUUUGAAAGUAUAAAAAGAGUAAUAUAAGUUACGUACCUAACAAAAUUAAAAAAAAGUACUUUAAUUUAAAUAGGGAAUGAGACAUGAAACUUCCUUGAAAAAAUGGCAAUGUUGAAAAGUUAAUAAAGUAGUUUAAAUUUUCAACUUGUUACAUUAGAUAACUUGCAUUAAAGGACAAUAUGUAUCUUAGAAAUAGAAAGUUUUGAAGUGAAACAUCUAAACAUGUAGGAACAUUAAACAAUGCCUUGGUCAAAAAAGGAAAACGCAUAGGAACAUAUAUCAAAUAAUAUCUUGGUCAAAAAGAAUAAUGCUUUAGUAAAAAAUGGAAAAUGCAUAGGAACAUUAAAUAAGACAAUAUCACAUAGGGUUUAGGUAAGACAAUUCUCUAAUCCCUUAUCCUUGUUGGCUCAUACACUUGUUGAACCUCUUUGAUACGAAAAUAAUCCAAAUGACUCAUAAAAUAUAGUGUUUAUAUGGAUGCUAUUAAGAUAUAAAUUAGGCUACAAUGAAAGUUAAUUAUAACUUUAAUGUUGGAGGGAAUAAGCAAUUUUUUGUGAGAAAGGGCAACACCUAGAAAGUCAAUAAGAUUAAUUAUCUUAAUAAUGGAAAAAAAGUUCAUUCUUAUGAAUCCUCAAAGUGAAUCAAAGAGACAAACUUCAAUUUUGAAGUGAACAUAAUUAUUAUUUUUUUGUUUCUUUGUUAAAUAAUUAGUAAUACUUAAUUUAUCGAUCGUGUAAGAAUCAAAGAAGAAUAGCUACUAUUCAUGCAAUGGGUCUCAUCUUAUUGUAACAAAACUUAUGAUUAUUUUUCUUCCAUGUAUUGGAAGUUACUAUAAAUUCAUUUCCCACUUGUUAUGUGACUUAGGUAUCAAAUAGAGCCCACUAGAUAAAAUUUCUCUCAAGGUAUUUCCACAUCAAAUUUCUUUAUUUUAAACAUGUUUAUGGAUGUAAGUUUGCAUUGAAUAAAUUUCAAGUAUUAAUGUAGACUAACAAUAUUUAAAUAAAAAUGAUAAUAUAUUUAAAUUUUUAAUAAAAAUUGAGUUGAAUUUUUCAACCAACAUUUGAUUUCCUUCCACUCACCUAAUGUUGGCAUUAAAAUGCAUUAAUAUAUAUAUAUAUAUAUAUAUAUAUAUAUAUAUAUAUAGAUAUAUAAAUAUAUAAUCAUUGUCUUGGGAACUUUUUCUUCGGUGCUUAUCCUCAAACCUUCUUAAAAAAAAUAAGAUUGAUUCUUGUUGUGCUCACCUAAUGCUUGCAUUAAAAUACUAUAAACUUUUUUUUUGUGAGCUUAUCCUUACACCUUAGAAAACAAGAUUGAUUCUCGUUGAUAAGAAGAUAAGAACAAAAACUUCUAAUAAAUUAUAUUUGGUAUAUUGGUAAUUUAAUGGGAAAAGACCUUAAAUUUUGUAAAUGUAAAAGGAUAAUAUAGUUGGACGACACAUUUAUACAAAUAUAUGAUUGGAUUUUAAUUUUGUAACUUAAUUAAUUAAGAAAAUAAAACCUUUGGGCUAUUUAAAUAUAAUUGGAUUUUAAUUUUUAGUUUGGGUUAAAGUUACAAAAGAAAAAAAAAUGACCCAAAUAAAUUAAUUGGGCAUUUAUAUUUAAACAAUUAGUCUUUAGAAUUAAUAUUUAAUUGGAUUGAAAAAAAAAAAAAAAAAGAUAAUAAAGGGAGUAGAAUGGUCUUUUCCCAUUAGAAACCUAGGUAUAAAUAUUCACCACCCUUCUUUACAAAAGUCUUUUGCAUAGAGAGAAAAUGUGGGGUUUGAAAUCAAUCUUUUAAAGCAAACAUAUAUAGAUUCAAUAUUUAGUUUCAUUUUUAAUGGUCAUAAAAAAAUAAAUAAUCUAGAAUCAUAUCAUGAUAAUUAUUAAAUAUGAUUAAUUUUUAUGAGAAAAUUAAAAAACACAUAAUUCUAAUUAAUUAUAUAGUCAAAUACCAUUAACCAUUCUUAGUUAAAAAUUUAAAGUCUUUUUCCAUUUGCAUUGGACAUUACUAUUAAUAGAUGCAUAUCCAUGAAUAUUGUACUUAGUAAUAUUUCUUUUAGAAUUAAAUCCCAUUAAGAUUAUAUUGCAUUGUGAUGUAUAUGAGUUGCACCUUCAAUUAUUUUUAUUUAACUUUGGUUCUCAGAAAAUAUUAAGGAAAAAAAAGAUAUUAAGGAAAAUAAUUCUUCAUGUUUGAUUGUCUUAUGAAAAAUUUCAAAAAAAAUAAAAUAAAAUAUAAUUAAAAUUAGUUUAGAACUUAUGUAUUUUCAAAUUAUUUAAUCUUUAUGUUGAUGAGUUAAAAUAAAUAAAAUGAGUUUGAAAUAACAAAUAAAAAUAAUUUAUCGACUUUAACCUUAUUUUUUAUUUUCCUUCAAUUUUUCAUUUCUUUUUUUUUUUUUCACUUUGUUUUCUUUCCUUUGUAUUUUCCCUCAGAUUUUUUUGGAAACCAAACAUAACCUUAAUGAUUAUGAGAUCAUAUUAGUUAAAAAGUGAAGUUUCUACCACUACAUAUAAUAAAUGCAUAUACAUGUAUAUUUUGAUCUUAGCCUAGACAAUAUUUAUAUAAAAAUGAAUAGAUCAUUAUAAAUGACAUUAAAAUUGAUUUCCUAUUGAGAAAUUACAAGUGUUCUAUACUUUUUAUAUAUAUAAAAAUUUCUUAAUCAAUAUUAUCAAAUAACUUUUUACAUUUUUCUAUUGAAAUAUAUAUUUUUUUGCAAAAAAAUUCCUAUUAUUAUAAUAAAUUUUUUUUUUUCAUAUUUUUCAAUUAAGAUAUACUCUUCAUAAGGACAUUCCUAUUAUUAUAAAAGAUAAAUUAUUUUUUAUAUGAAUAUUUUAUUUAAUCAAGAUAAACAUGGAAAGAAAUUGUUCUCACAUGUCUUAUAUUGAGAAAAAUUAUAUAUAAAUUGGAAAUAAUUUUAAAAUUAAUAAAAUCUAAAAGUUGUUUCACUAUUUUCUAAAAUUAAUUUCAAUUUUUUUUUUACUUUUUAAUUAGUGUAUGUUUAUGUAUGUAUGCAUGCAUGUAUAUAUGCAUACAUAUUAAAAAAUGUUGAUCAUUUAAGUGGCUCUAAACUAAUUAUUUAUUUGCAUGAAAAAAUUUAUUUAAAAUGAGUUGUUCAUCUUUUAUGAGAUAUAACAAAAGCCAUUUGCACUAGGUCAUAAUGGUAAUGAGUGGGAAGGUGGGUGCCUGCCUUUAAAAAGAAUAGAAGUGAACAACCACCCUAAAAUUCGAAAGUAUAACAUACAAAAGUACCUUGCAUUGAUGUACGCAUACACAUGAAACUUCCUUGAGAAAAUAGUAUUGUUGAAAUGUCAACAAAGUAGUCAUACACAUGAAACUUCCUUGAGAAAAUAGUAUUGUUGAAAUGUCAACAAAGUAGUUUAAAUCCUCAACAGGUUGUUACGUUAGUGUGUGUGUGUGUGUGUGUGUGUGAGAUAAAAGAUUUCAAAAGGAACAAUCCCUUGGUCAAAAAACAGAAAACAUAUAGAAACAUAUAUUGAGAAUAAUAUCUUAUUAAAAAAGAAUAAUGUCUUGGUGGGAAUGGGAAACGAGUAAGAACAUUGAAUAUGACAAUACCACAUAUGGUUAAGUAAGGCUAUUCUCUAAUCUUUUAUCCUUGUUGAACCUCUUUCAUUGAAAAAUAAUCCAAAUGACUCAUAAAAUAUAGUGUUUAUAUGGAUGGUAUUAAGAUAUAAAUUAGGCUACAAUGAAAGUUAAUUAUAACUUUAAUGUUGGAAGAAAUGAACAACUUCUUAUGAUAUAUAUAUAUAUAUAUAUAUAUAUAUAUAUAUAUAUAUAUAUAUAUAUAUAUAUGUGUGUGUGUGUGUGUGUGUGUGUGAGAUAAAAGAUUUCAAAAGGAACAAUCCCUUGGUCAAAAAACAGAAAACAUAUAGAAACAUAUAUUGAGAAUAAUAUCUUAUUAAAAAAGAAUAAUGUCUUGGUGGGAAUGGGAAACGAGUAAGAACAUUGAAUAUGACCAUACCACAUAUGGUUAAGUAAGGCUAUUCUCUAAUCUUUUAUCCUUGUUGAACCUCUUUCNNNNNNNNNNNNNNNNNNNNNNNNNNNNNNNNNNNNNNNNNNNNNNNNNNNNNNNNNNNNNNNNNNNNNNNNNNNNNNNNNNNNNNNNNNNNNNNNNNNNGAAAUAGAAAGUUUUGAAGUGAGACAUCUAAACAUGUAGGAACAUUACACAAUGCCUUGGUCAAAAAAGGAAAACGCAUAGGAACAUAUAUCAAAUAAUAUCUUGGUCAAAAAGAAUAAUGCUUUAGUAAAAAAUGGAAAAUGCAUAGGCACAUUAAAUAAGACAAUAUCACAUAGGGUUUAGGUAAGACAAUUCUCUAAUCCCUUAUCCUUGUUGGCUCAUACACUUGUUGAACCUCUUUCAUUGAAAAAUAAUCCAAAUGACUCAUAAAAUAUAGUGUUUAUAUGGAUGGUAUUAAGAUAUAAAUUAGGCUACAAUGAAAGUUAAUUAUAACUUUAAUGUUGGAAGAAAUGAACAACUUCUUAUGAUAUAUAUAUAUAUAUAUAUAUAUAUAUAUAUAUAUAUAUAUAUAUAUAUAUAUAUGUGUGUGUGUGUGUGUGUGUGUGUGAGAUAAAAGAUUUCAAAAGGAACAAUCCCUUGGUCAAAAAACAGAAAACAUAUAGAAACAUAUAUUGAGAAUAAUAUCUUAUUAAAAAAGAAUAAUGUCUUGGUGGGAAUGGGAAACGAGUAAGAACAUUGAAUAUGACAAUACCACAUAUGGUUAAGUAAGGCUAUUCUCUAAUCUUUUAUCCUUGUUGAACCUCUUUCAUUGAAAAAUAAUCCAAAUGACUCAUAAAAUAUAGUGUUUAUAUGGAUGGUAUUAAGAUAUAAAUUAGGCUACAAUGAAAGUUAAUUAUAACUUUAAUGUUGGAAGAAAUGAACAACUUCUUAUGAGAAAGGGCAACACCUAGAAAGUCAAUAAGAUUAAUUAUCUUAAUAAUAGAAAGAAAGUUCAUUCUUAUGAAAUUGAAUCAAAGAGAUAAAUUUCAAUUUUGAAGUAAACAUAAUUAUUUUUCUAUUUUUGUUAAAGAAUUAACAAAAUUUAUCAUGUAAGAAUCAAAGAAGAAUAGCUACUAUUCAUGCAACUGGUCUGAUCUUGUUGUAACAAAACUUAUGAUUAUUUUUCUUCUAUGUAUUGGAAGUUACCAUAAAUUAAUUUCCAACUGGUCAUGUGACUAUUGCAUCAAAUAGAGCCCACUAGAUAAAAUUUUUGUUGACGUAUUUCCACAUCAAAUUUCUUUAAUUUAAACAUGUUUAUGGAUGUAAGUUUGCAUUGAAUAAAUUUCAACCAUAGAUAUGCACUAACAAUAUUUAAAUAAAGAUGAUAAUGUAUUUAAAUUUUUAAUAAAAACUAAGUUGAAUUUUUCAACGAACAUUUGAUUUCCUUCUGCUCACCUAGUGUUAGCAUUAAAAUACAAAAAAAGCUCACCUAAUACUUGCAUUAAAAUACUAGAAACUUAUUCUUGUGAGCUUAUCCUUGCACCUUCUUAGAAAAAAAACAAGAUUGAUUCUUAUUGGUCAGAAGAUAAGAACAAAAACUUCUAAUAAAUUAUAUUUGAUAUAAACUCGUCAAUCAUCACAUAAAAAACAAUUUCUCCAGAGGGCGAUGACCCCAUCAACCCCCAUAAGCUAACCAAGCAGCUCGACCUUAACAUCCUAAGCAAAGCGCAACAAUACUGAUUCAAGCUUCACAAUCCAACACCAAUAAAGACAAGAACAAUUGACACUCAAAAAAAUUAUUUCUUUUAACUUUUUCCCUUUAAGUUGAAUUUGAUUUUAAAAUAGUGUUAUCUCAUUAAUUAUUUUACAAAAUAUAUAUAUGUUAUAUCUUAAAAUUGGUUAGUAAAUUAUAUUACAAUUAUCAAAGAUAUUGCCAUAUAUAAAAUACAACUUAAUAAAUCUUAAGCAUAACACAAAGCACAACAACAAGAUAUAUUAAUUUAAGUUACUAAGAGCUUAUUUAGUUGUGUGAUUUAAAAAUGGUUUUCUAUUUUAAAAAAUAAAAAAUUAUUUUAAAAAAUUUAUAACACUAUUUUAAUGUUGUUCUUUGGAAACAAUGUUUAAAGACAAAGUAACAUUGAGAACAAUUUUUAAAGAACAAGUAGGAGUUGUUUUUAUUAGUUUUUAAAAAACAAAAAAUAUAUAAACUCAUUUUACUAUGUUUUUUGAAACUUGUUUUUAAAUUAAAGAAUAAAAAAUAAUUUUUCAAAAUAAGUUUCAAAAAAUAUGACCAAACAAACCCUAAAUGGUCGGGGUUUAAUAUUAAAGAGAAAAAAAGUUAAUUUAAGAGUUUGCAUGCAGGUAGACAUCAGGCUGUAAAACUGGUUUACUAAGACACUCAUUUUAUUUAUAUAUUCUUCUAUGUGCAUGCAUUGACCAUGUGGUUAGGAUGUGUUGCACCAAAAUCUAAUUAUUAACUUGCAGUUCGAAAUCACAAACCAGCUGUAUGUAUUAGAAACAGACCAUAUUGGGUCAUGCACAUUCUCCGUCAUUUUCUAUUUCCUAGCAACAUAUAUGACCAAAUGAAAUUGUUAUAUCCUAAUUAUAUUUUUUAAUUAGGCGAUAAAUGAAUGGAUUCCUUUUAAAAAUAAUAAUUGAGAUAUUAGGGAUGAUUAAAAUAUUAUUAGAAGAAAACAACCACUAUCUUCCAGAUUAAUCACAGCUUAAUAAAUGUAAAUAAAUUAAUCUGACACUACAUUUUUCUUUAUUUGUUUUGGUUUCUUUACAAGAAUGUUUCUUUAUGUAUUCUUGUUGAAUCUAUAAAAUAUCAUCUAUAAACAUUCUUUUUGAAUGAUUAAGAAUCCGAUAUUUAAAUGAUUGUGUGGACCUUGCAUUUUUGCUCAAUGCGUUCCCACUCAAUGUUGAACUCUCUUUUUAUUUAUUUAAUGAAAAAUAUGAUUUUUUUUUUUAGAAAAGACUUGGAGUCGCCACUUAUUUUUGUUUUAUUUUUAAAAAUGGUAAACAAAAUAAGAAAGAAAACCCUAAGUGUGACUCCUUAUUUUGGAAAAAGUGGUAUGUGAAAAAUCAGAUCGGGCUCGGGGAUUAGGUUACUUAUCGGGAAGGUACAGUAAGGACCAUGACACCCCUCUAAGUCCCUAAAGUCGGGUCUCUAUUGAUAAAAGGAAGCUGACAUGGCAAUCAAUAAGGAAAUCAAUGGGUACUCAAAUCGAUCAUGCACAUAUGGAAAUUGGAAUUUUAGAAAUUGGAAAUUAAAUUCGAAAAUGGGAAAAUUGGAAUCUCAAAAAUUGGGAAUUGAAUUUGGAAAUCAGAAUUUUGAAGAAUUAUUUAAAGAUGAAAAUUUUAAAAGUAAGUAAAUAAAUAAAUAAAUAAAAUAAUAAUGAUUGGAUAAAUAAAUGCGAAAAUUGGAAUUUUGGAAAUCGGAAAUUAUAUUUGGAAUUUGGAAAAUCAGAGUUUUGGAAAUUGAGAAUUAAAUUUGGAAAUUGGAAUUUUGAAGAAUUAUUUAAAGAUAGAUUUUUUUAAAUAAAUAAAUAAAUAGAAUAAUAAUAAUAAUCGAAAUAAUAAUAAAAUAAAUGAACAUGAACAUUAAAAUUUUUUGAAAUAGAAAAUUAAAUUUGGAUGUCGGAAAUUUGAAAAAUUGUUUAAAAAAACGGAAUUUAGAAAAUAAAUAAAUUAAUUAAAAAAAAAGUAUUGUAGUGAAGGUCAUCAAACUCAAAGUCUUAUUCAUGACCCAAUUUCCCAUAUUUGAUUAAGAAUCCAUGCAACAUUACUAUGGGCCACCUGAGCCAAAAUGUCUACACGUUCCACUCUUACACCAUCCCAUUGCAGCUCUCACCACAACAGCCACAACAGUGGAAGUAAAAAUAAAAAAUAAAAAAUAAAAAAAUCACGCCACAUGAGUUGACCAUGAUGUCACCUCUUCCAACACAAGCAAUACACUUCCAAUUGGAACUCUGAAAGCAAUAGUCACUUCAGCACGACAGCGAGGUAGACUAGGGCAGUAGGUGUUGAAUGAGUGAUGAAUCCGAAAAGAAUGGGUUUGUAACAUAAAUGAUUAAUCUUACAACAUCACACAAGAGAUAUGAAUCCAUAUUUACGCACAUAUCCAAACAAAACCAUAUGAACAAUAGAUGAGACCAUGCCACAACAAACCAUUAUAAGAGUAAGAAAAGGAAAAAAGAGAGAGAAAAAAAAAGACAAACUUCAGCAUAAAAAAAAACAAAUCUAGAAGGUAGUGAAGUGAUGUAUGGAGAGUCACCGUGAUCAUACCGAAACAAACUCACAAACAACGCAAAAUAAUCACAUAAAAAAACAAAAGGGUAAUAGGAUGACCAAUAAUAAUCCAUGAACCUUAUCAGUCUUACCAGGUAAAGCUUUCUAUCCACUGGAGUUUUCUAGACUUUCUUUCCAACUUCCCUCCUCCUCUUUCCUGCUUCAGCCUAUCCCCGAAAAGCUUGCUCUGCCCAUUUUUCUACAACCAACCCAACAGCUAGCUUAGCCCCCAAAAAGAUGAAGACGCUCCCCCCUAUUUAUUCUCUCCCGUUCAGCUCAUUUCCCGCCCAGUUUUUCUCUCCAGAUUUUUUUUCCCCUAGUCCUCACAUGCUCCCUACUCCUUGCUCAACCAAUCUGUCACCAUCUCAACCACCACCAUGGCGAGGUAGUGGUGUCGUCCUCCAUGCGUCUCAUGCAUGCUAAUAUUUGAAAAAGUCGAUCCCCCUUCCUCCUACAACAAGCUGCUAGCUAUCCGGGUGGCUAGCAUGAAGGGUCUACAAAUAUGCCCCUCUUCAGUAGAGUUCACGAACGUAAAGAAAUAUGAACACUAGAGUGAAAAGAAAGUGUGAAUAGUGAGCGAAAUGAAGUGAACUUUACCGAAAAUGGGCAUAUUUGUAGACCCCUCAUGCUAGCCACCCGAAUAGUUGGUAGCUUGUUGUAGGGGGAGGGGAGACCGACUUCUUCAAAUAUUAGCAUGCAUGAGACGCAUGGAGGAGGGCACCACUACCUCGCCAUGGUGGUGGUUGAGAUAGUAACAGAUUGGCUGAGCAAGAAGCAAGUGAAGACUAGGGGGAAAAAAAAGAUCUGGAGAGAAAAAAUAGGUGGAAAAUGAGCUGAACGAGAGGGAAUAAACAGGGGAGAGCAUCUUCAUCUUUUUGGAGGGUGACCUAGCUAUCGGGUUGGUUGUAGAAAAACAGGCAGAGCAAGCUUUUCGGGAAUACGUCGAAGUAGGAAAGAGAAUGAAGAAAGUUGGAAAGAAAGUCCAAAAAACUCCAAUGGAAGGAGAGCUUUACCUGAUAAGACUGAUCAGGUUCAUAGAUUAUUACUGGUCAUCCUACUACCCUUUUGUUUUUUUACGUUAUUAUUUUGCAUUGUUUGUGAAUUUGUUUCGGUAUGAUCAUAGUGACUCUCCAUACAUCAUUUCCCUACCUUCUAGAUUUGUUUUUUUUUUGUGCUAAAGUUCGUCUUUUUUUUUUCUCUCUCUUUUUCUUUUUCUUACUCUUACAAUGGUUUGUUGUGGCAUGGUCUCAUCUAUUGUUCAUAUGGUUCUGUUUGGAUGUGUGUGUAAAUCUGGAUUCAUAUAUCUUGUGUGAUGUUGUAAGAUUAAUUGUUUAUGUUACAAAUCCAUUCUUUUUGAAUUCAUCACUCAUUUCACACCCGUUGCCUUGGUCUACCUUGCUGUCGUGUUGGAGUGGUUGUUGCUUUUAGAGCUCCAAUUGGAAGUGUAUUGCUUGCAUUGGAAGAGGUGACAUCAUGGUCAACUCAUGUGGCGUGUUUUAUUUUAUUUUAUUUUUACUUCCGUUGUUGUGGUUGUUGUGGUGAGAGCUGCAAUGGGAUGGUGUAAGAGUGGAAGGUGUAGACAUUUUGGCUCAGGUGGCCCAUAGUAAUGUUGCAUGGAUUCUUAAUCAAAUAUGGGAAAUUGGGCCAUGAAUAAGACUUUGAGUUUGAUGACCUCCACUCAUUCCACCACCAAACCUUUUUUUUUUAAUUAAUUUAUUUAUUUUUUAAAUUUCAUUUUUUUAAACAAUAUUUCAAAAUUCCGACAUCCAAAUAUAAUUUCCGAUUUAAAAAAAUUUCAAUGUUCACGUUCAUUUAUUUAAUUAUUAUUUCUGUUAUUAUUAUUAUUCUAUUUAUUUAUUUAUUUAUUUUUAAAAAAUUCAAUCCUUAAACAAUUAUUCAAAAUUCCGAUUUCCAAAUUUAAUUCUCAAUUUCCAAAACUCCGAUUUUCCAAAUUCCGAAUUUAAUUUCCGAUUUCCAAAAUUCCAAUUUUCGCAUUUAUUUAUCCAAUCAUUAUUAUUUUAGUUAUUAUUAUUAUUAUUAUUAUUUUAUUUAUUUACUUACUUACUUUUAAAAAUUCCAUCUUUAAAUAAUUCUUCAAAAUUCUGAUUUCCAAAUUCAAUUCCCAAUUUUCGAGAUUCCAAUUUUCCCAUUUCCGAAUUUAAUUUACAAUUUCUAAAAUUCCAAUUUUCGCAUUUAUUUAUUCAAUCAUUAUUAUUUUUCGUUAUUAUUAUUAGUUUAUUAUUUACUUAUUUAUUUUUAAAAUUCAAUCUUUAAAUAAUUCUUCCGAAAUUCCAAUUCUUAAAUUUAAUUCCCAAGACUCCAAUUUCCAAAUAAUUUUCGAGACUCUAAUUUUCAAAUAAAUUUCAAAAAUCUAGUUUUCACUCGAACAAUUUUAAUUCCAUUCCGGUUCUCAAAUAAUCUGUUGUUUUUCUUGAUUUUACAUAAGCAUGAAUGUAAUUUUUCACAAUUCCACAAUAAUGGAAUAUGUGAGACUAAUUCAUGCAAGAUAGAUUGGGUUUUGGUGGGGGGCCCAACAUUGGUGUUUUUUUCCUCUAAAAAUAAAUUUGAUUGAAUUGAAUUGUGAUAUCUGUUGAUUUCUCACUCUGUUUAGUGGCAUGUGUGACAUAGUCUGUUUUGUUAAUUGUGCACUAAACCCAUUUCUUGAUAGUGCAUUAUGACUCGUGGCCCAGGUGCGCAUCCGCUCCUAUUCUGGUCAUUCUCUAUGCAUGUUCUGAUUCCCAUAUGUGCAUGAUCAAUUUAAGUACCCGUUGAUUUCCUUAUUGAUUGCCACGUCAGCUUUCUUUUAUUAGUAGAGACCCGACUUUAGGGACUUAGAGGGGUGCUACGGUCCUUACUAUACCUUCUCGAUAAGUAACUUGACCCCCAAACCCAAUUCGGUUUUUCACAUACCACUUUUUCCAAAAUAAGGAGUCAUAGUUAGAGUUUUCUUUCUUAUUUUGUUUACCCUUUUUAAAAAUAAAACAAAAAUAAGUGGUGACUCCAAGUCUUUUCUAAAAAAAAAAAAAAUCAUAUUUUUCAUUAAAUAAAUAAAAAGCAAGUUCGCCAUUGAGUGGGAACGCAUUGAGCUAAAAUGCUGGGUCCAUAAAAUGGCGACUCCACUGAGGAUGAUUUAGAAGGUCAAACUUGAACUUAAGAUGAAGCAAAUGCGACAUUUGAUGGGUCGAUCAGUGGGUACCUAUCUUUUAAUUGCACAUUGAGAGUUCUUGAUAUCAUUGGAUGCAUGCUUGGAUAUUGUAUUCAUUUUGAGACAUUGAUAUGUUGGUUAUGAUGAUUGAUUUGUCUUGAUUGAGGAUUCCGAGAUAGCUAUUUUUUUUGUGCUUCAUUGCUAUAUUUGUUUGGGAUAUUGACAUACUGAUUGUAUCAAUUUCUUAUCUUGCCUUGCUUAGCAUAGUGACCCUGAUUCUUGCCAUGAUUGUUCUGCUCACUUCAUAUGCAUAGACUCACUAUUGUACACCAUUUGACUUGAUGUGUUGUUUUCUUUGGCUUGUGUAUUAUCCUGAUCGUCUUUGAGCAUGAUGCUUGUAUUAGUAUUCAUUUGAUCGUCAUAGCUUGUAUGUGUACAUGAGCAAUAUAUCAUGUACUCUGCCUGGUUGUAUGUCGCAUGACUGCACUCCUUUGCAUGUUGCUUGUUUGUGUGGGUAGCACAUCUAUCCCCUUAUCUCCAACGCUCUGGGUUUCGAUUAUUUCCUUUAUUUCGGUUUUCACUUUUGCAAGUGUGAGGCCUUGUGUGUGCUUGUACUUUGACCGAGGAAGAGGUUAGGAGUAGGGUCUAGCGACGGGCUAUAUCGAUGUUUGGGAGCAUUCUGGAGGUGACCGACACAUUGACGUCAAUUGGAGUCCGAUCAUUGAAGACCUGUAUAGCCUGGAGCUAGGUUUCAUGGAUAUUUGUGCGGCCAGUGUGUUUCCCUUUUUGAUUUAGCUUCAUAGAGUUUUCGGAUGCACCCACACCGCUCACUGCGCACUCUAGUUGACCAUUGAGUGUUGAGAGUUUUGAGAGGUUUCGCCAUAGAAAACCUCCUGAGAUAUCGAGGUAGUGCAUGUGUGGAGGUGAUGACCACCUUGCAUAGAAGCGCCCAUUCUUUUCGGAGGCGUGCAGAGGGUUGCGUACCGUCGGAGGGUACGAUCGCUUCUGUUAGGGAUCCUUUAAAGUCCACCCCUCUUCUUUUCAGAGCCACCUUGACCUUGUAGGUCGAGCCUUAGAUAUUUCAAUCAGGAAUUUCUUCCCUAACACGUGGGUGCAUCUGUGGGCCUUCAAAGUUACUUCAGUAGUGAUAGGUUUAGUUACCUUCGUAGUGGUCUCUUAUACAUCUGCUCAGGAUUGGAUAUCACUUUGAUUGCUUACGAGUUACCUUUCGACAUAUUUGAUAGACUUUCUUUGUGGAGAUUUUCCUAACCUUGUAUCUUAUCUAGUAUUUCCAAUAUUGUAGGAGCAUUGAUACAUAGGGUUUGGGUUCGACUUCUUGGAUCCAGGUUAGGGGUAGAUUGAUCAGAGUAUCAGACCCGUUAGACCAGAAAUCAGAUCAUAGAAAUAUGGACUCACAGAUGGUUACCGUUGGCAGCAGGCCUAGGAGGUUUCGCCUCAGGAUGGCGCACAGUAUGACCCUACAGUGCCGUCAUCCCCUCCACCUAAUCAGUCAGCACCACUAGCCAUACCUUUCACUCUGCAUAGUCAGACCGAGGUUGUCCCGACUCCUAUCAUCGUGCCUACCCCAACCUCAGAGGACCCACAUGCUUGUAUGGAUAGGCUCGAUAAGAAGUUGAGACAAUUGAGGAGUUCAGACAGACCUGUUACUUGGGACGAUUUUGAUGGACUACCAGUGGCCAGUUUGCCGGCCAAGUUCAGGAUGCCAGAGAUUGAGCGAUACACGGGCAUUGGCUGUCCUUGCAUCCAUUUGAGGCUUUAUAGUACUAUCAUGAGGGCCCAUGGACUAGAUGAGGUUCAGAUGAUUAUGUUUUUCCCCAUGUGCUUGAACGGUGUGGCGUAGUGAUGGUUUGCUUUAUUGGAUACAUCCCAAAGUCGGACUUGGGAUGAUUUGGCCUAGGAGUUUUUGAGACAAUUCACAUUUAAUACUGUCAUUGACGUCUCGAGGAGAGAGUUAGAGGCAUUGAGACAGAGGCCAGAGGAGUCGAUCACCUCAUUUAUCUCCCGUUGGAGGGAGAAGAUUUCAUAGGUUAUUAAUAGACCAUCGGAGAAGGAUCAUAUUAGCAUGAUUAUGAGAAGCUUGCAACCUCGAUUUGCUAGACACUUGAUGGGAUUUCCUCAUAGAGAUUUUGGAUCUUUGGUACAGGCCUUGUAUGGUAUAGAGGAGGGCAUAGCCAGAGGAUUAUGGUCUGAGUCUUCUCUUUCUAAUUCGAAGGGGAAGAAACCUUUAAGAUGAUAGAGGCUAGUUGAUGUGAGCGCCCCUAGUUCUACCAGCCAGAGGCCUCCUAUGCGUCAUUAGUCAGUGCCACAGCUUCCUGAGACUCAUCCUUCAUAUCCACCUCAACAGUACAGGCCACGAGCGCCUCGUCCGACUUUUGAUCAUGCUUACAUGCCUCAGACACUAGUUUUGCCUUACUAUGCCACUCAGGGCAUCGAGAGACCACCUGUUUCAUAUACAGCCACAGGAUAGCCAUGCUAUGCGGCGUAGUUUACCGCAAGACCUACAUCUUCUUAUCCCAGGCUUAGAGCUCAACAGACUUCUGUUCCUUUUGUUUUGAGGACGCAGAUAUAGUUCUCGCAGUUAAGCAUGCCGUUGAGCCAGGCUAUUCGGAAACCUAUAGAGGUUGGGUUGUUGAUUGCUCUCACUCUUAGGCCACCACCUCAGCCUCUUCCUUCUCGGUUCAGGAUGGAUUUGCACUAUGCAUACCAUCAAGGACCUAGACAUGAGACUGACCGUUGUACCGCUCUGAGACAUGCCAUCCAAGAUCUGAUCGACCAGGGUUUGGUUCACUUAGAUUAGCCGAGUGUAACCACAAACCCACUAUCGACCCACACCACACAUGCGGUUCCCCCACCAACCAAUAACAUUCAUUUUCUGGAUUUUGCUGGGUUUGACGACCAUAUCCAUAUGUUGAGCCGGGAUGACACAGAGCGAGAGCCCAUAGUGUCAGAUGGGAUUUAUGAGAUGAGUGGGGUGACUUUGGGACCUUAGAUACCCGCUCCAUUCAGAUUCGUCCCUAAGGCGGUAUCGGUACAAACGACCACUAUCGAGCGAUUGACUUUCUCACAUUAUAGUGUUCAGACGCAUUUUGUUUUGAUUCCAGAUGUUGAUGGGGUUCAGACUUCUUAUGUUGAUGUUUAUCAGACUCCAUAUGUCGAUGAUGUUCAUACUUUAGAUGUGCAGUAUGUUAUCCACGGAGGUAGGGUAGUACGGCAGCAGCCCCCCGCUGCCGCUAGACCCUUGAAGGGAACGUCAUCCCAAGAGGAGGUCGAGAGGGAGGAUGAUCAGAUUCUGAUGCAGUUACAAAGCACUCAUGCUUGUAUUUCCAUCUAGAGCUUGUUAGCAUCUUCUAGUAAUCACCGAGAUGCUUUGAUUUGAGCCUUGAGCCAGAUCAGAGUUGAAACUACCACCACUCCGGAGGGAUUGAUUCAUAUGGUGAUGGCUGGCAGAGCCGCAUGCAUAGUAUUCUCUGAUGACGGCUUGCAACCAGAGAGUGCGAACCAUACAUGUCCAUUUUAUAUAUCAGUUGGUUGUUUAGGCUAUCGAGUCUCAUUUGUCAUUUUGGAUAACGACUCGGCCCUGAACGUUUGCCCUCUGGCCACUGCCAUCGCCCUUGGUUAUGCGUCCUCUGACUUUGGUCCCUUCACUCAGAUAGUUCGAGCAUACGAUAACACUCAAAGGGAGGUCAUGGGCACUCUAGAGAUUGAGUUGCUGAUAAGUCCGAUCACAUUUGUUACUUUGUUCCAGGUUUUGAAGAUUCCUACAUCAUUUAACCUGCUAUUGGGUCGACCUUGGAUUCACAAAGUCGGGGUCAUUCCUUCUUCCCUUUAUCAAAAGGUGAAGUUCAUUUGCGAUGGUCAGGUCAUCACAGUGCGGUCUAUAGGAGAUAUGUUUAUUUCUACUCAGCCGGUGCUUCAGAUUAGUCACAAUGAUGAUGACUUACUUCUGAGUGGAUUCACAUUCGACGAGGUGCAAACCCUAAAGAUGGAGAAUUUUUUCCGAGACUUCGUAGCUAUGUCGUUUGACUAGCAUGGUAGCACGGUGGUGCUCGAUAUGAUGAGGAGUAUGUCUUAUCUUCCCGGUAUGGGAUUGGGGCGACGUCAGCACGGGCCUAGUGAGUUCAUGGCUAUCCCCGAUCACGAUGUACCGUUCGAACUCGGGUUCAUCCCCACUGAGGCUAAUUAUCGAUAUAUGGCGCAACUGCGCAAGGAGAUGGGUGAGAGCCCAACUGACUCACACGCCUUUUGAUUAUCCUGUUCGCUCAUACACCAUGAGCUUAACAGAAUACUUUGUGAAGGCGUCAGUGCCGCAGAUGCCUUCAAAUGGGAUAAUUGGGGGACUCGAAACUACUCAAGAGGCCAAGCUUCAGCGCCUCGUCUAUCAGCUACAGUUGAGUGAUGGAGUUCCUGGCACUUCGAUAUCUGUGUUGGCUGCCCUAUCAUCUCCAGAUCGUAUGAGCCUUAUGACGCUUUAUUUCCCGGAUGAGAUCAACGAGCAUGAGACAUUUGCUCGAGAUUGGAAACAUAGUGGACAGAGCCAUUCCACAUAAAGAGUACGUCGAUGAGAUGCUCGCGAUGAGCUUAAGCCAGAUCAAGGAGAUAGUUCAGCCUGGGCUCCCUUCACCAUUUGAUCUUUUCGGGGUGUCCGUCAUCCAGAUUGCUGAGGAGAUCCCGACUGCUUCUACUCCGGAGUUUACUGAGGGUGCCAUAGCUGUUAAUGACUUGUUUGAUGGCCCUGUUGGCCUAGUUGAGGGAGCGUCCGACUUUGUGGACCCACUUAUUUCAUUUGAUGUUUUAUCGGGAUUUGUUUCCCUUCAUGAUGAUGUUCUUGGCUCUUCAUUUAUGGAUUUGAGUAUUUUUGAGUAUUUGCCUGCCUCUUGUGAUAUUGCUUUAUCUACACCAUCUUCACCCACAUCACAGAUAUUUGACAUUGAUGAUGAGAUUGUACAACAUGAUUCAAAUGAUGACUCAUCAUCCGCUUCUGAUUCGAACCCCAUUGAUUAGAGAGUUUCACCUACUAUAGGGGAUGCUGAGAUUGUUGAUUUCAGCACAACAGAUCAACUUAGGGAGUUGAGGAUCAGAUCGGAUUUAUCUACUGAUAAGAGGGAUAACCUCAUCCAAUUGCUCAAAUCAUACUUGGACAUUUUCGCAUGGUCUUAUGAGGACAUGCCGAGUCUUGAUCCAUCUAUCGUCCAACAUCAUUUGCCACUUCUACCCUAUGCCAGACCGGUUAAGUAGAAAUUGAGACAGUUGCACCCUCGUUGGAGUUUGCAAGUGAAGGAGGAGAUCCAAAAGCAGCUCAGUGUGAGAUUUUUUUCAAUGGUCGAGUACCCGGAAUGACUCACCAAUGUCGUCAUUGUUCUAAAAAAGGACGACAAGGUGAGAGUCUGUGUUGAUUUUCGAGAUCUCAACAAGGCCAGUUCUAAGGAUGAUUUUCCUCUCCCACACAUCGACAUGCUAGUUGACAAUACAACAGGUCAUUCGAUGUUGUUCUUCAUGGAAGGAUUUUCCGGGUAUAGUUAGAUCUUGAUGGCUCUAGAGAACAUGAAGAAGACGUCAUUCAUUAUCGAGUAGGGUACUUAUUGCUAUAGAGUCAUGCCAUUCGAGUUGAAGAAUGCAGGAGCCACUUAUCAGAGAACAACAACCACACUCUUCCAUAACAUGAUGCAUUGAGAUGUCGAGGUUUAUGUAGACGACAUGAUAGUGAAAUCCCGAGAUAGAUCAGAUCACCUAACAACUCUGGAGAGGUUCUUUGAGAGGAUCAAGCGGUUUAGAUUGAGAUUGAAUCCUAGGAAGUGCAUUUUUGAAGUGACUUCUGGGAAGCUCCUAGGAUAUAUGGUCAGUGAGAGAGGCAUAGAGGUAGAUCUGGAUAAGAUUAGAGCCAUCUUUGACAUGCCUGCACCGAGAACAAAGAGAGAGGUCAAAGGCUUCUUGGGUAGACUUCAGUACAUCAGCAGAUUCAUCGCCAGAUUGAUAAACAUCUGUGAGCAGCCCAAUUUUCUACUCUUGAGGAAGAGUCAACCUACUGUUUGAGAUGAUUAGUGUCAGCAUGCAUUUGAGAGGAUCAGAGAGUACUUGUUGUCACCUCUAGUAUUGGCGCCUCCUACACCAGGCCAUCUUUUACUCCUAUACCUAUCAGUCUCAGACGUAGCAUUGGGAUGCAUGUUGGCUCAAGUCGAUGAUUCAAGCAAGGACCGAGCCAUUUAUUAUCUAAGUAAAAGAAUGUUAGAUUACGAGACGAGAUAUGUCAUGAUUGAGCGCUAUUAUUUGGCAUUGGUUUAGGCCACUCGUCGACUGAGACAUUAUGUGACCGAGUAUUCAGUGCACUUGAUAUCCCAUCUAGAUCCUCUUAGAUACUUGUUUGACAUACCUGCCUUGGUUGGUCGCCUCAUGAGAUGGUUGGUACUUCUGACUGAGUUUGACAUCCAUUAUGUCACUUAGAAGUCCAUCAGAGGGAGCAUUAUCGCAGAUCACCUAGCCUCAUUACCAGUUUCUGAUGGUAGGACUAUUGAUGAUGAUUUUCCAGAUGAGGAUGUUGCUACUGUGCUUAGUCUGUCAGGUUGGCGCAUGUACUUUGAUGGUGCAGCCAACCAUUCCAAAUAUGGGAUAGGAGUUUUGUUAAUAUUCUCUCAUGGUGACCACAUUCCUAGAUCUAUUCGUUUGGCAUUCUCGAAUUGACACCCAGCCACGAACAACAUUGUUGAGUAUGAGGCUUGUAUCUUGGGAUUAGAGAUGAUCCUUAAGUUUGGGAUUAGAUAGAUGGAGGUGUUUGGUGACUCCAAUAUGGUAUUAAGAUAGAUUCAAGGUGAGUGUAAGACUAGAGAUGUGAAGCUUAGGUCUUACCACGCAUAUUUGGAGCUACUGGUUGGGAGAUUUGAUGAUUUAAGAUACACACAUCUACCUAGAGCGCAGAACCAGUUUGUUGAUGCCUUAGCUACUUUGGUUUCCAUGAUUGAUAUUCUUGUCGAUGCCAUUGUUUGCCCUUUACUGAUCAAGUCGAGAUCUGCUCAUGCCUACUAUUACCUAAUUGAUGAUGUAGAGCCAGAUGAUGGUUUGCCCUGGUACCAUGACAUAUAUCACUUUCUGAGACUUGGCGUAUAUCCUAAGGCCGCCAUGACCAAGGCUAAGAAGGCAUUUGAGAUAGUUGGCUGCCCGAUUUGUGAUUUGUGGCAAGACACUAUACAGACGAUCAGUUGAUGGGAUGUUGCUAUUAUGCUUAGACCACGCCUUUACUGAUCUAGUGAUGAGAGAGGUUCAUGCAGGAAUCUGCAGACCACAUAUGGAAGGGCAUAUGCUAGCUCGUAAGAUCAUGAGGACUGGCUAUUUCUGGUUGACCAUGGAAACAGACUGUUGCCAGUUUGUUCAGAGAUGUCCUGAGUGCCAGAUACACGGUGACCUCAUUCACGUGCUUCUUCAGAAUUACAUGCGUUGACUUCGCCGUGGCCAUUUUUAGUAUGGGGUAUAGACAUUAUUGGGAAGAUUUUACCGAAGUCUUUCAGUGGGCAUGAGUUCAUCUUGGUCGCCAUCUAUUACUUCACCAAGUGGGUGGAGGUUGCUUCGUAUGCAAGAUUGACGUCAUUUGAAGUUGCUAGUUUCAUCAGAUCACACAUUAUUUGUCGCUAUGGAGUCUCUCAUGAGUUGAUUUCCGAUAAAGAGGUACAUUUCACAGCAGAGGUUGACACCUUAGUGCAGCGAUAUGGCAUCCGACAUCUUAGGUCAUUUGCGUACAGGCCGUAGACGAAUGGAGCAGUAGAGGUCGCCAAUAAGAAUAUUAAGAGGAUCUUACGAAGAAUGGUUGGGACUUCUCGGGAUUGGUCAGAGAAAUUCCCUUUCGCAUUGUGGGCUUAUCGAAUUUCUUUUCGCACCUCCAUAGGAGCCACACCCUACUCUUUGCUGUAUGGUAUGGAGAUAGUGCUACCAGUUGAGAUUGAGAUGGGUUCAUUGAGGAUAGCAUUAGAGCGGCAGAUUCCAGAGGCAGAUUGGGCUCAGGCCCGAUUAGAUCAACUCAAUCUCCUAGAUGAUAGGAGAUUGAGGGCAGCAGACCAUGUUCGCUCAUAUCAUUAGAGGAAGAUGACCCGUGCUUUCAAAAAGCGGGUCAAGGCUUAACCACUAUGGAUAGGUGACUUGGUUCUGAAUGUCAUCAAGGGAUUGAUAAGAGAUCCUAGAGGGAAGUUCAAACCCAAUUGGAGCGGACCUUACUUCAUCAAGGAGUUAACCCUAGAGAACGCUACAUGGUUGAUGGAUCUAGAUGGAAACCGAUUCUCGGAGCCGAUCAACGUAGAUUAGCUAACGAGGUACUAUGUUUGAGACCAUGGUCAUAGGAUGGGUGGUCAUCAUUUCAGUUAGCCAUAUACCUUGUUAUUCCCCUUUGAUACAUAGACUGUUGCUAGCCCAUUGAGCCUCGUGUGUGCAUUAUAGCAUUUCUAUCUUAUUACCUUGCUCACAUUGUUACACCAGGAUUGGGGCCCUUUAGUGUGUGCAUGCGUUGUUUGGGAGCCUGAUAAGUCUUGGACCUACAAGUGCGUCUUUCUCUCAUUAUUUUUUCCUACCAUCACUCUAAUGCAUAUCAUCACAUCUCGUUGGCCAGGUUCUUCAUUCAUUCUCCUUUAUUAUAUCUACUGCUUGUUUUGCUUCAUAUUCUCUUCACCCUGAGUGGUAAUCCUCCUCAGUUCAUUGCAUGAAGGAUAGUCACAUCAUUUCCACCAUCUAUCCCACGGACACUGAUUCUGAGAUCCUUAGUUUGAGAAGGUUAUCUCGUCAGAGAUAGUUUUUGAGAGUGUGUCUAUCCAUUGUAGAUGUCAUAUUUGGGGAUCAUUUGUUUAUGAUUCAGGGUAUAUGCAUUUGUAUAUAUGUAAAAAAAAAAAAAAAAUGAAAAUGUAAAACAAAAGAAAAAAAUGAAAAUGAAAAGAAAAGAAAAAUAAGCAUGUGUGUAUGUGCAUAGUAUUCUCCAUCAUUGGGCAUGUAUAUUGAUGUUUGAGGGUUACUUCAUUAAGUAUGUUUGUUGAUGAGAGCUCGUAUGUGAGCUUUCCGAGACCGUUCAUUAUUUGUAUUCAGGUUUCAUGUAUUUUGAGAGUGAGAUGAGUGACUUUCUCUUAGGAGCUUUGUAUCAUUGUCCUUUCCAUCAUUACAUUCAUUGUUGAUGUGACUUCACCUCAUGUUGGAUUUGAGCGGAUCAUCAUUCCUCUUUGUGUUCUUCGCUUCACCAUCAUCCUCGUUUUUGCUUUUGAUUCAUCAUCAUCAUCUCACCCCUUGUCAUUUUCUUACAACGACUCUUUUAUUCCCAGUUUGACACUUCCUCCACAUCAUCCUUACACAUCUCAUUAUCAGAUCAAUUUUUUUUCAUUGCCUCGUUAUUGACAUCAUAUUCACAUUAGGCACCCUCAGGUCCGUGACUCACGAGAUUUUCUAUACAUGUGGCAUUUCAUACAUGAGGGCAUGGGUUUCUGUUCAUUUGGUAUUUUGGCCUAGUUUCCCUUCAUUUUUAUCACCCUAUCAUCCCAGUCUACGUUACGUCCCGUGUCUUAAGACCACCCUAAGGCCAUGAGAUCAGAUGUCAUCUUUGACAACCUAUAAUUGGACUGGUGUUUGAGAUCUGAUUGACAUUUAGAUAUUGUCAUGCUUCCUCUUCUGGGAGAUGUCUUUCUGAUGAUUAGAUUUGUUUCAAUUAUGUUUGGAUUACCAGGAUUACAUGUUCGAUGAUAGAUGAUUCCAUGUCACCUAAUUUUAUGAUCUAUCACAUAUUUGGUGUCAUACUAGGGCAUAUUCCGUUUCGGGCGAGAUUUACAAAUCUUCACGGAGUUGCAUGCUUAUCCCCACUUGCGAGAUAUACGCCGAAAUGAUUGACUGGUUCGCUAUUUUAUGAUGAUCCAUUAGUGGAGCCUCUGUGGAGCCGUUCAGCCAGCCCCAUAUUUCUCGGUAUUUGGUUAUUAUCAUGCUUCUUAUUCCGAGAGGCGUUCCCUAGAUGUUUGGAUUUGAUUUGGAUCACGGAGAUCACAUGCUCGAUGAUAUAUGAUUCCAUGUCACUUGAUUUUCUGAUUUAUCACAUAUUCGAUGUCAUACUGGGGCAUAUUCCGUUUCGGGAGAGAUUUAUAGAUCUUCAUGGAGUUGCAUGCUUAUCCCCACUUGCGAGAUGUACGUCGAGAUGAUUGACUGGUUCGCUAUUUUAUGAUGAUCCCUCAGUGGAGCCUCUGUGGAGCCCUUCGGUCAGGUCCACAUUUCUCGGUAUUUGGUUACUAUCAUGCUUCUUAUUCCGAGAGAUGUUCCUUAGAUGUUUGGAUUUGAUUUGGAUCACGAAGAUCACAUGCUCGAUGAUAGAUGAUUCCAUGUCACCUGAUUUUUUGAUCUAUCACAUAUUCGGUGUCAUACUGGGGCAUAUUCCAUUUCGGGCGAGAUGUACGCCGAGAUGAUUGACUGGUUCGCUAUUUUAUGAUGAUCCCUCAGUGGAGCCUCUAUGGAGUUGUUAAGCCAGACCCAUAUUUCCCGGCAUUUGGUUACUGUCAUGCUUCUUAUUCCGAGAUACGCUCCCUAGAUGUUUGGAUUUGAUUUGGAUCAUGAAGAUCACAUGCUUGAUGAUAGAUGAUUCCAUGUCACCUAAUUUUCUGAUCUAUCACAUAUUCGGUGUCAUACUAGGGCAUAUUCCAUUUUGGGUGAGAUUUGCAGAUCUUCAUGAAGUUGCAUACUUAUCCCCACUUGCGAGAUGUACAUUGAGAUGAUUGACUGGUUCGCUGUUUUAUGAUGAUCCCUCAGUGGAGCCUUUGUGGAGCCGUUCAGCCAAACCCACAUUUCUCAGUAUUUGGUUACUAUCAUGCUUCUUAUUCCGAGAGACGUUCCCUAGAUGUUUGGAUUUGAAUUGGAUCACGGAGAUCACAUGCUCGAUGAUAGAUGAUUCCAUGUCACCUGAUUUUUUGAUCUAUCACAUAUUUGGUGUCAUACUGAGGCAUAUUCCCUUUCGGGAGAGAUUUAUAGAUUUUCAUGGAGUUGCAUGCUUAUCCCCACUUGCGAGAUGUACGCCGAGAUGAUUGACUGGUUCGCUAUUUUAUGAUGAUCCCUCAAUGGAGCCUCUGUGGAUCCGUUCAGCCAGGCCCACAUUUCUCGGCAUUUGGUUACUAUCAUGCUUCUUAUUCCGAGAGACUUUCCCUAGAUGUUUGGAUUUGAUUUGGAUCACGGAGAUCACAUGCUCGAUGAUAGAUGAUUCCAUGUCACCUAAUUUUCUAAUCUAUCACAUAUUUGGUGUCAUACUGGGGCAUAUUCCAUUUCGGGCGAGAUUUACAGAUCUUCACGGAGUUGCAUGCUUAUCCCCAUUUGUGAGAUGUACGCCGAGAUGAAUGACUGGUUCGCUAUUUUAUGAUGAUCCCUUAGUGGAACCUCUGUGGAGCCGUUUAGCCAGGCCCACAUUUCUCGGUAUUUGGUUACUGUCAUGCUUUUUAUUCCGAGAGACGUUCCCUAGAUGUUUAGAUUUGAUUUGGAUCAUGGAGAUCACAUGCUCGAUGAUAGAUGAUUCCAUGUCACCUGAUUUUCUUAUCUAUCACAUAUUCGAUGUCAUACUGGAGCAUAUUUCCAUUUCAGAUGAGGUUUACCAAUCUUCAUGGAGUUACAUGAUCAUCUCCACUUACGAAGUAUGAGCUGAGACGAUGACGUGUUCGUUACCUUAUCAUGAUCUCUCAGUAGAGCCUCUUUGGAGCCAUUCAGCUCGACCCACAUUUUUGGCAUUUGGUUGUCGCCAAGCUUAUUAUUCCGGAGACGUUUCAUAGAUGUUUGGGGUUUGAUUUGGGUCAUGGAGAUCGCACAUUUGAUGAUGGAUGAUUUCAUGUCACCCAAUUUUCGACUUAUCGUACAUCUAACGACAUACUGGGGCAUAUUUCCGUUUUGAUCGAGAUUUACAAAUCUCCAUGGAGUUGCAUGCUUAUCUCCACUUACGAGGUACACACCGAGAUGAUGACCUAUUUGUUAUCUUAUCAUGAUCCCUUAGUGGAGCCUCUCUGGAGCCAUCCAAUCAGAUUCAUAUUUUUUCGGCGUUUGGGUUGUUGUCAUGUUUCUCCUUCUGGGUUAUGGAUUUGGAUGACGAGGUUCGUGCUCCUGAUGAUAGAUGACUUGAGGCCAUUUGAUUUUUCCAACCUAUCACACAUUUGAUUCCAUACUGGGGCAUUUUUCCCCUUUCGAUCAAGAUUUGUAGAUCCCCACGAGUUUGCAUGAUCAUCCCCAUUUAUGAGAUACACAUCAGGUUGAUGAUUCGAUUUCAUUUUGUCUUGAUUCUUUCGUGGAGCAUUUUUCUUGAGUCAUUUCGUCAGGCUCACACUUUCUGAUUUUGUUGUGAUUUUUGGAUAGAGUCAUCUCAGGUGCAUAGGAUCCCAUAUCAUCAUUUCAGUGGGACACAUGUCAGAUCUUUUAUAUAUUCCCAUGGAGUUAUUCUCGGGUUAUCAUGAUAGACCGAGUACAUCUGACGCCAUAUUGGGGCAUAUUUCCUUCCUCCAGCUGUAGAGUUUCGAUGAUUUUUGCUAAGAUGAGCCACCAGAGGAACACGACUUCCGGGUUUUGACUGCCCUACUAUCCAUGACUUUUCAGUGGAUUGAGAUCGUAGUAGUUACCCUAGCAGACUAUUCUUUUGUGACCCCCUAGUGGAUCAUUUUUUCGGUAUGAUGAUGGAUUCUUCCAAUAAAACAUUUUGAGUUAGAGAAGUUCUACUUAUUGCGACACUUCAUCAGAUCUCGCGAUUUAGUCAGAUGGGUUGUGAGACUAAGUUCACAGUCGAUUUAAUCAUUUCGACUCGCUAGCAGAGCAUCCUUCAAGACUCAUGAAGUCUUUUUUGUCAUUUCCAUGGACUGAAAUCUGUAGUAGCAUGCUACAUUGGGGCAUAUUCCCCCCUCAUCAUCUCUAUUCAUCUUCAGUCUCGGCGUUCAGAGCCACCGUUUCUUCACAAUUUGGCGUUCAGAGCUAUAUCUUCAGUUUGGUGUUCCAGGUCACGCAUUCUUUUUAGCGUUCAGAGCCAUCAUCAUGUUCACAGUUUGGCGUUUAGAGUCACUAUCUCUUCUUAGUUUUGGUGUUCAGAGUCGCAUCUUCAUUUUGGCAUUUAGAGCCGUUAUUUCUGUUCAGCAUUCAUAGUUACUAUUUUUAGUUUGGUGUUCAGAGCCACCGUUUCUUCGUAUUUUGGCGUUUAGAGCCAUAUCUUCAGUUUGGCGUUCAAAGUCACACUUUCAUUUUGACGUUCAAAGCCAUCGUCAUCUUCUCAAUUUGGGUGUUCAGAGCCACCAUCUCUUCUUAGUUUGGGUGUUCAGAGCCACCAUCUUUUCUCAGUUUGGGUGUUCAGAGCCACCAUCUUUUCUCAGUUUGGGUGUUCAGAGCCACCAUCUUUUCUCAGUUUGGGUGUUCAGAGCCACCAUCUUUUCUCAAUUUCGGCGUUCAAAGCCACCAUCUUCUCAGUUUUGACAUUCAGAGCCACCAUCUUCUUAGUUUAGGCGUUCAAAGCCAUCAUCUUCUCAGUUUGAGCGUUCAGAGCUACCAUUUUCUCAGUUUUGACGUUCAAAGCCACCAUAUCUUCUCAGUUUCGGAAUUUUAAAGCCACCAUCUUCUCAGUUUCGGCGUUCAAAGCCAUCAUCUUCUCAAUUUGGGCGUUCAGAGCCACCAUUUCUUCUAAGUUUCGGCGUUUAGAGCCACCAUAUUCUCAGUUUCGGCGUUCAGAGCCACCAUCUUCUCAGUUUGGGCAUUCAAAGCCACCAUCUCUUCUCAGUUUGAGCGUUCAGAGCCACCAUCUUCUCAGUUAAAGCAUUCAGAGCCACCAUCUCUUCUCAGUAUGGGCAUUUAGAGCCACCAUUUCUUCUUAGUUUGGGCGUUCAGAGCCACUAUCUCUUCUCAGUUUCGGCAUUUAGAGCCACCAUCUCUUCUCAAUUUGGGUGUUUAGAGCCACUAUCUAUUCUCAAUUUGGGCGUUCAUAGCCACCAUCUCUUCUCAGUCUUGGUGUUUAAAGCCACCAUCUUCUUACGACUCAGCCUUCAAAGUCAUCAUUGCUUAUCGGUUACGACGUUCAGAGUCAUCUUCCUCGGUUUUGACGUUCAGAGCCACCAUUUCCUUAUAGCUUGACGAUUAGAGUCAUCAUCGCUUCUCAAUUACGACGUUCAGAGUCGUAUUUCUCAGUUAUGGCGCUCAGAGCCUUCAUCUUCUUCAGUUUGACGUUCAGAGUCGCACCUCUAGCUUGGCAUUUAGAGUUACUAUCUCUUUACAAUUUUGCUUUCAGAGCCAUCAUCCUAUUGCGAUCGGGCAUUCGUUGCCACUUUUUCGACAUUCAGAGCCACCAUCUUUUCUCAAUUAUGGCAUUCAAAACCAUCAUCUCUUUACAACUUGGCGUUUAGAGUCAUCGUCCUUCUCAAUCAUGGCAUUUAGAGCCACAUUUCAGGCAUUCGAAGUCAUGAUUUUCUAAAGCUUAUCAUCCUCCCUUGUGCAUGAUAUAGCUCUUUGAGCUUAUAGCUUAUGUUUUGAUUGUAUCAUUGGUGCCCCUCACUUCGCGCUCUUGUAUGGUGCAUGUAUAGUUUCCCUUUUAUAUAUGUUCCUCUCUAUGCUCCUAGAUGGUUUGACUACUACUCAACUUUGACUUCGAUCUUUGAAUCACUUUUGGUGACAUCUUAGAGGGAGUCUAGAUCCUUAGCGCGGCUUCAAAGGCACUUUGAGAGAUCCAUUUUUCUCUUAGGAUUUUAAAGCUCUUUUUACUCCUCUGAUGGUUUGGGUGAGUUUGUGUUUUACUUGUGUACCUUUAGGGAUCUUUCUUUGUCUUCGGUAGAGUUCACUUCAUUUCACUCUCUAUUCACACUUUUUUUUCACUUUAGUGUUUACAUUCAUUACACUCGUGAGCUCUACCGAAGAGGGGCAUAUUUGUAGACCCCUUUGUGGACACCAUCCGAGAGAGUGGUUUUUCUUUCAUUUUUUUGAAAUGGGGGGACCCCUUUCUGCCAAGAACAAGCUGCAUGGACAUGUGGCCAAGAGCAUGGCUCACCAUGGUGGUGGUUGAUGGUGAUGACAUCCUCCCGGGACAAGGAGCAGUAAAGUGGUUGGUGGCUUGCGGGAGAAGACAGAAAUGGGGGCAGGCAAGCAAGCUGCGAGGGGGUAGGUGAUUUUGGGGUUGCUGGUUUUGGGGAGAUACACUGGAAAAUGCUUUCUUUGGCUGGGGAGUCUUUGUUCUAGGGAGGAGGAAUUCUUUGGCCAGGCAAGAACUGUGAAAGAGCUCUCAGGUAAGUUUACUGGGUAUCUCUUGUUCACAUUUACUAUCACCGUUCUUUCAUUUUCCCCCUUCGCUAUUUGGGGUUUUGUUUGUUUGUUUGGUUAUGGAUAACAGGAGUUAUGCAUGAGUUUUGUUAAUUUCCAGUUUGUUCAUAUACCCAUUGAUCGCUUCAUUCACUAUCCUUCUUAAUAUUGGUUUAAACCCAAUGAAGUUCUGUUUCAUUUUGCUCUAUGUGAAGAUAUUGCUUGUUAUUUUCUCGUUUGGACCUGUUGGUACCCUUCCCACCCAUCCAAGCCCGUUGAAAGAGCAUUAGAUAUGGUUUUUCUUAAUUCACACACACACAUAUAUAUAUAUAUAUAUAUAUAUUUGUUUACUUUUCCUGGCUCUCCUUUGUUCUAGUCUAUAUUUUCUUUUUCCCGUUUUUUUUAUGCACUCGAUCCAGAAUGUCGGUUGAUUGAGUGUCGGUCAGAGGAAUUGGUUUUGGGCUUGUUCUAGAGAAAUGCGCUGGUAAAUAUACAUGCACAAUGUGGAAAAGGUGAAGUUGUUAAUACCUUAUCCAUUUGUUUUUCCGGGCACACGAAUGUUGGUCAAGUAGCCGAAAGAUUAAGAUGAGGCUUUCUCCCAUCACCAUUCCAGCUGAUUCAGUUGUGACUGUUGGUAUUGUGCCCUAUUCCGGGGUCCGUUCAAAAGUGUCUUCGGCUAAGGUUGUGCAAGCUAAAUCAGUUGAUGCUUAAUAUGCUUAGGAAUACUACUUGUGCGUUUUUCAAAUUUUAUGCAAAGGUGACAAGCCAAACAUCAGUGGAAAUGAUGCAUGACUCCUCCAAUAGAUCAGUUCAUACAAUUUUCAGGUGUGGGAAUAUAUGCUAGCAACGUUCUUGAAGUCACUAAUUGGUUCCCAUUUCCAACCCUAGAAGAGAAUGGUGAGACUGAAACAUCAUGUGGUCCCGACAUUUCAUCAUAUAUAAUUCCUUCAUACCCAUAUUCCCACUACCUUCCAUCCUCUAAGCCUCAUUCAUACCCAUAUCACUACUUCAUCUACCCGUAUUCUCAUAUUUCCAUCUCGUCACCAUAUUUUCUCUCUUUACACCACGUGCAUGUCCAUUACCACUCAUGCAUAUCACCACCCUCCUAUGCCCACCUUGCCCAUUCUUUCUUACCACCUUUCUCUUUUUACACCACAUGCCUCCCAAACCCACUACUCGUAUUUCACGCUUCAUCCCAUCUCAUCCCAUAUCCCUCCCAUGGAUAUCAUCACUUUCACAUACCCAUCACUACAUUUCUCUCUCUACACCACACCAUGUUCCCACUUUUUUUUUUUAAUAUGUCACUAGAUCCAUUUCUUCCCACUUUGCAUGGUCAUGCAUGGCCACACUAUGUCACUUCCACACUCAUACCCGUUCCAUACCCACAUCUUCCUAUCUGUAUUCCUACCCUUUUUUAAAAAAAAAAAAAAAAAUCCACUCACUCGUUUCUCUCACUACCACUACCCUUCAUUACUCAUCCCUACCCAUGGCAACCCAUACUCUCCUCACUCAUCUAUUACACCCACUGUCAAUAGCUCUCUUCAUCACCAUACCUAUUUUUUCCACUCUUUCUAAAUCCAUUGGACUCUCUCAUCUCACCACCCUCCAUCAUCCGUUCCAUCAAUAACCUCCCCGAAGACCAAGAAGAUUUUGCAACUUCUGCGCUUGAGAUAGAUAUUUAACAGUGUCUUCCUGAAAGUGAACAAGGAAACAACGAAUAUGUUGCACAAGGUUGAGCCUUACGAGACAUGCGGGUAUCCCAAUUCAAAGAGUGUUAAGGAAUUGGUUCACAAGCCAGGGUGCCUACCCGCUACAGUGAAACGCUUGGCUUUCAUAGUCUGCAUCGCGAGACAAUCAUGAAGCAUCAGUAUUGUUUGCAUUAGAGCGGGGUAUACCUUCCAUAGUUGGUACUCUUGGAAGUAUGUCUAUGGGAUGAAGCUGAUAUAUUAUCUGUUUUAUUUGAUAAUGGAUGAAAUCAUGGUGACUUUGUGGUCUAUAUCAUCCAGAAGUUCUCUCAAGAGAUAUAGCCGUCAUGUGAAGAUUCUUUUUCCUCACACGGUUACGCUGCUAAGAAGGAUUUCUCAUGCUUUGAAGGUCAUCAUGAAUCGAAAGACUCAAGAAGAAGGGUUAGCAUUGGUUCGUACUCAUCAGAUGCCUAGAAACAAGUGGGCAGAGUUGACAAAACUCUCGUCGAGAAGAACAGACAAUGCAAUAAAAGACCACUAGGACAGUUAUGUAAAGAAGAAGUUGGACUCUCAUAUAGCAUCAGAUUCACUUGCACAGUCCCAAGGCCAGCCUCUUGUUGGUCACUGAAACUGAUCGAUCCAUUCAUCUUCUUCAAAUAUGUAAUAGAGUAGUGGAGGUGAUGGCGGAGCCAAAGGUGGGAUAGAAGCAGAGGAAAUUUCAGAAUAUAGUCAAGGUUCAAUUGCGGAUUUUCUGGAAGCGUGAGGCACCAGUUUAAUUCAAAUGGGCAACCCACUCCUUCUUUUGAGCUGGGACAAGCAUCAUCAGGUUUAUCAUCGCAUUUUAAAGGUGGCAGAGGAAACCAGGGCACAGUUUCUGUCCCGUUCAUGAACUUCUGUAGGGUUGAGUGAUUCCUCUUCCACGGGAAAUAUAGGUGUGGACUCUGAUAUACCUGAGCAUUUACUGAUAUCUGAAGGCGACUGUUGUGGGUUCAGAUUCCAAGAGGAACUCCAGCUUCACAGUCAUAUUACUCCCUAAGGAUGACAGCGGCAAGCAUCACUAGCACCAAUAGGGUAGUCACAAUCGCACCCAAGGCCCAUGUGUAUUAUGGCCAACCUCCCAGACCCAUUUUCAAGGCCCACGUGCUUCUUUCCUUCACCUUAAAAAAAAAAACAAAAAAUGAUGAUUUUCUGAAAAUCCAAUUUCCAAAUAAUUCAACUCUCUAUUCUUUCAUCUCUAGAAUUUUUGGGUCCUAAAUUCCAUUUCCCAAUUUCCAUAUUUAUUUAUUUAAUAAGUAUUAUUUUUGUUAUUAUUAUUAUUAUUAUUCUAUUUAUUUAUUCAUUUAUUAUAAAAUUCCACCUUUAAAUAAUUUUCCAAAAUUCCGACUUCUGGAUUUAAAGUUCCAAUUUAAAAAAUCUCAAUAUUCACAUUCAUUUAUUUAAUUAUCAUUUUUGUUUUUAUUAUUAUUCUUUUUAUUUAUUUAUUCAUUUAUCAAUUCUUCAAAAUUUCGACUUUCAAAUAUAAUUUCUGAUUUUUCAUAAUUUCACUAUUCACAUUCAUUUAUUUAAUUAUUAUUUUUGUUAAUAUUAUCAUCAUUCCAUUUAUUUAUUUAUUUUAAAAUUUCAUCUAUUAACAAUUCUUCAAAAUUCCAGUUUCCGAAUUUAAUUUCCAAUUUCAAAUUUUCCACUAUUCACGUUCAUUUAUUUAAUUACUAUUUUCGUUACUAUUAUUAUUACUCCGUUUAUUUAUUUAUUUAUUCAUUUUAAAAUUUCAUCUUUUAACAAUUCUUCAAAAUUCCGGUUUCGAAUUUAAUUUCCAAUUUAAAAAAUUCCACUAUUCACAUUAAUUUAUUUAAUUAUUAUUUUCGUUAAUAUUAUUAUCAUUCCAUUUAUUUAUUUUAUUUAUUCAUUUUAAAAUUCCAUCUUUUAACAAAUUCUUCAAAUUCCAAUUUUCAAAUUUAAUUUUCAAUUUCCAAAAUUCAUUUUUUCACAUUUAUUUAUUUAAUCAUUAUUAUUUUCGUUAUUGUUAUUAUUUUAUUUAUUUUAAUUAUUUAUUUUUGAAAAUUCCAUUUUUAAAUAAUUCUUUAGAAUUCCAAUUUUUGAACUUAACUUCCAAAAUUUCAAUUCUUAAAUUUAAUUCCCAAUACUCCAAUUUCCAAAUAAUUUUCAAGACUCCAAUUUUCAAAUAAAUUUCAAAAAUCCAGUUUUCACUCGAACAAUUUUAAUUUCAUUCCGAUUCUCAAAUAAUCUAUUGUUUAUCUUGAUUUUACAUAAGUAUGAAUGCAAUUUUUCAUAAUUCCACAAUAAUGGAAUUUGCGAAACUAAUUCGUGCAAGAUAGAUUGGAUUUUGGUGGGAGGCCCAACAUUGGUGUUUUUUUCCUCUAAAAAUAAAUUUAAUUGAAUUGAAUUGUGAUAUCUAUUGAUUUCUCACUCUGUUUAGUGGCAUAUGUGACAUAGUCUGUUUUUGUUAAUUCUGCACUAAUCUCAUUUCUUGAUAGCACAUUGUGGCUCAUGGCCCAAGUACGCAUCCGCUCCCAUUCUAGUCAUUCUCCAUGCAUAUUCUGAUUCUCAUAUGUGCAUGAUCGAUUUGAGUACCCAUUGAUUUCCUUAUUGAUUGCCACAUCAACUUCCUUUUAUCAGUAGAGACCUGACUUUAGGGACUUAUAUGGGUGCUACGGUCCUUACUAUACAUUCCCGAUAAGUAAUCUGACCUCCGAGUCUGAUCCGGUUUUUCAAAAAUCACUUUUUUCAAAAUAAGGAGUUACACUUAGGGUUUUCUUUCUUAUUUUGUAUACCCUUUUGAUUACUACUCAAAAAGUGCUAUUUGAUAGCUUGUAAUUAACUCUUUUAAACACUUUUGAGUAGUAGUUAUUGCCUUUUAACCCAAUUAACAUGUUAAGGACCCUUGCAAUCAAUUCUAAUCAAAUUGUGUUAAGUUUUGGUGUUUUUGUUAGUAAUUUGAUCACCAAAACAAUCCAAGAUUGAGGAGAGUUAUUUGGAAUCCAUGGCAAAGCUUUUGGAAGCUCAAAUUUAUGAAGAACCAAGCUUUGGAGCUCCAUAGCCCUUUGCCAAAGUCGUUCAAAGUAUGCAAGGAGAGAAGCAAGGAGAAGAGGAAAACAGAGUGAAGAAAACAGAGGACAAGAAGCUGCAGUCUUCAUGCGCACUUUUGGAGCACUUCCCGAAGUCCAUUUUCUACAUUCUAUAUACCAUUUCAAAGCUCAGGAAGUCAAGAAUCCAAUGCUUCAAACGGUGCGUGAUUCGGAGUUGAAACGAAGAAGUUACAGCCAUUGCAAGCAGAUCACUCCAAAGUGUUGCGAAAUCAGCCUUUUGUUGCGAGAAUUUCGCAGCCUUUUUGUACAGUGCUAUGGAAUUCCUCCUGAAGCUACCCGAUACAUGCCGCAAGCUGGAACGCUGAGAACCUCAAGGUGGAAGCCAAUUUCGCAGCCCUGCGAGUUUAACUUGUUGUUGCGAAAAUAUUUCGCAGCCCUCUUGGGUGUCUGCGAAAUCUCGCAGACACCAUUUUCACCUGCGAAAUGGUUCCUGAAGCUUCCCGAUAUUUUCCACCGACUCUUUUGGAUAUUUUUCUUCAGAUAUUUUUGUAUAAAUUUCCAUUUUCUCCUUGUAUUCAGCCACUCAUGUAAUUCCUUAGCUAGGAAGUGUCCAAGGAAGGGUAAAUUACCUUCCUAUAUAAACUCUCUUGCAUCCACUGUAAAAAAAACGCUCGGAGAAGUAUGUAAUAUAGAAACAAUAUAUAGAAUCAACGAACAGAGCACUUGCUCUGUUUUUUCAUAUAUAUUCUUGUCUUCUCCUUCAUUUUCAUUUUCUAGCCAACCAAACUCUGAGGAUUUUUCCACAGAGGAUGAGAGGCUAAGCUUUUUGUCUCUUGGAGUAAGGAAAGCCGGGUAAGUUUCCACAUGCAUAAUUUGGAAGUUUUGUUGUUUUAGUUUUAAUGAAGAGAAAGUGUAACCCGUUAAUGGUUUUUAUCUUUUUAGUUAACUUAAAACACCUUAGAGUCACCUGAGCCAACACUUGGUAAGGCAAGUGAUUUCUAUCCAUGGAAAUGCACUAGUUUACCCCUUGCGAGCCUUUGGGAGGUGACUUGAAGGUAGGAUUUUCUAGAAUAGCCAACACUUGGUAAGCUUUUGGACUCCAAGGAGACAUCCAUUAGUUAUCUCUUGCGAGCUUUUGACGGGUAAUCCAAGGUUAAAGAUCUCCUUGAAUGGCAAGUGCUAGGUGAGAGGUAUGAGCCAUUGCAAGAUGCAUCAGUGAGAGGGAUUUAGUGUUUGAACCCAUUAAUGGGAAGCAUCUGUACAACACCGGUUGGAGAAGGAACUAUAUGUUAAUUCUCUAAUGCGAGGAAAAGAAACAAGUGACCGGAACUCCCUUUUUGUAUGAGGAAUCUGAGCCUAGUGAUCUGAAAUUCCAAGAAACACUUUUCUUUGUAAGUAAAAUCAGUUACUAUUUUUGGUUAGCUUAAAACCAAUCCUUUUUCAUUCAAAAAUCUUUAUGUUUUCUUUUAAAGCUAACCUUGAAAUGAAAAGGCACCAAUUCAGCUUUAAAUUAAUAUCAUUUGCAAAGUGAAAACCCAUCCCAGUGAACGAUCCUAGAGCCACUAUACUAUAGUAGUUUUGUCUUUGCUACCCUAGUAUAUGGUGUAAUAGGUUAUAAAUUUUGUUGAUUACUCCCUCAAUCAAGGAGCACCAGCUGUACACGAAUCAGCUGAGACAUCAAUUGGGCACGAAUCAAAUGGCGCCGCUGCCGGGGAUCGAACCCCGAAUCAAAUGGUGCCAUUGCCACUGCCGCUGCUAGGGACGAAUCAUUAAAAACAAAACAAAAAUAAGUGGCGAUUCCAAGUCAUUUCUAAAAAAAAAAAUCAUAUUUUUCAUUAAAUAAAUAAAAAACGAAUUUGCCAUCGAGUGAGAACGCAUUGAGCAAAAAUGCGAGGUCCACAUAUUGUUAUUUUUAUUUAUAAAGAAUCGAAAUUUACUUUAUCAUUUAUUAAUUGGCAUGAAAUGUUUUGACUUGCCUUGAUUAAUAAGGACUUCCAUGGCUUACCUGAUAGAGUUGGGCCCUUAACGUUAUCCACUCUGCAAUGUAUCAUGCCCUUCCAAAGCUUAAUCAAGUCAACGGCUAAGGUGUAAUUUCAUGCAUUAAAUUAUUUUAAAAAAUGUUUAAUACUGCAGUCAAGCUCGUACUACAUAUACUCUAAAAUCAACAAUGUAAUUUUCUGCACUGAGCAAUUUCAUAAAAAUGGUUUUUGAGUAAAAGAGAUUUGGAUUUUGGCCUAUGGCCUAUGGACUUUCAAAACAGGGGGUUACUCCUUGCAUUAGCUUUGUCAGGAGCACAAACCUGACAAAGAAAGCAAUUGGCAACAUGUUGAAUUUAAGCCACAAGCAUAGAGAAUCUUCAAACUUUGCAGCCUCCCCAGGUUUUGUGGCAACUUGUGGAGUUUUGAACACUCACUGACAUUGAGAACUUCAAGAAAGCAUAAAUUACAAGUGCUUCCUGGAAGAGUCACAAGGUUUUGGCAUCUGUCCAGAUUCAAAAGUUCAAGCCUAUUCAAAUGUUCGAUUGAUGAUGGUAGCUCUUUUAUAGCCGUUCCGUUCAAGUGAAGCUCCCUUAAGUUUUCCAUAUUCUCCAAGAUUUCUGGAAAGUACUGUAAUUGUGAACAGUCAGAGCCAAAGAGAGAUUUUAGGGAUUUGAACUCCCGAAUGCUUGUUGGCAGACUCUCAAGGUUUUUGCACUCUCGCAAACAUAAGGUAUCAAAUUCAGAGGCAUGCUCAAUGGGUAGUAGGUUGAUUGUCUGACCCUUUAAACAAAGCUUUCGGUGUUCCACGUUCCUCUGACAUUCCACGCAGCUAGCAUCCACAUCCUCAGUCUGUACUAUUGGAUCUUGGGAGUAUAUAGGUUGAAGCCCACACUUGAGCACCUUAAAAUGAUUGCGAGAGCCCAUAAAUAGAGCCCCAAGAAACAUGGAUGGAUUGGUGUGACAGCUCUCCAGAAUAGCAGCCUUGGGAUAGAAUAUCACCCACAUUUGUUCUGAUGCACCUCCAUCAUGGUAGCAUUUACAAGUAGUGCGAAAACUGAGAGGUUGCACACACAGGGGAGAAAAUCCAUAUCCAUCAUGCAAUGACAAUUGACAUUCUAACUCAGUGGAGAUUGAAGAUUCAGCUUCAAAUAAAUCGUCAGAUUCAUUCAGGGCUUCGUCACCAGAUUCAUUCUCCGAAAAUGUAUGUGCAAAAUCAUUUUCUGGUAUGUCCUCACAUUCAUCGAGUGGAGCAUAAACACAGCAUAUAGCAAUUCCCAAGAAGUCAUUAUUUUCAUAACAACUCUGAGGAAGGUCCAUUGUGAUCUGAUAUCCCUCUCUCUGUUUCCUUAUCCACUUGGGAAUUCCACUGCUUCCCGGAACAACAAUACAGAUUCCAUGGCCAAUGAAGUCAGAAUCAGGGAGAAAUACUUCAUUUGAACUGCUCUUGUAUUUCAAAUCCUGUACAAAGGGACAAUGUAAAUCCAGUGGGUCUGUGCCAUUAUGUGAGUUUUUAUGAGAGAGUUUGUUAUCGGUUUUUGAUAAAUUGAUUCCCAGUUUUAACUUUCUUUGAUCUAUGCUCCUGAAUCUACUUAAUAUCCCUUUUAGAUGACGGAUAAUCAAUCAACAUGAAAGUGAGUGACAAGAUUAAGUGUGAAAACUGGAAGUGAGGGGAAACUGAAACUGAAAGUGAGUAGAAUAAGCAGAUCUGUUCUUCACUUGCAGUAGCUUCUUCUCCAUUCAGAUUCAGAGAUCUUAGAAUUGUAGCUUCAACUUAACUCUCAGAAUCUUAAAGACAAAGUUCGCUCAAGUUUCAAAAACUCACAGAAAAGUUUCUCCUCAUGUUUCUUUUAAUCCCAUGAGGCGACAGACAUGUAGCACACACUUACUGGCUUUUUGCCAUGCAAGUUUCAAGGUGGAGUGUCCAAUGAACUAAAACAUUCCCUCAAAUCCUAGUGGAAAUUCACACUAUAAAUUUCAGAAUUUGCUAAAGAAAAGUUUAAUUAAUUUUACCCAUGACUAAAAAGGCAUGUGAGGGCAUUUUAACAGCCUAUUAAUUAUUAUAUUAAACUACUAUUCUCAUUACUCAAACUCAUGAUCCUUCACAUCAUCACCACAUUUUGAAGAGACUUUCGUCAACUCUUCUAUGAAUGAAUUGAUGUUUAAGGAGGCAUAAUAAACUUUUAAUUGAAUUUAACAUUAUUUCUAUCCUUAUACUCAUCUUAAAUUAUUAUUUUUUUAUAUUCUUAUCAAAAUAAAUAAAAACUUAACAAAAAAAAUAAAGAUUUCAAAACAAACUUUAUUAGCAACACUUAUUUACAUCAUUCUUUAAAAAAAUAUUCAAAAACAAAUUUUUUUACAAUUAAAAAAAUGUGAUUUAAAAUUUAUAAAGAACAAAAUUUUUAGAAAAAUAUGGUAGUUGUUUGAAAUAAAAUAAAAGGGAAAUCAAAAUUCUUAGUAAAUGAAUAGUCAAAAAAACUGUAACAGAUAUGCAAAUGAGAAAAAAAAUAAUCAAUGUCAAGAAUGAGAAACAAUUUUUUCUUUUUUCUUUUCUUAUUUUAUGCAUUCAUUACCAUUUUUAAAUUAAUAAAUAAAGUUUUUCUCACAAAAUUUUAAAAUGGCAUGUAUGCUUCAAAAUUUAUAUAUUGUUAUUAGAUUUUUAUAAAUUUCAUUUAUAUCCUCAAAAUUAGAAUCAUUAAACUCACAUUUUAAAAUAAGAUAUCAAAUAGUUAUUUUUUCAUCCUUUAGCAAUAUCAAACGUUUUUUGUACUUUAAUAAAAAAAAAAAAAGCUAUUUUUUCUAAUUAAUGACUAUUUUGCAUAAUAUUUGUAUAAAUUAUUUAAUAUAUAAAUAUUACUUAUUUAAUAGUUUUUUUUUAAUUUCUUAUAGAAAGAGUAGUGCAUACAUAAUUCAAACAAAAGGUAAUUUUAUAUUGCAAAAAAGUUUGUGGAAAAAGGAAAUUUGAACAAGGAUUGAAAUUUAUAGAACCAUAUUGGACACCUAGUUCUAGGUUUGUCCCUUUCCAACAAUCAUGACUUGGUAGUAGCCUAAUCUCAAAUCUAACUUUGUCAGGCCCUUCCUUUACUAAGUCGAUCAAACAAGUUGUUAACAAACAGAAUAAGAUAUUUUUUCUUUUCACCUUGUUGAGUCUUCGAUAAUCUAUACACAUUCAGAGGGAUCCAUUAUGUUUCUUUUAGAAUAAUAUUGAUGUGGCAUAUGAAGCUUUAGUUGGUUGGAUGUAUCCCAUGUUAUGCAACUUCUUAAGUUGUUUCCUUUGUUCUUCUAAAUUAGGUAGUAUCAUCCUAUGGGACCUCCAUGGCAAGGGGCUUAGCUCCUGGCUCUAAGUCAAUCUUGUGCUCCCCUUCCCUUAUUUGUGUGAGUUUCUUAUGUAAUUUUAAUGACAUCUAAGGAUGGCAAAGUUUGAUACAAUUUUUCAACCAAACUUGAAGAAGCGUUAUUAGUGGGUUUGGAAAGUUCUAAUCUAUUUUACUUUUUAAAACAAAGUAAAAUAGAGAACAAUUUUUAAAGAACAAUUAGGAGUUGUUUUUACCAAUUUUUAAAAAACAAAAAAUAUAUAAACUCAUUUGACUAUAUUCUUUUAAACUUGUUUUUAAAUUAAAGAAUAAAAAAUAAUUUUUUAAAAUAAGUUUCAAAAAAUAUGACCAAGUCGGGGUUUAUAAUAUUAAAGAGGAAAAAAGUUAAUUUAAGAUUUUGCAUGCAGGUAAACAUCAGGCUGUAAAACUGGUUUACUAAGACACUCAUUUUAUUUAUAUAUUCUUCUAUGUGCAUGCAUUGACCAUGUGGUUAAGAUGUGUUGCACCGAAAUCUAAUGAUUAGCUGUAAAACGUUAAUUAAUCCGAGCAUACAUUUUUCUUUAUUUGUUUUGGUUUCUUUACAAGAAUGCUUCUUUAUGUAUUCUUGUUGAACCUAUAAAAUAUCAUCCAUAGACAUUCUUUUUGAAUAAUUAAGAACCGAGAUUUCUAAUUGGUUGGUUAUUAUUUUUAUCUGUAAGGAAUCGAAAUUUAGCUCAUCAUUUAUCGUAUGAAUAUCAUAUAGAUUUGAAAAGAAUUUCACACUUAGAAAUGUACCUCUCAGAACAUUUGAAGUUAAGAUGUUUUUGUCUUCUUCAAUUUGAUUGCUCAUUACGACUUUGAGAUUCAAAUUCCUUUUGAUGUAAAAAACAAACUUAAAUAAAUAAAAAGAAUUAAAAGAUAAGCAGAGCAAAAAAUUAAAUAGUGUGAGUUGGAAUGAAUAAAGUUUUAAUCAAAAUUGGAAAUUAAGGUGAAACAUCCUAAAUUAUAUACAAAAGCUCAUAUAAUAUUACACCAUAAUUUCUCUAAAUUAAUCUUAACCUUUUAGUGCAGUGUGUACAGUCAUUGCUUGUUUGUGGAUUAGAAUUAGUAUCUUCUGCUGCUGAUCUGGUAUCACAACUUCUCUGCUCAUCAUUGUACUCUAUCAUUGUCUGAUGGUCGCGCCUGGUGGCUUCUGUGUUGUCACAGCUUCUCCGAGCAUCACUACUGGUAUCUUCUGGGAUGUUUCUGUUUAUAACAUCAGGUGUAUAUAUAAGAUGGAACCCACACUCUUUCACUUCGACUGGUGUACCGUCCAAGCUAUGAAAUGAAGCCUUCAAACGUCUCCAUUCGUUCGACCAAUACUGGUUGCCAAUAACAACCUUGGGAUAAUAAGUCACACACAUUUGACUUGAUUCACCGCAAAUUCGGCAGCAAUAAGACCGGACAUCAUCCACGUGACAGCAUUCAGAUUGAUCACCACAGAUAUUGAGUUCGCAAUUCAACCAACCACAAGCCAUAGGAAUAAAAACAGAGUAUAAAGCAAAUCCUAAGAAGCCAUCUUUUCUGUACAAAUCCGUAGAAAGCUCUAUUGUUAUUUGAGAUCCUUUUUUUGGCUGGCUUAUCCACUCUGGAAUUCCAUCAUUUCCCGAAAUAACAACUCUGAUUGCCUUGUUCCAAUAGGAGCCGCAUUCAAAUUCCUGCACAGAAGUACAGUGUUAAUACUCUGUUCAUAAGGAAAAAGGGCUGAAUGUUAUGAAAAUCAUACCUCAAUCAUUGAUUUGAAGCAUUUGAACAGAGAAAAACCAAGUUGACUUGAUGGACUUGAUAAAGUUUCCAAGCAUGUGCAACUGUGGACAUCUAGAACUCGUAAACUUGGUGGAAACUCUGGAACUUGUAGAAGCCCCUGGCAGUGACUCAAUUCAAGGACUCUCAGUUUAGAAAGUUGAAUGAUGCCUGCAAGUAUGCUACUAAAACAGUCCUUGCUUAGAUUUAGACCUGAAGCGUACAAACCCUCUAAACAUUGCAAACUCCUCAGGUUCUCGGGAAAUCUCUCAAGUUUUGUACAGAAACUGACAUUUAGAAUUUUGAGAGUUUUCAAAUUACAAAAGGCCUCUGGAAGACUCACAAGGUAUUGCGAGAUUCAAAUAUUGAAGCCCUCUUAGAUAUUGAAUUGAUGCUGGUAGUUCUUCGAUAGCAGUUCCAUCUAAAUGAAGCUCUCUUAUAUUUUCCACAUCCUCGAGGAUUUCCGGAAAGCUCCUUAAUCGUGAACAGCCUGAGCAGAAGAGAGUUGUAAGGGAUUUCAACUCACAUAUGCUACUGGGAAGAAGCUCAAGGUUUUUGCAUUCUCGCAAACAUAACCUAUUAAGUUUAUGGGGACACUCAACAGUGGGUAGUUCAUUGAUGGCAUUUCACUUUAAACAAAGCUUCCAUAGGGAUUGCACAUCCUCUUGACAUUCCCGGCAAACGGUGGAUAUCAUUGCUUUACCAUGGUUCUGUUCAUGAUCAUGGGCAUAUAUAAGAUGGAUCCCACACUCUUCUACUUUCACUGCUUUACCUCUCAAGUAGCCACAAAAUGAAGCCGUCAACUGCCUCCAUUUAUUUGAGUGGUACUUCUCCUCAAUCUCAUGCUUAGGAUAAUAAAUCAUCCACAUACAAGGUACAACAUAGACGUGAAAUGAGGGAUAAAACUGGAGUUUAUCCACAAACUGAAUUUCAUGACCACGCAAAGUUAAACCAUACUCGAAGUAAGUUGCACCAUUCUCCAGUGUCUCCUCAGAUUCAUUAUCCAGUGGAUAAUAGACACAGUACAAAACAAAACCCAACAAGUCGUCAUUUUUAUACCAAUUUUGAGGAAGCUUUGCUACUACUUCAGCUCCCUUUUUGUGAUGGCUUAUCCAAUCUGGAAUUCCACAACUUUCUGAAAUAAUAAGAUUUACUCGGGCAAAAGGUUUUUCUAAAGGAUAAAUCUUGCAUUCCAAAUCCUGCAGAAAAUUUAAUUAACACUUAAAUCCCCAUGUCUCCACAAAAAAAGUUUUGGUCUAUGAAUAUCAUACCUGAAUCAAUGAUUUGAAGCAGUUGAAUAGAGAAGACCAGAGUAGACCUGAAGAAGUUUCCAGCCGUUUGCACAAAUGUAUAUCUAAGACACGCAAACUGGAUGGAAGUGCUGGAAUUUGUCGAAGCUCUUGACAGUUACCCAAGACAAGGAGUCUCAGCCUAGAAAGUUGAUUGAUCCCAGCAGGUAUGCUCCUAAAAAGAUUCCCGAAUAGAAAUAAUUCUUGCAGAGAUGAUAGCUGGCAAAUUUCAGUGGGGAUUCCUCCUUCAUCUAUACCACACACACGUAGAUCUACAACUUCCAAGGAGUACAAGCAGCAAAUAUCACUCAGGACUACUCCUUGCAUUAGCUUUGAGUAAAUAAGAUCUAACUCCUUUAAGGAGCAUAAACCUGACAAAGAAAGCAAUUGGCAACAUCUUGAAUUUAAGCCCCUAGCACGGAGACACUUCAAGCUUUGCAGCCUCCCCAGGUUUUGUGGCAAUUUGUGGAGUUUUGAACAGUAAUUCACAUUGAGAUCUUCAAGAAAGCGUAAAUUACAAAUGCUUUCUGGAAGAGUCACAAGGUUUUUGCACCUCUCAAGAUUCAAAACUUGAAGCCUAUUCAAAUGUUCGAUUGAAGAUGGUAGCUCUUUUAUGGCCGUUCCGUUCAAGUGAAGCUGCCUUAAGUUUUCCAUAUUCUCCAAGAUUUCUGGGAAGUACUGUAAUUGUGAACAGUCAGAGCAAAAGAGAGAUUUUAGGGAUUUGAACUCCCAAAUGCUUGUUGGUAGACUCUCAAGGUUUUUGCACUCUCGCAAACAUAAGGUAUCAAAUUCAGAGGCACACUCAAUGGGUGGUAGGCUGAUUGUCUGACCCUUUAAACAAAGCUUUCGGUGUUCCACAUUCCUCUGACAUUCAGCGCAGCUAGCAUCCACAUCAUCAGUCUGUACUAUUGGAUCUUGGGCGUAUAUAGGUUCAAGCCCACACUUGAGCACCUUAAAAUGAUUGCGACAGCCCAUAAAUAUAGCCCCAAGAAACAUGGAUGGAUUGGUGUGACAGCUCUCCAGAAUAGCAGCCUUGGGAUAGAAUAUCACCCACAUUUGUUCUGAUCCACCUCCAUCAUGGUAGCAUUUACAAGUAGUGCGAAAACUGAGACGUUGCGCACACAGGGUAGAAAAUCCAUAUCUAUCAUGUAAUGACAAUUUACAUUCUAACCCAGUGGAGAUUGAAGAUUCAGCUUCAAGUAAAUCGUCAUAUUCAUUUAGGGCUUCGUCACCAGAUUCAUUCUCCGAUGUAUGUGCAAAAUCAUUUUCUGGUAUGUCCUCACAUUCAUCGUGUGGAGCAUAAACACAGCAUAUAGCAAUUCCCAAGAAGUCAUUAUUUUCGUAACAAUUCUGAGGAAGGUCCAUUGUGAUAUGAUUUCCCUCUCUCUGAUUCCUUAUCCACUUGGGAAUUCCACAGCUUCCCGGAACAACAAUACAGACUCCAUUGCCAAUGAAGUCAGAAUCACGGAGAAAUACUUCAUUUGAACUGCUCUUGUAUUUCAAAUCCUGUACAAAAGGACAAUGUAAAUCCUGUGGGUCUGUGCCAUUAUGUGAGUUUUUAUGAGAGAGUUUGUUAUCAGUUUUUGAUAAAUUGAUUCCCAGUUUUAACUUUCUUUGAUCUAUGCUCCUGAAUCUACUUAAUAUCCCUUUUAGAUGACGGAUUAUCAAUCAACAUGAAAGUGAGUGACAAGAUUAAGUGUGAAAACUGGAAGUGAGGGGAAACUGAAACUGAAAGUGAGUAGAAUAACCAGAUCUCUUCUUCACUUGCAGUAGCUUCUUCUCCAUUCAGAUACAGAGAUCUUAGAAUUGUAGCUUCAACUUAACUCUCAGAAUCUUAAAGACAAAGUUCGCUCAAGUUUCAAAAACUCACACAAAAAUUUCUCCUCAUGUUUCUCUUAAUCCUAUGAGGCGAGAGACAUGUAGCACACACUUAUUGGCUUUUUUACAUGCAAGUUUCAAGGUGGAGCGUCUAAUGAACUAAAACAUUCCCUCAAAUCCCAGUGGAAAUUCACACUAGAAAUUGCAGAAUUUGCUAAGGAAAAGUUUAAUUCAUUUAAUCCAUGAAUAAAAAAGUAUGUGAGAGCAUUUUAACAUCCUAAUACUUAUUAUAUUAAACUAUAAUUCUCAUUAUUUAAACUCAUGAUCCUUCACUUCAUCACCAAAUUUUGAAGACACUUUUGGCAUCUCUUCCAUGAAUUAAUUGAUGUUUAAGAAGGUAUAAUAAACUUUUAAUUGAAUUUAACAUUAUUUCUAUCCUAAUACUCAUCUUAAACUCUGUUUUUUUUUUUUUUAUACUCUUAUCAAAACAAAUAAAAACUUAACAAAAAAAUAAAGAUUUCAAUUACUCCGUGUUCAAAAGGGAAAAUGGCUAAAUGUCAUGAAAAUCAUACCUCAAUAGUUGAUUUAAAGCAUUUGAACAGAGAAACACCAAGUAGACAUGAUGGACUUGAUAAAACUUCCAAGCAUGUGCAACUGUGGACAUCUAGAACUCGUAAACUUGGUGGAAGCUCUGGAACUUGUAGAAGCCCCUGGCAGUGACUCAAUUCAAGGACUCUCAGUUUAGAAAGUUGAAUGAUGCCUGCAAGUAUGCUACUAAAACAGUCCUUGCUUAGAUUUAGACCUGAAGCGUACAAACCCUCUAAACAUUGCAAACUCCUCAGGUUCUCGGGAAAUCUCUCAAGUUUUGUACAGAAACUGACAUUUAGAAUUUUGAGCGUUUUCAACUUACAAAUGGCCUCUGGAAGACUCACAAGGUUGCUGCAAUCUGCAAGAUUCAAAUGUUGAAGCCCUCUUAGAUAUUGAAUUGAUGCUGGUAGUUCUUCUAUAGCAGUUCCAUCUAAAUGAAGCUCUCUUAUAUUUUCCACAUCCUCGAGGAUUUCCGGAAAGCUCCUUAAUCGUGAACAGCCUGAGCAGAAGAGAGUUGUAAGGGAUUUCAACUCACAUAUGCUACUGGGAAGAAGCUCAAGGUUUUUGCAUUCUCGCAAACAUAACCUAUUAAGUUUAUGGGGACACUCAAUAGUGGGUAGUUCAUUGAUGGCAUUUCCCUUUAAACAAAGCUUCCAUAGGGAUUGCACAUCCUCUUGACAUUCCCGGCAAACGGUGGAUAUCAUUGCUUUACCAUGGUUCUGUUCAUGAUCAUGGGCAUAUAUAAGAUGGAUCCCACACUCUUCUACUUUCACUGCUUUACCUCUCAAGUAGCCACAAAAUGAAGCCGUCAACUGCCUCCAUUUAUUUGAGUGGUACUUCUCCCCAAUCUCAUACUUAGGAUAAUAAAUCAUCCACAUAUAAGGUACAACAUUGCCGUAAAAUGAGGGAUAAAACUGGAGUUUAUCCACAAACUGAAUUUCAUGACCACGCAAAGUCAAACCAUACUCGAAGUAAGUUGCAUCAUUCUCCAGUGUCUCCUCAGAUUCAUUAUCAAGUGGAUAAUAGACAGAGUACAAAACAAAACCCAACAAGUCGUCAUUUUUAUACCAAUUUUGAGGAAGCUUUGCUACUACUUCAGCUCCCUUUUUGUGAUGGCUUAUCCAAUUUGGAAUUCCACAACUUUCUGAAAUAAUAAGAUUUACUCGGGCAAAAGGUUUUUCUAAAGGAUAAAUCUUGCAUUCCAAAUCCUGCAGAAAAUUUAAUUAACACGUAAAUCCCCAUGUCUCCACAAAAAAAGUUUUGGUCUAUGAAUAUCAUACCUGAAUCAAUGAUUUGAAGCAGUUGAAUAGAGAAGACCAGAGUAGACCUGAAGAAGUUUCCAGCCGUUUGCACGAUUGUACAUCUAAGACACGCAAACUGGAUGGAAGCACUGGAAUUUGUCGAAGCUCUUGACAGUUACUCAAGACAAGGAGUCUCAGCCUAGAAAGUUGAUUGAUCCCAGCAGGUAUGCUCCUAAAAAGAUUCCCGAUUAGAAGUAAUUCUUGCAGAGAUGAUAGCUGGCAAAUUUCAGUGGGGAUUCCUCCUUCAUCUAUACCGCAGAAAGAUAGAUCUAACACUUCCACGGAGUACAAGCAGCAAAUAUCACUCAGGACUACUCCUUGCAUUAGCUUUGAGUAAAUAAGAUCCAACUCCUUUAAGGAGCAUAAACCUGACAAAGAAAGCAAUUGGCAACAUCUUGAAUUUAAGCCCCUAGCACGGAGACGCUUCAAGCUUUGCAGCCUCCCCAG
rnacentral:lncRNA from 1 species